UUUUUUUUUUUCGUUUUCGUUUCUUCCCCCCUUGCCAUUUUGACUUCGGCGAGGGGAUGGACUCUGUCCUGGAGGGACACGUCACACGGGGGACCGUCCUCUGCGUCGGAAAGCGCAGCCGUCCAUCUCGGACGAACGGUGCAGAUUUGCUAUGGCACGGAAGCCUAGGCGUCAGCAACAGUAGUGGCAGAGAAAUCAGAAGAUGAUCAUCGAUUCAUCGGAGUCAGGUUGGGUUUGGAUUUGCCAGCAAUUCCAGCGGUUGCAUUUUGUGCAAGCCAACUAUCUAGCGAAUUGCAUAUCUUGCAAUGACCCAACUAUCGGAAGGGGGUGAGAAAAAUCGGUCCCUGUAGACGUACCUACGGAAGAACCAUAUCAAAUCGGCCACGAACUUGGACAGAUGAUCCAUGAGAGGAACCCGGUCGGCGUGCUUCCUGUAAAAAGAAUGAGGAGACCUAUACAACUCUACACGUGUCCCUUCAUUACCGUCGAGUGCUUCUUGGCAUUCCGAUCUCAUAGUAGUGUGGUAAUGAUUGGUGAAUAAAUGGCCGAAUUGAUAAUUGAUCAGCAGUUACUAUAUUCUGGGCCUUAUAUUCUCAACCAAAAGUACCAAACCAAACGUAUAAAGCUCCAUUCUUAGUUGGGCCAAAACCCGGACAGCCCAGUUUUCAGAGCCCAAAUCCUAUACAGACCUAACCACCUCGGCCUGGGUGCGGCCGCGUUCCUGGCCCAAACCAACCUCACAGACAGAUUCCAGCGUUUCAGAGUCCUGGUUUCGCGGCCGGACGCCGCCGGGGCGCAUGGCGCGGCGGCCGGCGGCCUCUAGCGUCGCCGGCUCGCAGCCGCUGGCCGUUCCCCAGCGCGCAGGCGGCAGGGGCCUCGUGCCGGCCGGCCGGCCGGCCGGCCGGCUCGUGAGCCCACCACGCCACGCGUACGGCGCCAGAACCGUGCCGCCGCGCCGCACCACCCCUCACCAUCGGUCCAUGUCCAUCACGCUAUCUGACGUCGUGCGCGUGGGCUCCGCACGGUGCCGCUGCCACGCCGCCCCGGCCAAACGGUGCCCCUGCAGCCGACACACCCUGCAUCCUACCGAUCGCAAGCUGAUUGAAGAAGACACCGUCACCGAAUUACGGAAGGAUAAGGCCGAGAGGAGUAACAUUUUUCCUGACGUCUUUUCGUGGCCGUGGCCAUCUGGCUGGAAUCUUGUUUCAAAGAUGGCGUUCUAAGGUUGAAGAGACCGUAUGCGAUGCAAGUUGGUGUCAUGGGACGAGGCAAUUCUGCGGUUAUGUUCCCGGGUGGGACACGUGACGGAGAAGGUGAGUUGCAGCGGUGGUUAAAGCUAAUGUUCUGAGAUUAAUAUGCCAUCAGCCUAACCCAAAUCAAGGAGCCGGAUGGACCAUGGAACUGCUGGUAGUGGACAAAAAGUUAAAUUUGUUUGUCGCGUCACUGUUCUUGCUACGAAAAUUCGAAAAAAAAACAUAUAUAAUCACAAAUUCAAACAUAUAUAGAAAAUGACAAUGAGUGAAAAUACAAAGAAAAAAGAAAAAACGUUACUGGUGUCUUCUUCGUCAAUGCUUACAGGGAGAUUAUUUUGUCAAAAAAUUCAAGCGAGCAUCAAAGUACAAAAUCAUCUUACAUUCAAAAUUUACAAGCAUGUGAAAAUCACAGAAACAAUCUCUUGCACAAGUACAGGACAUUAGCAAGCAUGAACAUGAAAGUUGAAAGUGUAAUUUUCAUAUUAUCCUACCAAAAUAUCAAAAGGGAAAUUUCAGAUCUCAUUUGAACCGAAUAACAUCAAAGAAACUGUAAUUUUCCUCCUCAUGCUUGCGCAUGCCUCACUGAUGGACGUGGCGGCGCUUCCUCCAUCUUCCUCCCGGCUCCCACCUUCGUCAACAGAUCCGGUGGGAGCACCUUUAAAUCUAGAGAGAGAGAGAGAGAGAGAGAGAGAGAGAGGGCACCAUACCGCCGGAUGUAGGCUUCUCCUUGCCAGAUCCGGGCUUCUCCUCGCGAGGAACGACCAAGACGGUGAGGGACCAUGCUCCUACCUCCAUGGCGGCGUCGGGGAAGAAGGAGAACCUCGCCUUAACGGAUCCAGGCCGGGAACCCUACCUCGCAUCGCUAUCGCCGGGAUUUACCCAUGCGCCGCCACCGUGCCGUCACCACGGAUCCGGCCGCGCGGAAGGUGGGGAGGGCCACGGGCUGCCUCCUCGACGGAAGACAAGAGAGGGCCUCCACCUCGGGCAACCAUGGCGAGCUCGCCGGAGGGGAAAGAGUAAAAGGAAGAAAAGAAAUGACGAGACGAGGGAGAAGAAGCGGCGGAAGAAUAACACAAGAGUAAGUUUAAAAAAAAGAACACCACAAGAGAGAUUAACGGAAGUAAAUGACGCCGGUUCUAAUCACUCGAAACCUAAUCGCUUCUCUCCUUUAUUUAGUGUAGCCUUUAAUCUGAUGGCAUCUGAGAUGCCCGCCGCGGUACACAACCACCGGAAGGGAUUUUCGGGUGUCAUGGAGCAUUAGAGCAAGAAGCACGGAAUACAUAACGACUGACACGUGUAUAAGCUCUUUCCUUUAAUUACUUGGAGUGUCAAUUUUUUAUAGGGGAUGUUGACUUUAAUUAGAUCAGGUUAAUGAUCCGUCUCAUUGAUCAACCUUUAAUUUCUUUAAUCAUUGUCCUUGCUUGAUGAUGAUAAUUGAUAAGCUGUGAACGUAUUUUUUUUCUUAAACACAGUCCUCCCUCCGUCCCACAAAGAGUGUCCCUUUAAGUUUGUCCUGAAUCAAACUGUUUUAUAUUUGACCAAGUUUAUAAUGAAAACUAUCAAUAUUUAUAAUAUGCUAUGAAAAUAUAUUUCAUAACGAAUCUAAUGAAACUUGCUAGACAUCAAAAGUAUUUAUGUAUUUUCAAUAUAGAUCAUGAUAUCCACUAUCACCCUGCAAUGUCUCAAAUUAAAAUUCAACUUGCAUAUGAAGAAAUAAAAAUGACAAAUUGCUUUAUGAGGUAAGUUGAACCAAAUAGCAUAGUUUAUAGGGUAAAUUGAACCAAAACAUAGUUUAGGGGGUUAUCUGGACUUUCGCUACACUUGAAAGGAGUAAUUUGGAACUUUUCCUAAUAGAAUAUGAGUAGUAAAACCAAAAAUACUAGGGGGGGUAAGACAGCCCCCGGGCAUUUUGCUAAGAAGAAGACCUUCUCACGCAGGUUGAGAAAACCUCCAAACUCCUGCUCCACCCUUACAUAGCAGCACCAUAACCCGUGUAAGAUGACCAAUGACCUGGUCGGGGCCUUAGACCUAUGCUUUGGCGUGGGACAUGCGAGGGGAUUUUUUAACAACAACAACAACAUAGCCUUUCAGUUCCAAGCAAGUAAGCAAGUUGGAUUAGGCUAGAGUUGAAACCCAACAAGAGCCACAAAUCAGAGUUCGGGAACAUGGAUAGCUAUUUUCCAAGCACUCCUAUCCAGAGCUAAAUCUUUGGGUAUAUUCCAUCCUUCAAAUCUCCUUUUAUUGCCUCUUCACAUGUCAAUUUUGAUCUUCCUCUGCCAACAUUCUGCACCAUACAGCAUUGCAGGAUUUUUUUAACCCCAACCUGAAAUUCGCACCCACGGGGAGUUGAACCCAGCACCUAAGGAGUGCUAUUAGAGCCACCUAACCAACUCAACUAGAGGCCCGUUCGCUAAUAUAUACUAAGGGCUAUGCUAAGGUACACCUUUUACUUUCUAUAAGGGCUAUGCUAAUAUACAACUUUUACUUUCCAGUAGGAGGUAAGAGAUGAAACAAAUCUGAAUCCUUAUUUUUUCAAAAUAAAUAAUAAUUAGAUCCAACACUAGAAACACUAUCCAGAAAAAGAGGUUACUUAUUAAGGUUUAUGGAUUUCCUUUAACAAUAACCUCUAUCGUUAGGGCUCUUGAAUUUUCAUAGUUUAGAUAAAAAAACUUGUUUUUUUAAAAGUAAUCCUUGUAAGCACAAACCAUGUGCUAGAUGCAGGUGAUGGCAGAGUAGCACAGCAUGUAUGUACAUAUUUGCAUAUGAAGAAAAGGAAUCGGUGGCGUUUUUUUAUCAAUUAUUAAUAACUUGAAGUUGCUGUUAUUAGGUUUGGUAUGCUAAGGUACGUAGCUCAGAGUAGUUAAAUGUUUUUAUAUAUUUGGGUUAAGUUUAUUAGCUACUACUUUGGGGAAGCUUUUGUUUCUCCCUAUUUGGCUGGAUCUAUCAUUGAGAGCUGGUGGAUUAGACUGCUAUUAGACUUCUAAAUUAGACAGAGAAGUGCUUAGUGGAUUCUCGCGGUGACUGCAGACAAGGGCUUGUUGCAUUCAUUUGGGUUAACUUUGACAUGAAGCAUAAACAAACUCCAACCAUGAGCUAACCAGAUAGCUACAAAGAGACGUUGUUUUUAUUUUAUUUUCUUUUCGGUCUCGUGCCGCUACAGCACUUACUUAAUCAUUCGUUUCAGGAUUUAGGGGGUGUUUGGAUACUAGGUGCUAAACUUUAGCAGUAUCACAUCGGAUGUUCGGAUGCUAAUUAGGAGGACUAAACAUGAGCUAAUUAUAAAACUAAUUGCAGAACCCUGUGCUAAUUCGCGAGACGAAUCUAUUAAUCCUAAUUAAUCCAUCAUUAUAAAAUGGUUACUGUAGCACUACAUUGUCAAAUCAUGAACUAAUUAGGCGUAAUAGAUUUGUCUUGCGAAUUAGACUCCAUUUGUGCAAUUAGUUUUGUAAUUAGCCUAUGUUUAAUACUCCUAAUUAGUAUCAAAUAUCCGAUGUGACAGGUGUUAAACUUUAGCGGGUGGUAUCCAAACAUCCCUUUAGAUUUUUCUUUUAUUUGUACUCACUCGCCGUCUCGCCCAUUCAUCUCCUUUUUUUUCCCUUUUGCUAUCAUUUUCAUAUCUCAGUGAGGGGAAAACUGGUAAAAAAAAGAUAAGGAAAACGUAAUAACACUUUUAAAAUUAAAAUCAGCCAUACCCCCAAAAUUCACUUAGUUUACUUCAGUGUCUAAAUUUGGCCAUUUGUGACUGUGAAAGACAAGCUCUGUAUAUAACUGCAGGUACUUUCAUAUUGUGCAAAAAUGUUUCGCGCUAUUAUAUGACACCCCUUGCUACUUUAUACAGCAAGAAAGCACUUCAAAUCCUCCCCCAUUUUAGGCAACUAAUUAAUUUGAACUCUAUGGCACUGAGAAAAUGUUUGAGAGACUGCCACAAAUAUUCACUGUAGCAUGGUGCGUUCUGUAUAUACUACACUGGGUUUCUGUCCCUCCGUCUAUCAUUGUACUCUAUUACGGUGUUAAAUUUAUAUAUUUUUGCCUCCCAAAAUGUCAAUACUGGAAGUAGUAGUCCAUGCUGGCAUAUCAAAUUUAUUAAUGGCCAUUUGAACAAUAAUAACACUCAUCAUAUGCCAGGUCGUGAAAUGUUCUGGAUGUAAUGAAGCACGGGAAUUUCAUAAAUGGUAAUUUGAUAAAAAAAAAGAAGAAGAAAGAACCGUGUGCAGGGGGUUACAGCACGCACACAGUUCAUGCACUGUAGAAGAAAUGAGAAUCUUAGAUACAUUCUCUCCCUAUUUUUUUCUCAAAUAUGAAGCAGAGCUGCAUAUCUUUGUAGUAAUAGAGACAGACGAAUGCAUGUCUCCUAAUGCAUAUCCGUAUAACUUCUCUACCUUUAUAACUAUGUUGUAGAGACUUUGUUUCCUUAGACAAAUAGACCUGCAUCUACAUUGAUCUUUGCCUAGCUCAUAAGAGGAAUAGGAUCUAAUUGCUCCUAAAAAAUUUAGACCAUUAUCAACAUUUUUAUUUGUAACAAUGAAGGAAACUUAACUCUGUUCACAAAAAUAGAUGCUUAAAUAUUUUUGCUCACUACAGAUUCCCAUAGCUCAUCAAAUUGUAACCCGUCCAUUGUGUGUCUAAACAAAUAUAAUCUUGCUAAUCAACUCUAACCAUUUGCAUAUACCUUAUAAAAAGUCAUAUAGAUAGUUUUGCAAACCACCAAGCACUAGUGGAAAAUUGAGCAUUAGUCCCGGUUGGAGAGACGCGUCUCAAAAAUCCAACUGGGACUAAUCUGUUAAGACUAAAAGCCCCCCUCUUUAGUCCCGGGUAUUUGACCCAAGACUAAAGACCUCCUUUAGUCUCGGUUGAAAAAUGGGCCACCCCCGCCCGCCCGCGCCGCUCGUGCCCUCCACCUGGAAGAAAGGGAGAGGAGGAGGAGAGAAGAUAAGGAAGAAGAGAAAGAUGGCCUGCGCGAGAUAAGGGAGGGGAGAGGAGGAGAGAACAUAAGGUGGAGAGAGAGGGGGGGACUAAAUUAAAGGCCCCGGUUGGUGAGGCGAGAUGUUUAGUCCCGGUUGGAAUUACCAACCGGAACUAAAGGGGACUAAAUUAAAGGUCCCGGUUGGUGAGGCGAGACGUUUAGUCCCGGUUGAAAACACCAACCGGGACUAAAUCCCGGUUGGUAUUUUUCAACCGAGACUAAACGCUCCACCGGAUUCCCUUGUCCCACUAGCCGUUACAACCGGUACUGAAGGGGGCUCUUUAGUCCCACUAGCUCGUCGGAGAUGGUCAUCGGUGGUGGGAAUUUGAACAAUCGGGACUAAAAACAGCAUCUAAGGUCUCUUUUCUACUAGUGAAGAUACGGGUCCAAAGUGGUGAGUGGUAAGUUGUGCCCAAGAGAAAAUAAUUCCCACUUGGAUGAAUGCAUGUACCUGGCUGUCUCCAGGGACAAUACAUAGGCUGUUGGUAAUUUUAAAAACAAGUGUACAAAAAUAUAUUCUAGUUAAAAGCAGUGUCUAGUCAUGCUUUAGACCGAAAUACAACAAUGACUUGACAUGAUAUAAUUAUGAUAUCUCAAGUUGGAUUAGCAAUUUGGACUACCAUAUAACAUAAGAGGUACACAAACAGCUGAAGUAGUACGAGAUUCGAUACAAAUGAGAUUUGCAAACAAUGUGGUUAGAUUCUCAUUACAAAGGGUGAUGUAUUACCAGAUCACUUCUCGAUUGUUAGUUAACAAGUUGUUAUUCCGAUCCCUAUCAAGGGAUUGAAUGCAUUUCUGUUCAGUUAUUUUCACUAUCUGUUUUCAUGCUAUUACUGGCAUACUAUGUAUUUACAUAAAUUGUAAGGUGAUAUAUCUACUUUCUCAGUCUUUAUGUGAUUUAUUUGGGAGCAUCUCAUCUUUGAAAAUUUGCCUCACUUUUCGGGCUCGUUCAAAAGCGAAGUUGUAGUUCAUAUGUUAGAGUUAUGUUCUAUAUAUUCUCAUUCAGAGAAAAUCUGUAUUUGUCAGAUUGCAACAUGUAAAGUACAGUAAACUUUGUUUGAAGAAGAAUUUACGUAUCAAGUUCAAAACUCAUGAGAACUAGUCACCAAGAUCUCUAUAUCUACGCAAUUCUCUAAUCAGGAAAUGGUUCCUCAAAUACAUGGAUAGUUCAUAUAUGAAUUAUGAAAUAAUUCAAAGUUCAUCUCUCAAAGCUUAAUCUAUUAGUUCUUUGUUGCACUUCCUAUUGGAUUGAACUCAGUUCAACUCAUAUGUUCGAAAUAUACUUCAAAUAAGAUUUAAGGGGACAAUAGACUCUUGUUUCCAUUUCAGAGGUUAUAUGUUUCUUAUGUGUGCAACUAUUGUGCUAUAUUCAGUUUGCAAUGGUUUCCUUAAUUAUUUUUAUCACGCUCACAUAUGUUAUAGGUGGAGCUUGUUCUAGCAAUUAGUUUAAUUUAUUUUGAAAUGAUUUUCAGUUAAGUUACUAUUAGUGUAGCAAUACCCAAAGUAGAGGAGUGCAAUAUCUGAUUCUUCGCUAUAAAAACAAAAUAACAAUAUUCUUUUGUAGUUUACCUGUCGAUCUGCCAUUCUGCCCUGACACUUAGUUUCACCUUCUUGCAAAUUCGUUUCGCACUUAUUCUCCUCAAGUUGUUCCAUGUCAUGGUAAUAUGUGGAUACUUUUCAUGAACUUUUUCAUUGUUUUACUGGUCUUCUUCUUAAUUUUAGGACGCUUUAAAGAAAUGUUUCCAAAAUAUUGCAAAAAUAGGAAUUAAUUUGCGGUGAUUCACUAUGCAUUUUUUUCUUUCAAGCUUUGUUACAAUGAUUGUUAAGUACCAAUAGGUACUUCCAGUUACUUUUUUCUUUAGACUUUUUAUAAAUCUUGAUUUGAGGAAUGUAAUUAAAAAAUAAAUUAAAUUAGUAUUGGUCCCACUAUUUUUGUACUUAGUCUCACCUAUUUGGUACUUCUUGGCGCUUUUCUUUCGGUACCUCCUAGUAUUUCCUAUUUUUCCACCGCGCAAUUUCUCAGGAUGGACGGCUCUCAAUUUUUCAAAUCAUAGUAAAACUCCUCUUUUCUUUUUGGUAUAGAGCGAACUAUUAUCCUUACGUCAACACAAAUCAUAUCAUGAAGCUCUUGAGCAUACUUUUAGCAUCUUCUCUGGUAGCUGUUGAAUGAUCCAAACAAUAUUUAGCUAGAUAGGUGGUUAGGUACCUAGUAUAUGAUUGUAACACCGGCCAUGAGGGGGGGAAAAUAUUGCAUGAGCUGAGCUCAUCAUCAAUCUACCUCCUAGGGCAUCAAUAAUUUCUCUCCUAAAAAACAAUUCCGGCUCGAUAAUUUCGCCUCACGCAUGGCUCCGUAAUCAAGACUUCCGAAAAUGUUGUUGCUCGAUUUACGUUCAAAAUACUAUAACUUUAUUUUAUUUUACAGACAUUUUACAGUCUAAAUUAAUGUAGCAGUUGUGCUGGACUGCUGGGCCUCGAACAAUCGGACGUGCUGGUCGCACUCGCCAGAUCAGAGAGAGUGCACGCUGUCCUCCAUGGACCAUGGUGAAGCAUGCAUUUUCUCUGCGGAGCACAUUUGGUGCCUUUUGUUUUGUAGGCUUUUUCUUGGAAGGUCACCAUGGUCUGUCCCCUUCAAUCUGCCGAGAUUGCCCCUUUCCAUUGGUGGAAUUUUAGGCCAAAAGUGGCACGGGAAAUCGAGAGCCUUGGUACUUGGUGCUACAUUGGUACUUGGUGCUCGGUAGGCGCGCACCAUUAUGCAGAACGGUCUUGAUUAGCCUUGUUUAGCGGUCUUUUUCCAACUUUGGCACUAUGUAAAAAGAAGAUUCCCCAUCACAUCAAACUUACGGUACAUGCAUAGAGUACUAAAUGUAGAUGAAAUUAAAAACUAAUUGCACAAUUUUGUUGUACUUUGCGAGAUGAAUCUUUUAAGCCUAAUUAGUCAAUGUUUGGACAAUAAUUCACAAAUACAAACGAAAUGUUACAGUUGCGCAUUUAUAGCAAAAUGUAAACUUUACCACUCUCAAUUUGGGAACUAAACAAGACCUUAUUUAGAAUAACCCACCUGAUUAUUUAAAGAAGGUGUACUUCUUGCAGGACCUGAAGAUACUUUGAUUCUUAAACAAACACAACAAGUUUUUUAAAAAGAGCCGUCUUACCCAAGAAACAAGUUUAUGACGCAGGGUUCUUUUCCAAACACAUUGAUUUCAUUAAAAAAACCGGUAGGUUUCCAUAGAACUUCCACUAGAAAUACUGGGUGGUGUUUGAUUUCUUUAGUCCAUGUGCUAAAGUUUAAUCCAGUCCAUACCCUAUUUGGGUUCAUGGACUAAAAUCCAUUAAUGCAGUUGAACAAAGACCCUUUUACCCCUAAUACCUACUGCCUGGUACCCUGUCCUGGCACCAACUUCUAGUUCUGGGCGCCUGCUACACACACAUACAUAGUCAUUGUCUUCCAAUCCAAGCCGCUAUCAAAAUCAAAUCCAAUCCAAUCCAAGCCGUGGAAAAAGAAACCCCUCCCCUCCCCUACCCCGCCCACAUGGCGCUCGAGGCACAGGCCUCCCGUCGCCACUCCCCGCCGCGCGCGCCGGAUGCAGUGACGGAUCCUCCAGCGCGCGAGGCGGCGGUAGGGGACUAGUGGCCGGACCCAGAUGAUCCCCCCACUGGCACCGCCACCGCCCCACCAGGCUCCCCUCCUGCGGACCCCUCCACGGCCGUCUUCGUCGCGUUGCGGAACCACGCCUCGACCUCCAAGUACUUGCCGCCGCGCGCCACGUCCUGCACUGCCAACCCGGACCCCGCCCGCGUCGUGGGGUGGUACUCAUGGAGUGGCGGCCGCACCGCGGGAGGGAGGGAGGCAGCGGGGGGGGGGGGGGGGGGGGCGGAGGGAGGCCGGCGGCGAUAGCAGAGGGGGCCAAGUGGGAGGGCGGCGGGAGGGAGGCCAGCGGCGACGACGGCGGGCGGGACGGGGGUCGGAGGGAGGCCGCCGGCCCAGCCCCGCCGCUGUCGUCGCUAGCGGGCGGGAGGCGAUGGGAGGGAGGCCAGCGGAGGGAGCCAAGCGGGAGGAAGGGCAAUAAAUGAGGGGCAAGGGUGUCCCAAGACUCUUUAGUCUACCUUAGUCCACCUCAUAUGGACUAGAGGACUAAACACUUUAGUCCACAUUUUAGUCCACCUGUUUGGCACUUUAGGGACUAAAAGUGCCAAAAAUGAGUGGACUAAAGUACUGGGUUACCAGACCUAAUGUGUGUUAACAAAAAAGUUUGCAUCACGCGUAUAUGAAACUUAUACAAACUAGAUUGAAUUGAAUUAAUUUGUAUCCUAUUGAAGAGCCAUGCGUGAGGCGAUGUUAUUUUAACCUCGAUUUGAGUAUCUAUUUUUUCUCGCUUGCGAUACGUGAUUGAUAGGUCAACAUGUAUGGUAUGUAAAUUAAUAGCAAGACACUUAUGGUAGUGAGGCGAUCAAGUUCAAGUUCUUACAGAAAAGAAAGAUGCAUGCCCUCCUAACUCUUAAAUAUUUUGCAGGGUAGGAAAUUAUCCUCCUUACUUUUUGCAAUAUCAUGUGCCUUUCGUACCAGGAAUGAUGCCUACGAUUGAAACCAUAACUUUUUUCUAAAGUAGUCAUGAUUUGGCUACAAGUUUAUAUUUCUGCAAUAAAACUUGUAUGUAGGGGCUGUUUGGAUACGAGGUGCUAAACUUUAACAGUGUCACAUCGGAUGUUCGGAUGCUAAUUAGAAGGACUAAACAUGAGCUAAUUAUAAAACUAAUUGCAGAACCUUGUGCUAAUUCGCGAGACGAAUCUAUUAAGCCUAAUUAAUCCAUCAUUAGCAAAUGGUUACUGUAGCACCACAUUAUCAAAUCAUGGACUAAUUAGGCUUAAUAGAUUCGUCUCGCGAAUUAUACUCCAUCUGUGCAAUUAGUUUUGUAAUUAGCUUAUGUUUACUACUCCUAAUUAGCAUCCAAACAUCCGAUGUGACAGGUGUUAAACUUUAAUAGGGUGUUCCCAAACACCCCUGUAAUAAGAGGCUUUAUAUACGUACACUCCCCUUUGACUGGACCUUAAAUGUUCACUUUUAACCCUGACUGAUAGCCGCUCAGGUCUUCAACAUAUAUUCUUUUUUUGAAGGUUUAAGAUUUCUGGAUAAAAUUAGGGACCGGCGUGCAAAACCUAAAGGGAAUGGAUUAGCAAAGAUCCUCUACCGAAAGCUAGGGAUCAGUGAACAGUGCAAGGUCAAAACUCGAAAGACAAGAGAAGAAUUUGCCCAGCACCUCCAGAUCGCUCUCUCACUGCCCCCUUUCGCACCCUUUCUGCCCAUAUAUGUAUAUACCCCGCACGGCACGGGAUGCCGCGACCGAUCGGUGUCCCCGCGAGCCGCGCACACGCAAGCACGCGCCCGCACUGUUCGCUCGCUCGCUCGCUCCCCCACCUGCCCCGCCGCUCUCUACAGUGCUGCUGAGGUGGGCACUGCUGCCGACUCGUCUUCUUCCGAUCGUAUGUGCCGCCUCAUCCCCUUCUGCUUCGCUCUGCGCUUAAAUUUCUGUAGGCGUCGCGCCAUGGUAAGUUCUUGCGCUCUUGCCGCGGGAGUGCAAGAAUCGGUGGCCUUCCUGGACAUCCGGCGGGGCUUAUUGCCUGGAUGCCAUUUCUUGGAUAGUUAUUUAGCUUCUUGCAGGAUUUUCGCCCGGAAUUGUUGCCGCCGUCGUGACGGUUUCUUGGUUGGGAACAGGUUUCUUUUCCGGGGGCAUGGACUGGGCGGCGGCUUCCGGGGCGCCAUCCUGGGGCGCGGCGGCGGCGUCGGACCCCGGCCCGACCAUGCUGUCCUUCGCGGGGCCGUCGUCCUCCGCCGCCGCCGCAGCCGCCGAGGCGCGGCUUCAGGAUUUCGCCGCGGGGCUGGCCCAGCGAGCCCGGCCGGUGGGGGCGGCCGGAGGUGGGAGGAGGUCCCGCUCGGCGGGCGGUGGCGGCGGCGCGGAGGCCUGCUCCGUCGACGGGUGCCGGUCCGACCUCAGCCGGUGCCGGGAGUACCACCGGCGGCACAGAGUCUGCGAGGCGCACUCCAAGACGCCGGUGGUGGUCGUCGGCGGCCAGGAGCAGCGCUUCUGCCAGCAAUGCAGCCGGUACGGCUACCAUCUCAUCCGAUCCUUGUACAAAGCGGCGUACUCGUCGAAUUAAUCAACAAUUCCUGUGCUGAUGAGGUCAUUAGUUAAUAAUUGAGUGCGUAUUGGUCCCCAUCUGGCUUGCUAAUUGAGGAAUUCAGGGUAGGGAUUUGGUGCAUACGUUGGGGCAAAUUUAGGGGCAAAGUUUUCAGGUCUAGUUUGGUCCCAAGCUGGCAAGCUAAACAAUUAGGUUGGUAAUUUGGUGGCGUCUGGUGUUUAGGAUCUGAUGGCGUGCUGAUAGUUUAAUCUCACGGAUGCUAUGCGUUGCUGAUUAAACUAUUGGGUUGGUAAUUUGUGGUUGUUUAGGGUCUUGUAACCCGAUUAAUUUAGUCCUGUUGGUACUAUUUAAAGAAAGCUGUUGGUGUGGACAACUGACUUGUUUGAGUAGGGUUUGAUUUUUCUAUGGGAUACUCAGCAUCAUGCAGAAUCUUUCUCAUGAUUGCUGAAGUUUUGGGCUUUCUUCAGCGGGCAUGCUCAAUCUGAGCUCAUGACUGCUCUGCGAUGCAACUUUUUGCAAACCAUUGCUGUUUCUGCGCAACCAAAUAUGAAGACAUUUCACUAGAUAUAAGAUCUGGUCAAGUACAUACCUUAAUGCUUAUUGUUGCCCAUUGUGAUAAAAGGAAGGCCUCAAACUAGGAUUGAGGUUAUUUCAUGGGUUAUUCCUUGCAGCAAGCGUAUCUGAAACUGAAAUAUCAGGUUAUAGCUUGGUUGGUUGAUUUAAUUUCUCCCCUGGUUUUGGAGGCAUACUUUCUUCUCCCUGUUUCCCUGUUACAUACUAGACUACUUCAUAGUUAGCUGACAUAAGUAGCAACGGAAAGUUUAAGCGAACGUGGGUGGAAUUAUGUGUUUUCUCAUGAUAUUUGGACCUUUAUUUCCUUUUCAAGUAUGCAAGUAUUUUUUUAGAUAUACUGCGAGAAGUUUGCUGAAAGUGUACAAAAUAGAAGUAUAAAUGCAGUAUGAAUUGACAAUGUCUUAAGAGACUUAGUUGGAGUAGACAUUAGCCCUUUGACUGCACCAGGAUUGUCAGCUAAACUAAAAAGAUCCUGAUAACAUGCACUUCCUGAUUUUUACUUGGAUCUUAGAGCCAAGUCUUGUGAAUGUUUGUAAGCUGACUAUCAUUCUAUCAUCUGAAGACUGCAUAUUUCCUAAUCUGUAGAUUAAUCAAGAAUAUAGAAUGUCAAGUGCAAUUGUGAGAUCUUGCAUUUUUUUUUUUCUGAAGACGCAGGAGAAAGAGACCUUGCAUUUGGAGCUUUCAGUUCUAAAGCUGCACCAGUGCUUAUCUUUUUAAGAUGCAUCUUGAUGGAAGAGCUAGUGAAUUUAGGUUCCAUCAAUGUUUGGCUCCACAUAUUGAAGUUGUGUAUUAGUUUAUUUUUUGUGUCUUCAAAGGUUAAAACUAUCAGUGCCAUUUAUUCAAUGUAGAUGAAAGAUAACAACUGUAAGGGGCAAGUCAGAUGGAUUCUUUAGAAUUAACACCUUAGCAGAAACUUGGUAUUCCAAAUUCGAAUCCAGUUCCCAUGUUGGUCGAGGUUUCUUUAUCUUGUGGAUUCUUUUCACCUCAGAUAUGUGUAAUCUGCCUAAGUGGCCUGUACAUCCACCAUAUUGAACCUAGGUAGCAUAAAUCUCUUAUGUUCAUUUAACAAUAUGAUCUCAGCAUUAUGUCAAUCUCCGAAGUCUGAAUUGUAUCAGAAUUUAGAACUGAAUGGGUGGUAUGUUCCUGAAGAUGAGAAGCUCGAAAAAAGUAUUGUAAAUUAAGUAAUUUAUUUUGGUUAUCUAGGUAGCCGUUGAACCAUGAUUUUUUAUGUUGUUCCCAAGUACAUGUUAUCGACCUUUUGUGGUCUGAUGCAGAACUUGGCCAUUGAUUUAUAGCAAACAAAGACCCCCCCGCGCCCCCCCCCCCACCCCCACCCCCACCACCACGACCACCACCACCACAAAAAAGUUUGUACACUCUUUUGAAAUUCGUUUGAACAAUAUACAUCAUAUUACCCACAAAUAGUUUAUCAAAUAUUUGGAGUUUUACCACAUGCAUGUUUAAAAAAAACUUUACGUGAAAAUUUUAUUAUCUUUUGGGGGUUGAGAGGAAGGGGGAGCUUAUAUAAGAUAUUUGAGCAUUCAUCUCAUGGUCAUAUUCACAAUAAAACUGUCAUCAUCGGCUUAUGCUAACCAUGAAAGUUGCAUCACGUGGGCAAAGGUUAUACCAAAUUACCAAUAAAUCUCAACCAUUUCCACCCUUUUACCUUUUACUGGACAUGUUUUCAAUACUCUUUCUAACAUUUGCCAAUUUUUCUUUGCACAUAUUGGUAUCUUUAUAUUGCCCUACUAUAAGGUUCUCUAAAUACCUUUGUUCAUUUUUCUUCUAGACUGUUUGAGUUAAAAAUUUCUGCGCAUCUUACUAUAGAGUGCACAUAUUAGAGUGUUUGAUUUUAAAAGCUAAAUGCCUUUGUAGGAUGAUCUAAACAUAUUGCCCUAUUGUUCCACAUUUUACAAGGUAGAGAGGAACCACUAGCCUAGUUAGCAUCUGAAUUCCCUGGAGCUAGUGUACGGGGAAAAAAAGAUAUUGAGUGAUAGUCCCACGAUGGUAUGGAACAUGAAGAUGACUAGUGGAGCUGAGUGGGAGCAGAACAAAAUAAUUUAAGAUACACAUUGAAUAUGAAAUGUCAUAGACAGGUGCCACCAAAAUAAAUAAGACUACAAUUUGGCGAUAGCAUGUGGGAUACCCAAGAGGCUCACCAUUAGUUGCAUGAAUGUGAACAUUGAGCUCCAUGGAAGCCUUAAUAAUGUGUCAAUUCAUGAGAAGCAUCAUCAAGAAGAUCGUGGAUAUACUUCUUGGGAGUUGCGACAAUUAAAAGCCUUCAGGUGUAAAGGAAUCUUCGGCCCCAAUGAAGUUAUGAAAAUAUCACAUAUCCAACAUAAGAAACAAAUCAUAUGACGUGCCUUCACACAGUGAAUAUACUGAGAAACACAUAUGUUUUGAUAUAUCAUGUUUAUGUCAUAAUACCAAAACUCUGAUGUUUUACCUUAUAAAUUUGAGCUAGAUAUCAAUACUACCAGUCAGGAGCACAAAAGCAUCGUAUUAUCCAUCUUGUGCAAUGCGCCAUGUUUUCUUACAAAUGCACCGUUUCAUGAUAAAAGGACGAUCUAAUGAUGAAAGUAUAAUUUUGACAAAAGCCUUUGUUGUUGACUCGCAUUCUGCAAGACUUUUUUGUUUCUUGCUGUCCUAAUACUCCACUCAGCCAACAGCCCAACACAAUAAUUACUAUAUAGAAUUGAACUCAGCCAUUUAGCCUAUAUUAAAUAACUGUGUUCAUCCUUUGUUAGUCUUUGGAAUUGGCUACGGAAAGUAUUUGCUUGUUAAAUCCUAACAAAGCAGUGGCAUGAAUAGGAAACUUAGUCAAUGAACAUAACUAGUCAGCAAUAAAAUUUUCCUAUGUUCAUGGGAAUUUAAUUUUGUGUUUGUUCUUGAGUUCAACGUAAAUGUUUCUGUAAAAUCCGAUAUUGCUGCAUGAAGUGAGUUCUGUCUGGAGUUAAUAUCGUGGGACCAGUUCAAAGCAGCUGUCCUGAAGGAGGUUGUUGGUUCUGUACUUGCAGGUUUCACAUGCUGUCUGAGUUUGACGAGGGGAAAAAAAGUUGCCGGAAGCGUUUGGAUGGCCAUAAUAGGCGUCGAAGAAAGCCACAGCAUGAUCUGACAAAUCUUGGGGGUUUCAUUCCGUACCAUCAAGGUCUGUACAUUUCUGCUUACAUAAGUUGGGCAUCUUGGUAAUUUAAUAAUACUACUCGUAGGAGUUAGUUAAUCCAGUUUAGGUACCUCAUUAAUACUACUAUAUAUAUAGUCUUUAUUAAAUGAUGGAUCUAUUUAAAAUGAUAGCACAGAACUAUAUCUAUUAGCGUGUCUAAUCACAUUUUUAAUCUAGCAGAGCUCAUCUUCAUCAUUUUCAUUGAACUGAUUGCCAACUUGAACAUAUUUCUUCUGGAACUAUUUUUUUAGCAAGCUUUACCCAAUUUCCAAUAGGGUAGCAGAAAAGUAGAUGAAUGAUGUUUGUUUUUUUACUUGCAGUUAAUCAAUUUGAAAUUUAUCCACAAACAACUCCAACAGUCCGCGAGAAUUCUGACACUAUGCACUUGGUCCAUCGUCAGCCACCCUUCUCCAUAUCAUUCUCAAGAACACCAAAGCAGCUCCCUUUCCCACAGGACGGUGGUGGCAUGCUCAGUGCAUCCCACCACGGUCAUUUUUUGGUUGAGGAUAGCAACCACACUGGAAGCAGCGCAUGCAACAACACGCUGGGCCCCAAGUGUGCUCUCUCUCCUCUGUCAUCAUCGCUGCAUCAUCCCUCCCCUGCUGGCCAAGCACAGGUUGCCUCUGCACUCUCUCGCAUUGCUUCCGCGUCACAGCAGGUUGCAACAGCAGCUGUCACUGCUGCGUUUGCAUCUGGUGGCAGCCACCAUGUGUUUGUUCCUGAUGCUGUGUUGGAGGAUCCUUCACAGGCACUGCCAUUUCCUUGGCAGUAGUAGACAAAAUGUGUUGUGUUUUGUGUUGCUGCCGAGUUCUCAAUUUCUUGCAAUGGUGUUGACUGGGAUGUGUUGUGUUUUGUGUUGCUGCCGAGUUCUCAAUUUCUUGCAAUGGUGUUAACUGGGACUUGGGGGGGUGUUUGUGCACCUGGAGAUUCAGUUGUAGUCAGGAGAUGUAUACAAGUGAUCCUGCAGGAGAUGGAGGUGGUGGCUGUUGUGCAGAUUGUUUAGUUGAUUGAUUUAAAUGUGUCCUGUUAAUAAUUCUGUGCAUUUUUGUGAUAUUUAUUUUUGCAAAAAUAUAUGCAUGUAUGCGCUACUGGAAUUCUGGAAUGCCUUCAGGGACACAAAAGAUCUGAUGGGCAGAUGGCUCAGUUUUACAUGGGUCCGCUUUGCCUAGUUCAAUACUUCAAUCCAAUGCUAUUAUUGAUAAUGGGCCAAUUCGGGCUGGGCUGAUUUUGCUGUGGUCCAUUUGUCUGUCUGUGUGUGUGUAUUGGUAAUUUUGUUUGCAGCACAUGGAGGACCCUGUGCCAUUCAAUACGGAGUUACGGACCCAUGGGCUGAAGAAUGUUAUAAAUCGCAUAUGCAUGUUACUGGAAGUCAUCACGUGGCACUUCUCCUGGAAUAUUUUUUUUCUACUGUUAGAAAACUUUUUUUUUCUCUCUUCGUAGAACUUUUUCUUUCUACUGUUGGAACAUUUUCCAUCGAAGUGGUGAGUGGAAAAUGUGUCAGCAGUAGAAUCAAAAUUGUUCCAUCCGAAGGGGUAAGGUAGAAAAUGUUUCAAGAGUAGAGAAAGUUGUUCUAACAGUGGAAACGAUGUGUGCUAUAUGAUGGCUUUCAGUAGCAUAUGCAAUUUAUAGCGGCGCUGCUAGCGCUCGGACGUCCGAUGAGAAAUAUUAGCGCUCGGACGUCCGAUGAGAAAUAUUUCAUCGGAUGUUCCGAUGAAACAUUAAAAAUUAUCUAGUGCCAUAUUAGCGGUCACUGUUUGCAACAUAAAAAAUAAUGUGUAAAAAUGACUACGUUGUCUGACUUUGAGAUAAAAAAUUACCGCCGCAAAUGAAUACUAUAUUUCAUGCAACAUUCACUAUGAAAUAUGCGAAAAUAAUAGUUGCAAUAUCUAUGCUUAACUAUUGCAACGUAUGUCAGGCGCGUCUGAUUUUUUAAGAUUUCGGACGUAUGUUUUGUAGCAUUACCGAAUUUAUAAACACCCCCUCCCCCCAAGAGUGACUUUGAUUUCACAAUGUCAAGGUGAGACAACAUACUAUCUCUAUCUUUUAAUAAUACUCGCCAAUUCUGAAUUUUGUAUUCAAACUUUGAUCAAUGUUACAUAUCUUAAAAUGUUAUUUAUUCAGGUAACGUAAAAAAACCGUCGUUAGAUUUUUCUAUCCAAAGUACUACUAGAAUGUUUUAGACAUGUAAUUUUGUUUAGAUAUGUGUGGAUGAAAUUUGAUGCUAAAGUUUAAAUUGCAAAGUAAAAAAAAAUAAGGGAAGUACAAAUAAGCGGAGGAAGAACUAUGGUGGCUAUUCAGGCCACCUUGUGGUGCUGACGAGCAAUAAAUUACAAGAGCUAUUGUGGCUAUUCAGGCCAUCUUGCUAGCAUAAGUUUGUAUGAUCCAAACGGCCCUUCACAUGCGCAAAGCGUCCAACAUUUACUACAGGCGAAAAGCACACGGGACAGUGUAGCUCUGUAUGACCGUUGCGUGGAAUGCCGAUUGAUGCAAAAGGGCGCAAGGCACGCCAACUACGAGUCUGGCUUGAUCUCCUGGGGGAUCAGGAUUCAGUGCAUCCAGGAUGCUUUGGAUCGAGAGAUUGACGGCUCAGAUCAAGCCUUGUCCUAAAAUACCAUUCGUUUUGUUUUUUCCAGAUAUAUUACUUGUACUAUGUAUUUAACAUAAUAUAUAUUUAGCUAUUAAAAAUCCAAAACGAAUAGUAAUUUAGCAUGAAGAGAGUACGUAAGUUCAUAUCUGAUCGUAAGUUCAUAUCUGUUCAAACAAACUACGCAUCUUUUGACGUUAGUCGGUCAGUCUCACUGUUCAAACAAACUACGCAUCUUUUGACGUUAGUCGGUCAGUCUCACUGUUCAAACAAACUACGCAUCUUUUGGUGUCAGUCGGUCAGUCUCACUGUUCAAACGGAGUAUAAACAUGCAAAUGGAAGUGAGACUACCAACCAUGGGAAUUAAACGAAGUGACCUUAUUCAUCAUAGAAGCAACGUGCUGAAUUCGUAGCAGAGUAUGUGCAGUCAGCAUCCGCAGCAACUAUCGGAGAUCGCUAGGGUAUGGGCACGCCAACAACUCUUCAUUCAUCUCCAUUCCAAGUCCAUCCAAAGAGUUGUUCCAUAGCUGAAGAAGAUUAGACCAAUAAUGACCCUGUUUGUUUCCGCAAUUCCGCUUAUAAGCAGCUUAUCGAUAAAAAUAAGUGUGAAUCCCACCAAACGUCUUGCUUAUUUUCAUUUAUUCUCGCUUACGUGGUAAGCCGCUUCAGAGAUUUCAACUACAAGAAUCAAAAAACAAGAAGCAAAAAAAUCUUCACUUAGAUUAUAAUCCAAAUAUGACUGAGAGAAGCAGAAAUAAACCUGGCAAAUGUAGUAUGAGGCGGGGAAAAAAGAGAGCUAUGAAUUUCUGAAGGGCAGGGUGAUCCUCGCUCUGUGGUUGCUAAGGCUUAUCGGCUAGGGUGUGUGGCGUUUGUCAGGUGCCUUAUUAUGGAUGUGCAAUUUAUCACUAAAAUUUAUAGUUUUCAAAUAAUGAUGUGAAAUUAGCAUAUUGGUGUAGGCGUGUAGCUAUAGAAGAUUAUGUGGAUGUUCACCAUGGGCAAAUUUGGGCUCGGCUUAUUCUCAGAUUUAGAAAAUAUUUUGAUUGUAACAAAAAAUGGAAAACUCACAGGAUAGAAGAGAGAGGAAAAAAAGAAUUCAUUAACAAGGACAAUGAAAGAUAGAAACGGAGAUGUCUUUUUUUUUUGAAACAAAAAUGAAGAUGAGAGAACCGGGGAGAGAAAAAACAACAACGUGCUCUAUUGGGCUGCACCCCUAUGAUUGACGGUACGGGCCUUAUGGGCUGUCACUUGGGUGACACAUCACAGUCUCAUGAGCGACUCAUAAUCUAAAAAAAAUUAGCGACUCAUGACUCAUGUGAAAAAUAUUACCUUCUCCAUCUUCUAAUAUGAAUUUAUUUUUCAAGCUUUGGCCACUAAUACAUAUUUUUAAACCUAUUCAAGAUUUUCUAUUUAAAGUUUGACCAAUAAUAUUGUUUAAAAAAUUAUUCAGUUAUUAAGUAAUAAUUUGGAAAUAUUACUGUUAGAUUUUUUUCCUUUCAAAAUUUAUUAGAAUGUCAUACUUACAAUUGUUUGGAUAUGUAUUUUAAAAAGAUUCGAUAACCAAAGUUUGAACUGUAAAGUCAUCAGAACAUACAAGUAUUUAAAAACAGCAGGAGUAGAAAAUAGGCGAACGAUCUUAUCACAACUACUCGGGCAAACUCCAUUUCUGAAGGAGCUCUCAAGUAGUGAACAUGUAAAUCUUUGCUGCUGAGUGCUGACGAGCAAUGAACUAGGAAAAAAGAACUAUGCUGGUUAGUGGUUACUGUAAUCUCUAGGUACUCCAACACUUGGACCCCACUGGCACUGGUAAAUUGUUUGUUAGCACAAGUUUCUACGAUGAAGACGAGCCCUUAACAUGUGCGCAAAUUGCAAACGUCCAAUCAUUACAACAGGUGAAAAUAAGAAACAUGGAAAAUGAAGAGAGCAGUGCGUGGCUCCAUAUAUGCCUAUUGUGUGGAAUGCACGCCAACAUUUCACCCUUAAAAUGCGAGAUUUACACUGUGAAGAAACUGGCGCGACCCUGAAGUUGUUAACUCAGAACUUGGGGCGUUUUAAUUGGACCCUUGGAUCGACCCAGCGACGUCAGACCACAAAAAGUUUCAGAACAGCCCAGCAAGGAAACUGCAAAUGGAAGGGUGAGACGGCCCCAUGGAAAAUGAUUGAACUUUAUCACAACAGUAGCGUUCUAGAUUAUCGUCGCAGAGCAUGUGUAGCACGGCAACAACUAUAGGGUAGAAUAUGGACAUGCCAACAACUCUUCAUCUCCAACCCAUGUGCAUCUGAAGAGUUUGUUCCGUAGUUCUUUCCACCUAAAUUGUGCAUUUUUCUUGGGUGGACUAGUCGGUGGUUUCGGCACAUUAGGUCAGCAUUGGUACCUUUUUUACAUUUAUUUUCUCUACUGUUUCUGAAAAUGAAUAACUCCAUGGCUGCAAACUUUGGGGAUGCGUAUACAUGCAGGCCUUAGUGUGCACACAACACUGCAAUCCAAUGGCUUCAAUGAUAUUCACUAGAGUUUGACUUCUCAUGAAAAUUGAAACAGGUAAUGCUGCCACAAAGUGGUAUUUCAGGAUGAUUUACAGGAAUCAAGAACAUGAUUAAAUGGCCAAAGUUUAGGUGGGACGUCAACUUCUGUAGAAUGUCAUCUAAAAAUAAGAUUAAAGUACUUGCUCACUCAACCACAAAAAGGGGCUCAAAUUAAAUACUCCGGGCUGAUCUUAUAGAUUCAGACCAAUGAAAACGUUGCUGAACUACUGGCCACCAAGUAGCUGGCCAGGAACAGGUACCGAAACAAUUUUCAGACGAGAACAGAAAGAGCAGAAAGAUUGAAGUUCUGAAACAAAAAGGUGGCAAAUCGAUCCUCAGUUAGCAUCUCAAGCAAAUCGAAGCUCAGUUAGGCACUGCUAACACAACUCAUGCUAACAAGAGACAUGGAAGAUCAUGAUCAACAUGCAGUACUGCACAGAAGAGAUACAUUUGACAGAACAGUAGUAAGCCUUUGACGGCUUAACCUGACAAAUGCCCAAAGAACAUUGAACCCCCCCAUACUAGUAUACCAUGCUAGCCAACAACGGAGAUGAACAUGCCUCUACCACUGUACCUAAUGAAUAAUCUGGCCGGUCAGAGAGGAGGCCGCCGCCGCUGCGGUCGACUGAAGACUAGCCGAGGUACACGUGCACGCCGACGGCGAGGAGCAGGAUGGCGAUGAGGGUGAAGUAGAUGAUGGCGUGGAUGAGAAUGGAGAGGCCGCUGGUCUGGAAGUUGCCGAACUCGAUGAUCCGGCCCUUGCCCGGGAUCUGGAACAGCAGCCCCGGCGAGAGGAGGAUGAACAGCACCAGUCCGAUGAACACCGGCGCCCAGUCCGCCAUGAUCUCAGAGCAGCUGCGGCGACGGCGACGACGAUGACCUCCUCACGGCUACAGGCUACCCCAGCCUCCACUGUGUGUGCUCUCAGCUAGCUCCUGCUCCUUCUGUUUGGUUUGGGAUGGUAUGGCGUAGGACCAGUGGGGGAGUGGUAGGAGGAGCGUGGAGAGGGUAAUAUAUAGUGGCCUUUUGGCCAGGGAAUAACUAAAUUGGAGGGCAAAAAGGAUGGUGGGUGCAUGUGUUGGGAGGGAGGGUGAUCCUCUGUGGCUAUAGGGAGGAUUGGUCAUGGUUUGGGUUUCUUACUCAGUCUUUCGGCGAUUCACACAUUUUGUGGUUUGUUACCAUCACAGAAUGAAGUCGGUUGUGAGAAAAGGGACAUGUGAAACUUGACACAUUGACGUAGCUGUAAAUUAUGUGUGACAGUAAGGGCUCGUUUGGCACGGUUGUGGAUGUAGCUGAAACGGCUUCGGCUGUGGCUCCUCUGGUGGAGCAGCUUCUCUGGUAAGGGCUGUGGCUUGUUUGGCAGGGUUGAUCAGUUUUUUCGGCUCCCUGUCUGUCUCUUGGCUCCUCUCAGCGGAAUUUUCGGGGCUUCAAUGCCGGAGCCGUUUACCGCAGCGCCGUUUGGCAAGGCUCCAGCGGAAGCCGCCUAAGGAGCCGGAGCUGGAGCCCCGCCAAAGAGGCUCUAAAUCGAUGUAGAUUAUACCAGCAGUGCUUGUUUUUGUUCUACUUUACUAACGUGUGACUCGGUACUUGUUUCCAAGUUUUUCCUAUUAACGUAUCACUAUCUACAAGAACGUGACUUUGUAGAUAGUUGCAGGCUUUUUACGGAUGCAUGGCAAGCUGUUACAUCAAUCAUGCUUGUUGGCCCUUUUCAUGGGAUCAUGUUGUGAUGGAGCAUGUUAGUUUGGUUGUCCUAUCAAUCCCAUUCAAGCUAGCAGUUUGAAGGCCCUUCUUUUGAUUCUUGUUGACGUAGAAAUUCAUUAACGUAACAUUUACACUUGCCAUCUUUUGUCAUCUACUUCUUAGUUCUUGCUAUUUUCUUACUAAUCUAACUGGAUGCUGACUUCGUUAAAUAUGCACGAUCUACUUCUAGAGUCCAACCUAAGUAAUAGACCGUUUACCUUAUGGUACAAGUAGGAGGCUUCACUUUCAACAAAUGAACAUGUGUGCAACCAUAAAACUGUGGGAGGUGGACCUGAAAAAGGAAAAAACAAGAACAAGAUGAGGUGGAGGAAAAAGAGCCAUAAAUGUGUGAUGGGUGUGCGAUCCUCUAUUGCUAUAGGAGGAUCGGCCAUGGUGUGUGGUUUUUCUUUAGAUAUGUGUUGAGACUUGAACUUGGCAUAUAUUACUAUAUUAGUGUAGCUCUAGAAGACCAUUAAUCAUAUGAUGUGAUAUCCAGGUCAUCUAUGCAAUUAUGUGGACACACUUUUUGUGCUAUAUUUGACGUGUGGCUGUUGGUAUCUUUCCUUUUUCUUGGCUCAUUGAUCUACUGUAGUGUGAUUAGUUAGUUUCUUGGCAUUUAUUUUACAAAUGUGGCAAGAUGUUUCGUCAAUAUACUAGUUCUUGUGCCUCUGUGGAUAUCUACUUCGUGGUUGUAGAGCUUUGGUGGUUAGUGUAUCUAUAGAAGAUUAUUAUGUGAUGAGAUAUCAAGGUUAGCUACGUAAUUAUGUGGACGCGCUUUUUGGCUGUCGGUAUCAUCCUUAGUUUUUCUUGUAGCUCAUUGAUCUCUACCUUGGUGUGUUUAGUUAGUUGCAUGGCACUUUACAAAUGUCAGCAAGAUGUUUCGUCAACCAUACUAGUUCUUCUGUCUCCACGGAUAUCUACUUUGUGGUGGUAGAGCUUGGUGGUUUGUUGGUCCUGUCAAUUUUUAUCUGCUACCAAAAUUCAACUGCCCCCAUCUUUUCUGUUUGAGUCUAACCAAUGUGCAGCUUGCAAUGGUCUGCGAGUUUUUAUAGUACAAGGCUUCGUCCUAUGACCUUGCUAUUGUACUCUAUGGUACAAGGAAAGCUUGAGUUAAUAUGUUCUUUAAAUUCUGUACCUUCAAACUUAAAAAUGUGCAGUAUUUUUCUUUGCUCUUUGAUUAGUCUAUUUGAAUAACAUGAAUCACAACCCAGUAGUGUCCUAUGCACUUCAACCAAGUUGCAGAAGAUCAAGACCAGGUGAUGAGGUGGUGGAGCUAGAUAGAAAGUGAAAGUGAGUCCAGAUGGAAUCAAAGGCAGUUGAUGGGAGAGAGAAAGAUCCCAAACCCAUGCAUCAGGUCAGUGGUCACCACUCAAGACACCCCGUACAUACCUCCUUGCAAAAUCUUUUCACACGCUUGUGACUGGCGUCCUCGUCGUCACACAUUGUCCGCUUGCUCUCGUUGGGGGAGGGCGUGGAAUAAAGGCCUCACAAAGAGGAGCGCCCAUGGUGGUUUGCAUGCAGGCCGGGUAUGGUCAUGGUGGGGGUGGUUGCCAUGUCCAUUUCAGCCCUGGCGCUCUGGAAGAUCGAUCUGGGCAGACGACGCAAGAGGAGGGCACUGUGGAGCUUUAUUGCCCGCAACGUACGGUUUGUUGGGAGAGGACCUUGAUGGAGUGUUUGGGCAAAUAUUGGACAAGGAAUGUAUGAUUGCCCUUGGGGCGUGUUUAGGGGGUAGAAAAUGAAAAUGUCCUAGAGGCAUUGCCUAUGAAUUACUAACUAAUAUGGAGUAAAUUUAACGUUUUCUAUUACUUUUGGAAUAGUUUGUUUUUUUUCUUUGGAAAAUACGACUUAUAGGUAGAGGAUAUUCAAGCCAUUUCUUUCACUAAAGUGUACAACAUAGCGCAUAUCUUGUAGAUGCGGAAGGUGGGUUCGCCGAUCCUCAGCAACAAUUGUCCGUGGGAGAAAUAACAUUACAUAUCCCCAUACCUCUGUUUGAAUUAAUAUAUCUUCCACAAGUUCAUCCAACUUUUUAGAGACCUUUGGUUAGCAAAGGGGGUUUAGUAUACUUUGGUAACUCGGAAUGGGCUUAAGAUCUCUUUAACUUUUCUAUUCUUGUUAAGACAUGAUCUUCUGCGAAAGCAGAGCAACCAUUUAUUAGCAGCAAAUUACCUCGCAGAUUUCUUUGAGCUUAUAAGUAUUACCUGCAUCGACCUUAAAAUGUUUACUUACCCUUUAAGCAACUUAAGCUUGAACUGCUUACUCCUUGAUUAGAGGAAAGAGCCAAAAUAUUUUGAGCUCAUUUGGUAACAUGCUUUGACUAUGUUUAUGGCAGGAGAAAGAGUGUGUUGAAGCAAAAACUAACAUUCUUGGAACCGGUGUGGUAAAUUUCUUUAUUCUCAUAGCCAAGCAUUGUACUACCUCCGUCCGCUAAUAUAUGACGUUGGUUAGUUGGUUAGUUCAUUUUUGAUCUAGCCAAUGUCAUAUAUAUUAAAGGAUGGAGGGAGUAUAUAUUAAAAACAAAUGACAUUAGUUAUUCUAUACACAACUCUUAUGGUAUUACAUCGUUAUGCAAUUUGGAGUAUAUUAGCAAUCUAUAACUUCUUCUGAAAACCUCCUAUUCCAGAAAUCAAGGUUAUGCAUUGUAGUAUAACAGUCACAAUCCAUCUCUCAGUUUCAACAGUAUGCAAAUAUAGAAAAGAAAAACUCAAUGCACCAUUGGUCUUUAUACUCGUGAUGCAUGCUUUUUCCUGAUGCCAGGCCAAUGAAUUAAUUGCCCCUAAAUCAUGGUGACGCAGAUAAAAUAGUGGAAGAUUAAUCUGUGCCAUGUGUUUCGCAAAAAUAAAAAUAUUAACAAUUCCAAUUGACUCUUUGUGCCUUGGUCUCCCCUAAAAAUGGCCUGUUUUUUUGUCAUUUCAUAACCAACCAUGGCACAAAAAGUAGCAAGAGAAAUUGCAGCGCAAUUCCUUUCCAGCUAACAUGGGGGGACCAAGCUUGUCGUGCUAACAAUACAGGGAAGCUUCCUGUGUGGGCCGGCCAGGGUUAGGUGCAUGGGCUGCAUCACCAACUGUGGCCCUUGUCAUCGUGCAUGGGUCACACCAUAGGUGUGUGACUGCGUGGUGUGUUUGAAUAGGAUACUAUUGCACCCAAUUAUUUGGUGCUUGGUUUUAUCUUUGGACAUUGGAGUCAUGUGCACAGUUGCAUUGCAUAUAUGUAUAGAGUUGUGGGUGAAGGAUGGAGAAGAGGAAUGAGUGUGGAUUGUGUCUGUGCCAAAUGAUUGUUGCUCCCAUUGUUGCUUCCUGGAUGGAUAGAUUGAUCUGUUGCAAGCUGAUUGGGGGUCAUAGAUUCUCAGCUUUUGUACUUCGUUUUUUUUUAAGGAACCUAGCUUUGUAGUUGGACUGAUGAAACUUCAGUAAGGAAGGCAUGUGAUUGCUUCAAUUCUAUUUGUUGUUCGUGGACCACAACCAUAGUGUCGUGCGCGUGUGAGGCUGGCCAUAUAUGGUCAUAUUCGGCUGGCCCAUUUGUGUUGCAAAUAAGGCCUGGCCCAACGGAACUACUAGAGGCUUCACUGGUACAUGAAAAAGCAAGAAGAGAAAAUGAGUAUCUUCUCAAAACCACCAAUUUUUUUUAUGUGCUCAAAAAGGGGAAAAAGGGAAUAAAACUAUAUAAAAUGAUAACUAGAUUCAGACUCUCUUUUGAGAGCUGUAACAUCCGGCUUUUUAGAACAUCUAAAAAUAUGGAUUUUUUUAAAAUUUUUCUUUAAUUAUAACAUAAUCUCUUUCCUGAAAUAUUCAAACCUUUUUAUAAACAAAGCUUGCAUAAAGUACUGGAGUGUUGCACUUGAUUGCUCUUUGGAAACUUCCCUUCCUUCCUAAAGAUUCUAGGAAUAAACCUCUCCAAAAUAUCUUCUUUUCCAAGAAUUCUAGGGUUGAUAUUCAAAUAUAAUUUGAAUAUUAAUCCCAUAACAAAUAAGGUUCACACCCAAUGCUACUCACAAAAUCUCAAACCCUCCAAAAGACCCUACACCUAUGUCCUAUCCAAACCUACAUUUCAAAUUUGACUUCAAAACCUUAUUCACAUAAACAAAAACCCUAAAACCACCUAUGGGCCGCCAACCCCAUUUUUGGCCUAUCCCCGCUUCCGACCUAGCCCACCCCCACGCUCACACGCGCGUCCAGGCACCGCGGGCCACUCCUAUAGCUGGCCCACUCGCCCUCCCUUUUUCCUUCUACGACCCAGUUGCCUUCUCCUUUCGGCCCACAUAGCGUACACCGGCCCAGCUCAUGAUGCGGUCGGCGUGCUCUCACCUACCAGUGCCGCCGCCACCGCUCGGUCGGCAGGCAGGAAUUCCCCCACCGCCGCCGCCAUUCCGACCACCCUGCGCCGCACUGCGCCCUACCACGCCACCCUGCUAUGCCCGGCAGGUGCAGCUCCCCUCGCUGGCGUCGGCCCUAAGGCAACCACCUCCUCUUUCCCUGCCAAUGCCACCUCACCUCCAUCCACCAUUAAUGUCGUUGCCACGACACGCGGCCGCAGCUCCGACAGUGCGGCUGUCAACCGGUAGAACACGACCCUCCAAUUUCUUCAUCGUCAACCUUAUCCUCCACCGCCGUUCAUCUCCGCUUUCCACCCUGAUAGCGCCAGCACGCCACCCUUAUCUCCCUUGCCACCACAUCCACCUCACCCUGCCGCUUGUCACCCUGCUGCCUGUCGUACAUACAUCUAUGGGCCCACUAAAAGGUUUGGACAGUCCUAAAUAUGAGGUUGGACACCAAGACGUAUCUAACAUGGAGAUUAUGGCACAGGACGAUGUAGUCUACAUGAAGAGACAGAAACUAAUCGAGGAUUAGAAAAGUACUCGUAGUAAUAAGAGUAGAACUCCUCUAGUCGAAUCCGACUAGUAUUCUUGUAACCAACCGACCUGUAAUCUUGCCCCGACAAUAUAAGGUGAGGUAGGGAUCUCCUCCAAAGCAAUUCAAUCCAACCAACACACAGGACAUAGGGUAUUACGCAAUCUAGCGGUCCGAACCUAUCUAAAUCACGUGUUUGCGUUUAUCUUCGAGUUCCUGAUCUCGGCGAGCCCCACUAACCAAAACACUACCUCGAGCACCCCCCUUGGUAGGUUGCUGGGUCUAAACACCAACAACUGGCGUGCCAGGUGGGGGACCUCACCAAGAAUCCACUGGUGAACUUGAUGGCACAAGUCAUCAUCAAGCCAAUCGUCGCAAUCGAAGCAGGCGCAACGUUUGUCUUUAGCUCCUGGGUUUGCAUCGUAGAUGGCACUAAAAAUUUCCACUGCCAUAUUGCGUCGACCCCGGAGAAGAAGCAACAAACAAUGAAGCUCCAGAACCAAGCUCUGGAGAAUCUCGUCAAGAAUUUUGGCGAAUUUUGAAUUUCUAACUUAGUCAGAGGCUGAGGGGAUGAGUCCGAGUUCAAUUCGACUUCUUCCACCAGUCGGAUUGACUUUCAUGAGCCAACACAUAAGCCAUCGUGCGAGUCAGACUACCACCUGAGUUGAUUCCCGUUCGGAUUCCGCAACGCGACCACUAGUUAUCAAACCGCCCUGUCCAGAUCACAGUUCGAUACGGAUAUGAUCGAGGACCUCGACUACUACUCGGACUCGGACGAGGAGACUCCUUUAUCAGGUCUGUAGUAGGGCCUGGUAAUCACAUCAACUCCCCAUGACAGAUUCGUCUACUGGCCCAACAUGAAGCCACCCACUCUUGCUAAAAAUGAUGAUUUGCGCCUCAUCGCUUACCUCGACACUCUCCUGUACUAGGAGGGAGCUCCUCUAUUGCCCAUCUACGAGGAAGGCGACACCACGGAGGUCAUCACUUCAAGCUCGGGAAGCUACUCUCCAGAGCGAGAACUCUUUGCCGUCAUUAUUGGACAAGAGGACGAAGAAGAAGAGCAACGGGAUAGAAACCCAAGACAUGAGCGUCAGUCGGAUGACGUCUCGCAGGAUGAACUCACCGCCAACGUUAUCGGAGAAGAGAUUGAAGCUCAAGGAACUCGACGACGAGCAAGAAACACCACAAGAGCAGAACGCCGCCACCGCUGCCUUGCAGCAGACCUACCAAUCCAGAACCUGGAUAAUGCUUUUGAAGCAGUUCAAAUGCGUCACCAUUGUACUCCCCUAGCUACCGUCGCGUCUAUUGAUCUCAUCACCCGCUCGAUGCCUCAGAACAAGUACACGAGACAGUUGGCUCAACUAGCUGAACUUGCGUACAGACAACUCGAUCAGCAGAAUCCGAUACAAUCAGUCCAACGCUCCCCAUCCUAGUAUAGUCAACAUGGCAGCAGGCAUAGAGGCCCUCCAUCCAGACCAAGCCAACUCAGAGGCUCCAAACCAAGCCAAGUUGGAGCUGAAGGUGGUCGAGCAGGACCCUCGGGAGGCCGUGGCCACCAUGGGGCUAACCUUGAGCCUGAACCUAGUAGAAGACCUCUACAAUAAGAUCAACACCAGCCACGACGCCCGUACCAUCAUCAACGGAUGGCGCCGCGAGCACGAGCAAAAGUCGAACACCCAAGAGAUGAUACUGACGGGUUCCCCACUUUCUCAAGACGUGUGAGGAGGACAAUUAUACCCAAAAAUUUCAAACCCGAAGGUAUCACCAAGUACGAUGGCAAGCAGGACCCAGUCCAAUGGCUAUGGUGCUACUCGCUAUCAAUACAAGCAACUGGGGGAAACGACGACACCAAAGUCAUCUACUUCCUAUCUGCAUGGAGGUGGCGCCACUCACAUGGCUCAAAUUAUUGGAUAAAAACUCCAUCGACUCGUGGAAGGACCUCAAGGUAGCGUUCACUAACAACUACACAGGGGCAAUGCAGCGUCCUGGCAACAGGAUCGACUUAUCUCAAGUUAUACAACAAGAAGGUGAGACCCUGAAAAGUUACUUACAUCACUUCUUCGACAAGAAGGCCACAAUCGUGGAUGUCAUGGAGUGCGACAUUAUAGACUGCUUCCAGAAUGGCCUCCACGACCGCUGGAUGUUCCAAGACUUUGGCAGAAGGCGCCCUGCUAAUGUCAAAUCUCUCAAGAUCAUGGUACAGGCAUGGGCAGAUGAAGAAGACAUGAAGAACGAAAGGUUCGAAUCCAAUCGCAACAAAGUCCAGAACAACAACAAUCAGAAUAAUGGCCAACGCUAUGACAAGAACCGCAACGAUCGCCCCAACAAUGACAACCAAAAUAAUUACUCGGGAGGUCACAACUGCAAGCGAAAGACAGAAAAUACUAUCACGACAAUGUCGCAGUCGUCCAAGAAAGGUGAUGGCAAGAAUCAAGAUUGGCCCUUGUUCAACGAGCUCCUGAAGAAAUAGUGCUUAUGACACUCAUAACACAAACACUCUGCAAUAGAUUGUUUUAGUCUACGAAGAGUCAUGAAGGAUUUGCUAGAGCCAUCUGGCACCAAAGACAAGGGCAAGGCCAAGGAUGACGAAGAUGAUGGUGACAAUGGUAAGUUCUAGAACCCAUCCAACAUCAUCAACAUCAUCUUCGGUGGAACCCCGGUUACUGCUACUAAGCGGUCCCAAAAGCUCACUCUUCGAGAGAUAAUGUCCAUUGAACCUGCGAUGCCAAUGUUCUGCAAAUGGUCUGAGGUGCCAAUUAUCUUCUCCAUGAAGGACCAAUGGACUAGUUUUUCAGACCCAGGAUGGUAUCCCCUCGUCCUGGAUCUGGUUGUCGCUGGCUCUAGACUUACUAAGGUACUCAUCGAUGGCGGUAGCGGUCUCAACGUCCUGUUCGCCAAGAUACUGAAGAAGAUGUGCCUCAACAUCACCGAUAUGCUCACCCCAAUGAAGUCUCCGUUCUAUGGGAUCGUCUGGGGCAACGUGGUUGUACCUCUCGGACAGGUGGUUUUGCUAGUUACCUUUGGGACCAAAGAACACUAUCGGACAGAAUACAUCCGGUUCGAGGUAGCGGAUUUCAAAACAUUGUACCACACCAUCGUCGGAAGAUCAGCAUUGGUCAAAUUUAUGGCCAUCCCGCACUACGUGUACCUAGUACUCAAGAUGCUAGGACCCAAGGGAGUACUCUCCCUACGCCACGUGAAAGAAGAUUGGAUCUACAGGAGGCCACGCGAAGAGGAGCACUUGGGAAGGCAAAAACCUCCCAAGCCAAUCAGCCUGAACACCUCCAAGCCGAUCGUCUUGGGGCUUUCCUGCCCCCAUUUAUCGUCGUCUUCGGUCCAGUUGAUUUAUAGGGCGUCGCUUACUCCUUUUUGCAUCAAUAUAUGUAGGAUCAUGGGGUAAUACCUCUGUUUGUCCUCGGGGUUGUACGGAGAUCUUGAUUUGUAAUCGUCAAACCUCUAUUUAAGAUCUAUUUGGUUAUCAUUCAUAUAUUGAUGAUGCUCUUUCAUGAAAAGGUUGGCCAACGCUACGUUAGUUGCUUUGUUGCUUACCUAGAAUGAUCAUCAUGCUGUGUUCUUAUGUUCCGAUAGUUGAGUACCCCUGUGUAGUGAUAGUAUUGUGGGAGGGAAAGUGUUGGGCAUGGUUCACAUCCACUCACGAUAGCACUUAGGUCUAGUUGUUUCUGGCAUGUUGGUUGCCUCUACUAGUAAUCCUAGAUCUCUAGGACAAGCGUUUAAUCUAUCUUGUUUACACCCUCUACUCUCCAUCUGCUUGAUAUCGACUGCUUAGUUCUUUCGUUAGCAUAAUCAUAUCUUAUACAAAGAGCUUUCAGUUACAUUGAUUAGUGUUUAGUUAAGCAUGCAAAUCCCUUAUUCCGUGGAUUGAUAAACCUUGGGGGAAUCUCUAAGGGAAAAACUACAACUGAUCCGUGUGCUUAUGGUCACAAAUUGGCGUGCUUACUUCCGUCAAUAAGCUUUUCUAGCAUCGUUGCCGGGAACAAGUCAGCUUUGCUACGUUUAACUUUGUAUUAAUUUUUGUUAACCUGUAACAUAUAACUUUUCUCUAGAAAAGAAAAUUUUUACUUUUGUUUUUUGUGUCUAGAUGGCUUUGAUCAAUUAAAACAAGGAGUAAGGGGAGAAGUCACUGCGGGACUAUGCAAUUCCAUUAACCAAUCAAUUCGACAUGCAGAAAUCUGACUCAGUGCUUGCAGCCACGCAGUACGAGUUGAAUCAAGGAAUCAUUGAGAUGGCUGGAAGUAAUCCUUUCCAAGGAGUGGAGAUUAAUAAUCCAUAUAGGCAAAUUGAGCGAUUCAUGAGGCUUUGCAACAUGCUACAACAAGGAGUCCCACCAGCUUGGUUUAGGUGGAAUCUAUUUCUGUUUUCACUUGCAGGUGAAGCAAAAAGAUGGUAUGCUGAAGCUUCUUUCGAUGUGAAGGGAAAUUUGGAGACACUAAUGAUAAAGUUUUGCGGAAGAUUUUUCUCCGUGAGCAAGGUACAAAAUCAAUUUUGUGCAAGGAGAAGAUGAAGAGAUAGAUCAAGCUUGGGAUUGAUUUAAUAGAUUACUCAAACGAGGUCCUAAGCUCGAAUUCUCAGCUGAUGUUUUGUUGCAUACAUUCUAUUUUUCACUAACCCAUAAAUGUUAGGAGUUCGUCCAAAUGUGUGGAGGAGGAGAUAUUAUGGAGAAAACACUCAGGGAGGCUGCUCAACUCUACAUAAUAUCAGCCGAGGAGCAACCGUUAAUAGAGAAUGGGAUAACUAUCAAUCUGGAGCAAGGAACACAAGGACAAAUGCUUGCUGGAAUUUUUUAGAAAAGAACUCCAGGAGGAUGCAAAAGAAAAACCUGUGGUGCAGAAAGAAGAAGAACCUGCGCACAAGAUGGAAGAACCGGCCCCUGGCAUUGAGAGUGCUAAACUAGAAACACUAGAAGCCCUUAAGCGAGUUUGAACAAAUGGAUUGGAUUCCAGUUGACUUCAGUUAAAUAUUCAAUAAGGAUAGACCAUAUCCAAAUCAAAAAGGUUGGCCAGAGCUGUUGAGAUAGAUUUUCCACCAGAGAGAAACACUGGGUAUGUGCUUGACAAGGAGACAGCUGGGGAGAUAAUUCAAAAACUCUUCAGUGAAGAAGAAGUAGACCCAGAUUACAUUACUGAAGUGAAAAGAAUCAUGGGAGUAAAGCUGGAGGCAUCGCCAUUUGCUAGUAUGAGAAAAGUAUACGCAAUUGGAGCUAAUCACAACGAAGGUGAACCUUUGUCUACACCUCAUAUUAAUUGCACAAUCAAUGGUGAGAUUAUCUACAAAGUGCUUUGCAACAUUGGAGCACACGUAAGUGUUAUGUAUUUGAAACUUUAUGAUGAGCUUUAUAGUAAAACUUUUCAAUUUGCUCUGACCCCAAUCAAUUUAAUUAUGGGAGAUGGUAGAACAACCAAACCUUUGGGUGUGCUUAGAGAUCUAGAUGUUGCUAUCUUGGGUAAAGUUAUACCAACUUUUUUCUUUGUUAUCGAUGCUUGCCAUGAUGAACAUGAUGAUAUAAUCCUUGGUAGGCCCUUUCUUAAGUUGGUUAAUGCUGUGCUUGAUGCUGGGAAGGGUAAAGUAACAAUUAAUCUUGACGGUGCCAAAUACACUUAUGAUUUUCUGCCUGCUUCUCGACAAAUCCUGCCUUUACCUCCUGAUAACGAGGAGGUGGAAAGUGUAUGUUUUGCUGAAAAUUUCAGGGAUCCUCUACUAAGAGCAAUGGAAAAUAAUGAAGAUAGCCAAGAUGACGAAUUGGGAGAAGCAACCGAUGCAUUGUCACCGCAAUUUGGAAUUCCUUAAGAAGAAAAAUUCGAAGACAUUGGAAACUUGGUGCAAGAAGAGUCCGAAGCACCAGAUGUUGAGCAAAAGCCAUUGCCCAAGGGAUUAAAAUAUGAAUAUUUUGGAGCCAAUAAGAUGUAUCCAAUCAUUGUCAGCAACAAGUUGAGCAAAGAAGAAAUCAAAAAGUUGCUGAAUUUAUGAAGAAAACAUCGAAAAGUGAUUGGAUACACAAUCAAUGACUUGAAGGGAAUCAGUCCAGCCUUCUACACUCAUCGAAUACAACUAGAAGACCAACAUAAGCCAGUUGUGGAGGGUCAGAGAAGACUGAGCCAUGCCAUGCGCGAUGCGGUAAAGAAACAAGUGAUAAAAUUGCUUAAUGGUGGGAUAAUUUAUCUAGUGCCACACAUCGAAUGGGUUAGCCUAGUGCAUUGCAUACCAAAGAAAGGAGGAUUGACUAUUGUAACAAAUGAGAAGAAUGAGCUAAUUCCUCAAAGGACAGUGACAGGAUGGAGAAUGUGUAUUGACUACUAGAAAUUAAACAAAGGAAGGAUCACUUCCCUUUGCCGUUCAUUGAUGAAAUGCUUGAAAGGUUAGCGAAGCACUCUUACUUUUGCUAUCUAGAUGGAUAUUUUGGCUUCUUUCAAAUUCCUAUACAUCUGGAUGAUCAUCAUAAGACUACAUUCACUUGUCCCUACGGAACUUUCACUUAUAGAAGAAUGCCUUUUAAUCUGUGCAAUGCACCCGCAUCAUUUCAACGUUGUAUGAUGGGUAUAUUCUCAGAUUUUAUUAAAAACAUUAUGAAGGUAUUUAUGGAUGACUUUUCUUUGCAUGGUACGAGCUUUGAAAAUUGCUUGGAAAAUCUUGAUAAAGUUUUUAAACGAUAUGGAGGAGUUGAUCUAGUCCUGAAUUAGGAAGAUGCCACUUCAUGGUAAAUCAAGGAAUAGUUUUGGGACAUUAUAUCGAAUAAAGAGGGAUAGAAGUUGAUAAAGCAAAGAUUGAAACUGUGGAAAAAUUACCUCUGCCAAUAGACAUCAAGUCAUUGAAAAGCUUUCUCGGACAUGCCGUAUUCUACAGAAGAUUUAUUAAAGACUUCUCGAAGAUAACAAAACCAUUGACACAACUUUCUCAGAAAGAUGUGAGCUUUGAAUUUAAUGAAGACUGCCUCCAUGCUUUUACAACUUUAAAGCAAUCACUUAUCAGUGCACCCAUCAUUCAACCUCCGGAUUGAAAUCUACCUUUUGAGAUAAUGUGUGAUGCAAGUGAUUAUGCUAUUGGAGAAGUCCUUGGACAAAGAAAAGAAGGGAAGGUACAUACAAUUUACUAUGCUAGCAAGACAUUAAAUGAGGCUCAAAUAAAUUAUGCAACUACAGAGAAGGAAUUGCCUGCUGUAGUAUUCACUUUUGAAAAAUUCGGAUCCUAUAUUGUGAAUUCUAAAGUGAUUGUGUACACUGACCAUGCUAUAAUUAAAUAUCUUUUGUCCAAGAAAGGUGUUAAACCACGACUGAUUCACUCAAUAUUGCUAUUACAAGAGUUUGAUGUGGAAAUCAAAGAUAAAAAGGGAUUAGAAAAUGUGGUAGCCGACCACUUGUCGAGAAUGUAUCAACAAGAUGAUGGAAAAGAGCCUAUAGAAGAUCGAAUAAGAGAUGACCAUUUAUAUAGAAUACUUGACAAGGUUGAUUGGAUGAUGACAUUAGUAGAGCAAUAAAAAGAGCACCUUUACAUCACUUGGAUAAGAAUGAAAGAAGAAAAGUAAUUGCUAAAAGUAAGAAAUACUUUUGGUCUACACCUUUUCUAUAUAGAUAUGGGGUAGGUGGAGUACUGAGAAGAUGCAUUCCAAGGGAAGAAAGAGAAGUGGUGCCUAGAAAAUUCCAUUCAUCAGAAUAUGGAGGACAUUAUGGACACUUCAGAACUCAAGCAAAAGUUUGGGCAAGCAGAUUUUAUUGGCCAGAAAUGUAUGAAGACGCAAAUAGGUUCAUUGCUACUUGCCUAGAAUGCCAAAGAACUGGAGAUAUUUGCAAGUGGAUCUAUUUCAUGUUUGGGGUAUAGAUUUGAUGGGACCAUUCUUAAAUUCACAUGGUUAUGAACAUAUCCUGGUCAUGGUUGAUUAUGUGUCUAAAUGGGUAGAAGCUAUCCCAUGUCGGAAGGCAUCAAUAGGAGAAUCAAUACAUAUGGUCAAGAUAAUAAUAUUUUAUAGGUAUGGAGUGCCUAGAAUAUUGAUAAGCGACGGAGGAUCGCACUUCAUAGGAAAGGACUUUGGCAAAUGUUUGAAGAAAUUGGGGAUUGAACAUAGAGUGUCUACAGCUUGUCAUCCUGAAACAAAUGGCCAGGCAGAAACUUCAAAUAAAUAGCUCAAGGAUAAUUGAAGAAGAUGAUAGUCAAAGGAGGGAAGGAUUGGUCAAAGAAACUAGACAGAACACUGUUGGCAUACAAGACAGCUCAUAAAACACCUAUAGGUAUGACCCCGUAUCAAUUUUGUCUAUGGAAAAACUUGUCAUCCUCCUGUCGAAUUAGAACAUAAAGCUUUUUGGGCUAUACAAGAGAUAAAUCUUGAUGUUCAUGUCGCAAGAGUAAAGAGAAGAAUUCAAAUAAGUGAAUUGGAAGAGAUGAGGCUUAAAGCUUACCAUGGUACAAGCAUUUAAAAGGAGAGAAUCAAGAGAUGGUUUGAUAAGAGGCUUCACAAGAAAGAACUCAAAGAAGGAGAUAAAGUGCUAUUAUUCAAUUCAAGAUUUAAACUCUUCGGUAAAGGAAAAUUGAUGAGAAAAUGGGAUGGACCGUAUGUGGUUCAUUUGUGUCGCCUACUAGAGUGGUAACGAUCAUGGAUGUCAAAAGAGAUCAAUAUGUUGUGAAUGGGCAGCAACUAAAAGUAUUCUUGGAACCCGAUGUCGUGCCUAUCAAUUAUGUUGACAUCUACAUCAUGGAGGAAGAACGACUUUGUCAAGCCUGACGAUGAUAAAACAAGUACCUUGUACAUACUUUAUUUUCAUUAUAUUAUUUUGUUUCAAAUUUUUGUGUGGGACUCAAAACAUUAGAUUUAUUUUUGGACGUACGCACUGCCACGAAAAAAUAGAGGUCAUAUGGGCUAGAAACCCCUUGGGCCGAUCGGCCCAGAGACCCCCAAGCCGAUCGGCCUGGGGUGUUCUUGACUCCGAUUCAGUUCCCCCUGCCCCAUUUUAGGUAAUGACCAUUUAUGGAAGUGAAUUUUUGUUGGAAGAGACGAAGGGGUUUUUGGAAAUGUGUGGAUCCUUGUCCAAGACUUCAAGAGUAUAUAAUGGAGGCAAGUUAGAGGUCGAAUUUCGCAUCUACAGUAGCAAUUCAGAUCCACCAAAACCAGAAAAAUGUGCAGUGGAGGUGACCAAGAACUCGGGAGCGAGAGGGGGGUGCUGGCGGCCAAGGGACAGGCCAGGGCGAUCGGCCCAGCCCCCUCUGAUGGCUGCUGGCAUUCCCCUUCGAGUGGAAGUUAAGAGGUGUGACUUUGGUCCCAAAACUCUGCCAAGGACCUCUCUCAAUGCUUGCAUCAGCGUUGGAGGGAAGGCGCCAUCUGGAAAGCUCAUAGAUUGCAAGUUGAUCAUCCUCUCAAGUGAAGAUGAACCACCCAAGAAGAAGGAGGUCGUCAUCGCUCCCACAAGGUAUUCGGCAAGGCUUCUCGGGAUCAAGCGCAAGAGCUAUGUGGAGAAGAUGCCCGAGUACACGCUGGCUGACUAUGGAGGUGAUAGUGAUUGGGAGGACGAUAGGAUCCGAGGAUCAUUUGGUGUUGUAGGCCGUGAUGAUGGAGAAGAUGAUGGUACGUACUGGGAUUGGGUUGGAGAAAAGAAGGAUUGCAAGGAGCAAGAUGGCCGCCGUCAAGACAAGGGCGAAGAAGAAGAUCCAGAAGAUGAUGCCCCAGAACCUGAAGAACAUCUACAAUCUUGUUGCAUCGCUUGCCGUAAGAACAUCCAAUACCUCUUUGACGCCAUCAAUGACAUCAUGCAAGCCAUGCAGGAGCUAGAUCACAAGGUGGAGGAGAACGAUCGCCACCAGGAGGACUACUUCAAGUUCUUGUAGAGGAACGUGAGGAAGCUCUUCAGGAUGUGCGGCAACAUGAGGAAGAACAAGCCCCAUGGUGAAGGAAGCAGCAGCCACCCCAUGUGCAACCAGUGCAGGUAGUGUCACUAGUACAUUUACGAGCGUCUCACCUCUUUGUAUUCAUGUGGUUAUGAAGAGGAUGUCAUAGAUCUUAAGCAUGUGUGUGGGUGGGGGGGGGGGGGGGUGGGUUGGGGAUCGCCGCUCGUAAGGAGUUUUUUGGAUCUGGUUUAGUUGAGUCUAGUCGUGUGAGUCUUAUUUAGUGUUUUUAUUUCAAUCCAAAGUAGAUAAAGUAGUAGUCUUCUUAAGGUACUAGGAAGACUUAAGCCUAAAUCGCUACUUUAGUAUCUUUGUGAGAAGAAGCAUGAAUAAAAUUCGAGGAUCGUGCGAGUAUUUUAGUGUCUACCUUUUCUUUCUUGUUUUUACCUUGUCUUUGCAACAUUGGAUCAUGAGCCUUGUCUUGAAUUUCAAAUCUUUGUUGUGGAGUUUAGUAAUUGGUUCAUUUAUGCAAUACCCAUGCUUCAUGAUGAUCUAGUACUUUGGUUUUGAUUAUGCUCUAUGAGUAAGGCUUGAUUUGGAUGUAAUUUGAAUUUUUAUUGUUUAUCUAAAACCUCUGCAAAAACAAGAUUGAUUAAGUAUUCUAGUAGGUUGAGAGUAUUACCUAUAAUUUUUUUAUUUCACCACCAUAAGCGGAGGUGAUGCUUUGAAUUGAGUGUCGGGAAUGCAUCCCCGGGCCCACGAGUAGACCCUGGACGGCCCACAAAGGGACGUACUCGGAUAUGAUCAGGACAAGGGAUAGGCGUAUCCCGCUCGGACUAGUCAAGUAUGUGUAUGGAAAACUACUCGGGCCAUACCGAGUAGAACUCUGUAAUAGUACUCGACUAGGACUUGGACUUGUAACCCUGCCCUCCCGUGCAUAUAAGGGUGGACAGGGACCCCCCUCAAACAAACACACAGGACGUAGGGUAUUACGCGAUCUAGCGGCCCGAACUUGUCUAAAUCAUGUUCCUUGCGUCACCAUUGAUUCCUUGAUUCUCGACGAUCCUUACCGCACAAAAGACCACCUAGGGUACCCCCUAGGCGGGUUGCCGGUCUAAAACACCGACAGUUGGCAUGCCAGGUAGGGGAACUUGUUAAGUUUCUCAGCGUGAACUCAAUGGCAAUAGUCACCAUCAAGCCCGUCUUCACCAUCGGAGCGGGCGCAACCUUCAUUUUUGGAUCCUGGCUCUGCAUUGCCAAUGGCGCUGGUUCGUUCCGGCGCCAGAUCAUCAACGCCCAGGAGAAGAAAUCGGAGGGUUUGGUCAGAAAAAACCAAGAUUUCAAAGUCGACAACUUCGAGUUCGACUACACGUCGGACUCGACUUCGGUUCGGACUAGUCGGUCCCAAUCACUUCCCAAGCAGGCUUCGACUCCAAAACGGUUUCCGCACGGACACCGCAAUGCAGCCGAAGCCCACCAGGGUUUUCUUACUCGAAUUCAACUCGAACUCGGGCACGACGAAGAUGAUGACUCCAACUCGGUUUAUCUGCCAGAGAUACCAUUAUCUGGUCCAGCCCAAGGACUGGUAAUAACUUCAAUGUCACAAGGCAAAUUCGUACAUUGGCUAGGUUUGAGACCAUCUCUUCUUGCCCGCGACUACGACUCGCGCCUUGUCACUCAUAUAGACAACCUCCCAUACCAAGAGGGUGUCCCACUCACUUCCAACCGCGAGGAAAGUUCCACAGAGAUUGUAACAUCAAGCUCCGGAAGCUACUACCCAGACAGGGAAGUCCUUGUUAUUACUCAAAAUAACAACCUGGGUACUAGCCAGAAUAGAACCCUCAGGCGAUUAGCACAACUCGACAAUAUCUCAGAAGACGAGUCUACAGCUGAUGCCCCAUAAAAUGAAACCUCUGAUCAAAGAAACCAAAGAAGGAUGCGCAACACUACUCGAGCUGAGCAACGACAGUCGAUGGCUACAAAUAUUCCCAUCACAAACCUCAAAAGAGCUUUCGACGUAGUUCAUGCUCAAGAGCACAAUACCCCACUUGCGGUAAUUGCUUCUAUCAAUCUGUUAACAACGUUAAUGCCUGAAGACAAGGACAACACAACCACAGCUUAGCUCGUGCAGCGCGGCAAUGGACUAAUCGCACAACUCACGGAGCAAGCUUACAAGCUACUCGACAAAGAAUCACCAAUUCCAUCCGUUCCUCGCAUCAUAGCUCACCAAGAGGGCAGUAGAGGUGCUGCAGCCAACAACAACGAUGCUCCAAGAAACGACAAUGAAGUCGUCAACCAGCCUCGGCAACACAGCCAAGGCCCAAGCAAACACAAUGCCCCAACACGCCAUAAGGAUGUUGGAGAGGCCAGCUGCACCAACUCGGUGAAAAGCAUUCACCCUACUCGGAAGAAUCACGAAGUGUCCAACUUUAGUGAUCUAUGAGAAAUACUCAACAGUCGGCGCAAGCGAGAAGUUGACAACUACAACCACUUUCCUGCUUUCACUAAUCGGGUAAUGAAGACAAGACUACGUGACAAGUUCAAGCCAACAGGAAUUACCAAGUACGAUGGCAAGCAAGACCCUAUCCAAUGGCUAUGAUGGUACUCCUUGGCAGUUCAGGCAGCCGGAGGCAAUAACGACACCAAAGUCAUCCACUUCCCCAUAUGCAUGGAACCCGCACCAUUGAUGUGGCUUGAGUCACUCAAACCCAAGUCUAUUGACUCUUGGGCAGAUUUGAUAAAAGCUUUCACCAACAACUUUGCCAGCUCCAUGGCUAGACCAGGCAACAAGAUCGACUUAAGUCAAAUUAAGCAAAAAGAAGGUGAAACCUUAUGCGACUAUUUGAGAUGGUUCUUCGAAAAGAAGGCAACCAUAGUUGACAUUUCAGAAACAGACGUCAUCGAGUGCUUCCAGAACAGACUCUACGAUCGACGAACAUAUCAAGACUUCGGUCGAUGAUGACCAGCUAAUGUCAAAGACCUUAAAGUUAUGGUGCAAUAGUGGGCAGAUGAAGAAGACAAAGAGCGAGAACGGUUCGGCUCCCACCACAACCGUGGACGCGACAACAACAACAACAAUGACCAGGAUAGAACUCGACACAAUGAUACUCGAAACAACUUCUCGAGCAAUCACAAUCACAAAAGGAAGCCCAACAACACUGUUGCUGCCAUGACCAACUCCGGGAAAAAGGGAUCCCGCAAAAACGAUGAAGGGCUGACCUUCACCGAACUACUCAAAAAGCAGUGCCCAUGGCACCCGACUAGCAAACACUCGGCAAUAGACUGCUACAGCAUGCACCGAGUAAUGCAAGACUUACCCGCACCACCACCCCCUGAAGAGUACACCAAGAAAAAGGAUAAGGGCAAGAACAAAGCCCACAACGAAGAAGAAGAAGAAGGCGACUUCCAGACCGCCUCAAAAAUAGUCAACGUCAUCUUUGGCGGAAUCCCAGGCACCGCGUCCAAACGAGCCAACAAACUCGUACUCAGGGAGAUCAUGGCCAUCGAACCAACAGAUCCAACAUCGCUAAAGUGGUCAGAGGUGCCCAUAUCCUUCAGCAGAAAGGACCAAUGGUCCAAGUUCUCUGAACCAGGCCGGUUCCCCCUAGUACUCGAUCCCGUUGUGGCAGGCUCAAAGCUAACCAAAGUACUCAUCGAUGGCGGAAGUGGACUCAACGUCAUUUUCGCCAAAACAUUGAGGAAGAUGUGCCUCGACGUUACAGAAAUGCUUACUCUAAUAGAUUCACCCUUCUAUGGCAUCGUACUUGGAAACACAGCUAUACCACUAGGACAAGUCAUCCUCCCAGUUACCUUUGGAACUAAGGAACACUACUGUACCGAGUACAUCAGAUUUGAAGUUGCUGACUUCGAGUCAUCUUACCAUGCCAUACUCGGAAGGCCAGCACUCGCCAAGUUCAUGGCCAUACCACACUAUGUUUACUUGGUACUCAAAAUGGUAGGCCCCAAGGGAGAACUAACGCUACAAGGAGAUCUACGGCGGUCCUACGAAUGCGACACCGAAGCCAUGGAAAUCGCCGUGACUUCUCAAGCACCUAUCCCCAUGCAACAAGUCUUCACAGCUUCAAAGAAGCUCCAUCCAACUGAACUCGAGAUCCCAGAAAACAAGUCGGGGUCUACAAAGGUGAAACCCGCAAGCGAGCAAGACUUCAAACAAGACGAUCUCCAGACAGGAGACUCCUCCAAGACAGCCCUGAUCGGAACAGGGCUAGAUCCUAAAUAGGAAUCCACGCUCGUCAGUUUCCUUCAGGCUAACCACGAUAUCUUCGCUUGGAAACCAGCUGACAUGCCAGGUGUGCCCAAGGAACUGAUCGAGCACUCUCUAAAUGUUGAUCCCAAAGCUACUCCAAAACGGCAGUGACUCCAUAGAUUCGCUCAAGACAGAUGAGAAGCAAUCAAAAAAGAGCUAGCCAAGCUACUCGUGACGGGGUUCAUCAAAGAAGUUUUUCACCCUGACUGGUUAGCAAAUCCUGUACUCGUUCGUAAGAAAAACAACGAGUGGAGAAUGUGCGUCACCUACACUGACCUCAACAAGCACUGUCCAAAAGACCCUUUUGGACUACCCAGGAUCGACCAAGUGGUCAACUCCACCGCUGGGUGCGCUUUACUAUGCUUUCUCGACUGCUACUCCGGCUAUCAUCAGAUAAGCCUGAAGGAAGAAGAUCAAGCCAAAACAGCUUUCAUCACACCUUUUGGAGCUUUCUGCUACAAAACAAUGUCCUUCGGACUAAAGAGUGCGGGAGCAACUUAUCAACGAGCUAUACAGAUGUGCUUCGAAAAGCAACUUCACCGCAAUGUCGAAUCUUAUGUCGACGACAUAGUUGUCAAAACAAGAAAUCAGGAGGAACUCAUCGCUGAUCUGGAGGAAACUUUCUCUAGUCUAAGAGCUUUCUAAUGGAAACUCAAUCCUACUAAGUGCGUCUUCAUAGUACCUUCUGGCAAGUUACUUGGGUUCAUCAUUAGCCAUCGCGGCAUUGAGGCUGUUGGGAUACAAGGUAGGCUACGCUAGCGCAAAACAAAAUUUUUCUACCACGUAAACCAGGAAAACUGCCGUAUAUGGAACACGGGAUUACCACUCGACGCACUGGUAUGAAAGAUGUAGAAUCGUGUCGGGGCAGCGAAGUUGAUCAGUGUAGUUAAACACAUAGUCAAUCACGUCGACGUCCAGCAGCUCCUCAGCAGCUCGUCCACGUGCAGCAAGAUCGUCCUCGUGCCGCGACUCGUCGUGGCUCAUCGGCGGCUCGUCCAAGUGCUGCAAGUGCAACACCUCCAAGGUAUCCACACGUGUAGGAAGGAAGCGUCGCAAGCCGAACUGCUAGGUCCGCGAGUUGGAACAGGGCGAGGGCAUGGGAGGCGCGACAGAUGUGUUUCGGCCAAAGGGAUGAAACCCUAGGGCAUCCCACCCCUCUAUUUAUAGAGGUUCCUGAUGGGCCUCUGGGUCCGAGGCCCAUUAGUACUUCUAAACCUAAUCCAACUUGGAUCAUAUCCGAAUUGGGCUUCCAGCCCCUUAAGUGUGUGACCCUAUGGGUUCAAAUACAUAUAAACAUGGUCUGAGUACUCCUACUCGGCCCAAUAGUCGGUAGCGGCCUCUAGCAAGACGUGCCAACUCCUAUACGCACACGAAGAUCAUAUCAGACGAACCGUCACAACAUCAUGUACAUGCUAUUCCCUUUGCCUCAUGAUAUUUGGUCUAGCUUCAAGCCGACCGCUCUUUCUCAAUCUUGUGACUCGGAAUCCCUUUGCAGGUUAGCUCUUAACCGUACGUAGCAUGGCCAUGCAUUUUCGGAUCCGAUCACUCGAGGGCCCCAGAGAUAUCACUCUCAAUCAGAGAGGGGCAAAUCCCAUCUUGAUUGACCAUGUCUCACAGCAUGCUUCUUGACAAACCUGAAAGCUACCUUUUUAACUACCCUGUCACGGUGUAGCGUUUGAUAGCCCAUAAGUAAGUCGAUAUACAUCUUGAGUACAUGCAACAAUCUCAGGUCUAAGGACAAAGGGUACAUGUUGUGUAAAGAGAGAACUACUUCUCGUGUUGGGUCAGUCCUAGCACAUGUCUCCACAUGUGCCCACAUUAUUAGUUUGACAUCUCCAUGUCCAUGACUUGUGAAACAUAGUCAUCAACUAAUACAUGUGCUAGUCUAAUAUUCAUGUGUGUCCUCACAUGAACUCCGACUAGGGACAAUUUUAGAAUAACCAUACAAGUAUAGAGUUUCACAUACAAUUCACAUAAUUGCAAAUCAAUUCAAGUAGCAUUUAAUGGAUAUUCAAGGAACACAAUAUAAAUCAUGGAUACAAAUGGAAUGUCAUCAUCUCUAUGAUUGCCUCUAGUGCAUACCUCCAACAGGCGGCACUAGAGGAUCACGGCGGAGGAAAACAGGAAAGGUGGGUGGAGAAGAAGAGAAACAGAUCUGCUACAGUGGGGCGUAAACCUAACCGAAAGGGGGCCCUCCAGUUAUAUCUCGGCCACCUCCGGUUUCUAAGCAUCAGUUACGCAACAGACAGAUUUUAAGCAAAUUAAUUACCUUAAAACUCCCAACGGCUACUCUUUUCAAUGGGUUUUUGAUCACUUCAACGACAAAAAUCGCCUAAGUGCUCGGGGGCUGCGGGUACCAUACCCGAUGGUCAGAAUUUUCUUUUUCAGAUUUCCGAGGGUAAACCAGUCAAAAAGCAGGAUUGACCCUAAGCCUGACUCUUCGACUCAACCUAAGGCUCGGGGGCUACUCCAUAUAAAGUGCGAUUGACAUCGCACUACCAUAUAAAAACUCUCGGAACAGAAGCAACUCAAAGGAACAAGAAGAGUACCUUCCAGCCACGUGACAAUACUCGAGCACUUCGGACACUGCAACCUCUAUGACAAAACUGCUCGGAUGGUGCCCACAGUACUCGAGACUGUGGCGCAUGACUACAAUGUACUCAGGGGCUUGUCGGGCAUGCAUCCCGGGCCCACGAGUAGACCCUGGACGGCCCACAAAGGGACGUACUCGGAUAUGAUCAGGACAAGGGAUAGGCGUAUCCCACUCGGACUAGUCAAGUAUGUGUAUGGAAAACUACUCGGGCCAUUGUUGGAGGUAUGCCCUAGAGGCAAUCAUAGAGAUGAUGAUAUUCCAUUUGUAUCCAUGAUUUGUAUAUUGUGUGCAUUGAAUAUCCAUUAAAGGCUACUUGAAUUGAUUUGCAAUUAUGUGAAUUGUAUGUAAAACUCUUUACUUGUAUGGUUAUUCUAAAGUUGUCCCUAGUCGGAGUUCAUGUGAGGACACACAUGAAUAUUAGACUAGCACAUGUAUUAGUUGAUGACUAUGUUUCACAAGUCAUGGACAUGGAGAUGUCAAACUAAUAAUGUGGGCACAUGUGGAGACAUGUGCUAGGACUGACCCAACACGAGAAGUAGUUCUCUCUUUACACAACAUGUACCCUUUGUCCUUAGACCUGAGAUUGUCGCAUGUACUCAAGAUGUAUAUCGACUUACUUAUGGGCUAUCAAACGCUACACCGUGACAGGGUAGUUAAAAAGGUAGCUUUCAGGUUUGUCAAGAAGCAUGCUGUGAGACAUGGUCAAUCAAGAUGGGAUUUGCCCCUCUCUGAUUGAGAGUGAUAUCUCUGGGGCCCUCGAGUGAUCGGAUCCGAAAAUGCAUGGCCAUGCUACGUAUGGUUAAGAGCUAACCUGCAAAGGGAUUUCGAGUCACAAGAUCGAGAAAGAGCGGUCGGCUUGAAGCUAGACCAAAUAUUGUGAGGCAAAGGGAAUAUCAUGUAUAUUAUGUUGUGAUGGUUUGUCUGAUAUGAUCUUCGUGUGCGUAUAGGAGUUGGCACGUCUUGCUAGAGGCCGCUACCGACUAUUGGGCCGAGUAGGAGUACUCGGGCCAUGUCUAUACGUAUCCAAACCCAUAGGGUCACACACUUAAGGGGCUGGAAGCCCAAUUCGGAUCUGAUCCGAGUUGGAUUAGGUUUAGAAGUACUAAUGGGCCUCGGACCCAGAGGCCCGUCAGGAACCUCUAUAAAUAGAGGGGUGGGGGCGCCCUAGGGUUUACACCUUUUGGCGAAACACAUCUGCCGUGCCUCCCACGCCCUCGCCUGUUGCAACUCACGAAUCUAGCAGUCCGGCUUGCGACGCUUCCUCCCUGCACGUGUGGAUACCUUGGAGGUGUUGCGCCUGCAGCACUUGGACGAGCCGCCGACGAGCCGACGACGAGCCGCGGCACGAGGGCGAUCUUGCUGCACGUGGACGAGCUGCGGAGGAGCUGCUGGACGUUGACGUGAUCGACUACGUACGACUACGUGAUCGUCUUCACUGCAUCAACGCAUAUCUACAUCUUCCGCACCAGUAGUGCGUCGAGUGGUAAUCCCGUGAUCCUUAUACGGCAGCUCUUCCUGGUUUUACGCGGUAGAAAUUUUGAUUUGCGCUAGUGUAGCCUACCUCAUAUCUCAACAGCCAUACCGAGUAAAACUCUGUAAUAGUACUCGACUAGGACUCGGACUUGUAACCCUGCCCUCUCGUGCAUAUAAGGGCAGACAAGGACCCCCCCUCAAACGAAACAACUCCAGUUCAUCCAAGAUCAAUACAAACAAACACAUAGGAUGUAGGGUAUUACGCGAUCUAGCGGCCCGAACCUGUCUAAAUCAUGUUCCUUGCGUCACCAUUGAUUCCUUGAUUCUCGACAAUCCUGACCACACAAAAGACCACCUAGGGUACCCCCUAGGCGGGUUGCCGGUCUAAAACACCGACAUUGAGUUAGGAUCACUCUCUCUUUGUUUGAUUUAAUUCUAAGCAUUGAUCAUAUCCUUUUACCAUCUCUGUUUGCUAUCCUCGUCAAUAUUCAGUAAUGAGAGUUCUUCAUUGGAACAAUCAUAUUUUCUACUGAAUUACUAAAACUGAACCAAAUGUUUCUCAAUUUUAUUAUCUAUUCCUUGAACACAACCCAAUAUUCGAAGAUAUGUUGCAUUUUUAGUCGUAGAAUAUCAAAAAUUAUGGAAGAUGUUGUAUAUGGAAGUCACACCAAAAAGAGGAAUGAAAAAGGAGGGUAGAGGAGGCCAGGCCAAUCGGCUUGGCACCCUAUAGGCCAAUUAGCCUGGGGUCCCCCUGCCUCGAUUCGUGCAUGAAAAAUUCCUGGAAGGUCUCUAGAAUAUUCUAAAGCUAAUUUUUAUGGGGGGCUGUUCAGAGGAAGUUCGGAGAAGAGGUGAAAAAUAAAGGAAGAAAGGAAGAAGGAAAGAAAGAGAAAACGUAUUGAGAAAAAGAAAAAAGAAAUAAUAGAGAAAGGAAGAAAGAAAUAAGAGGAGGAGUUUUUACUACCUUGAAGAUUAAGAAAAGUGCAAAGAAGGAUGACCUUGUUUAUGGAACGGGAUGGCUUUUCCAACCAUGUGCAAUCCGAUGACGAGGACACCAUUUGUUCCUCAGAGUCAUUAUUUUAUUUGCCUUUGCCCAUGUCCACCAUUCUAUAUCUUCUCAUCCUUGAAAACCUCACAUUAUGUGGAUAUUCUUAUGAUCAUUGGCUCGAAAGGUAGGCAACCGUUAGAGAGUGUUCUUAAUUCGAUAAUAUAAGUGUUAACUCUAGCUAGUUGUACCCAAGCUCCACCAGAUAAUUAAGUGACUUUUUAGAGAUGAGAGCUUGCAAGAAAAUAGGAUAGCUACCUUUUAAAUUGAGUGACAUGUGAGCACGUGGAAAAUAAUUCUUGUUUCAAUUAUUGUUGUAGGGAGAAUGUUUUAUGAUGAAAGAAAAACCCUCCAAAUAGAGCUAGAAAGUAAGAGUGGUUGAUUCUUAAAGUUACUUGGUUCUGAAUGAAAGCUAUGGGGGAUUUUGCUUAGAUGAAUCUUUGAAAACCCAUACUUUGAUUAUCUUUGCUGCUCCGCUGAUCUUUUGUUUGGAGGACUUGGUGCUUGACUCGCUUGCUCAAGUUAGGUUCAAGAUCUUUGUUGAUCUUUGUUCAACCGUUGGAGGAAGUUUAUAGUCGCCAAACCUGCUUGAGGACGAGCAAAAGUUAAGCGUGGGGGGAUUGUUGACCCUCACUAUUUACACACUUUUAGUGUUAUUUAACUAGUAUUUUCAUGUUUAAUCUUAUAUUAACCCACACUUGGCACUUGAAAUAACCCCAUUAUUGCAUAUCUGUUGUAUUUUGAAGCAUAUUGUAUUUUGUCAGGAUAUGACAUAAUCAAGGGGGUUUGCAUAAAGACCUUAAUGGAAAUUUGGACAUGGGUUGUCGAGGGAAGCCAGCACGAGGAAGGAGAGGACCAAAAGGGCUAGAAAGGGCCUAGGCUGAUCGGCCUGGGACCCUCUAGGUCAAUCAGCCUAGCCCAUUCUUAGGCCCAGUCGACCUCCUAUUUGUUCAACGUGAAGUCUACGAUGUUGUUUAGGGUUUUUUCACCGACAUCGACGCAGAGCUGUCGCCUACGAAGGAAUAUAAAUAUCCCUUGAUGAUCAUUAAGGAAAGGAGAGUUGGAGAAGGGAGGAAACACCAUGAGAACACCAUCCACUACCGCCAUAAGAACGAAAAAUGGAGAGAAGAUUGGAUCUACAGGAGGCCACGCAAAGAGGAGCACCAAGGGAGGCAAAAACCUCCCAAGCCGAUAGGCUUGGAGGUGCCCAGGUCGAUCAGCCUGGGCUUUCCUGCCCCCGUUCGUCAUAGGCAACUCGAUCAGCAAGCUCGGGGGCUAGCACUAAAGUGUCAUUUAGUGAUGAAAUUACAUCGUGCAUAAGUGCGGCAAUAAGGGAUACAACACCUGUUGUUAUUUCCGGCACAGGCUGCUCCUCCGGCAGUGGACUUGUUGUUAUUUCCGGCACAGGCUGCUCCUCCAGCGGCGGACUUGUAGGCGCCAGGACGAGGUCUUGGGCCAAGUGGCUACUGCCAUCGGUUGUAGACUUCGGGAUAAGGCCUCCAAUUUCCACGCUGGCAGAUUUCCUAAAAAAGACAAGGGUCAGAAGACAUACUACAAGGCAAUAUCAAAUCACAAUCAGUAUUCAAAUGACAUUCUAGUACUUACUUUGUGGACCUCUUUAUUUUCAAAGAGGGGUCCCCCACCAUGCCCAUGGGCUUGAUAGUAGGGGAUGGCUUCUUCGGUGCGGCUUGUUGGAUCGCAGUCUGAUCCUCGCCAGCCUUGGUCACCAUCUCCGCCCCUGGGGUAGUUUGUGUGCCAAUGGGGUUGGCCCUAGCAACGAGAGGUUCUUCAUCAUCCUCAAUCUCGAUGACCUCCUCGAUCGCUGGUAGUUGCUGCUGUGCGACUUCUGUAGUGGUUCUCUCUGCCUCAGUGUACUCCCGGACUACCUGCAAUCCACCAGCGUCGUAUUGAGUAGACCUGGUGGUAAGGAAUUUACUUACGAGUACUCUAUCCUCAGGAUCUUAUCCUUCUUCGAAGGUGAUUACCGGAGGAGGCACAUCCUUGGCGGUGAAAAGCUUCUUUGCCACACGCUUCACGUCAACACUACGCCUCUUCUUCGGUGGCGGCGCUAGUUCGACUUCCAGAUUCUCCUCCGCCGCUCAUUUGGAUGACCCGGAGGAAGACCCGGCUUUGUCUGAUGGUCGGGACUUGAUUACAAACUCUUCAGCACCUCUAGAGUCGAAGCUCCUGAAGGAUGAGAACCCCUCUAACUCCUCUUCCUUGACUACCCUCUAUACACUGGCUGUUGUGUGUACGCGUGGAGCGGUGUCAGAGCCAUCCGAUCCGGGUGGAGGAGGAGUGGAGCAGAACAAGUCCACGGAGACAUCUGGUGACAUCCGUGACGGAUCGUUGGGGCCAGAGUAGUCAUAGCCCCAAGUGCAUCGUAGUUGCAGGGGAUGGAUCCACCUCUUCAUGAAACUAAAUGCCACUCCUACUCCUAUCAGCCCUUGCUGCUUGAGUAAGGCUAUCUUCUCCAGGAGGUCGGGUAGCUGCAGAAUAUCUCCGUGGGUAAGCUCAUCCAAUCACCGGUUGUUCCAAAUUGGGCGGUGGCCUAUCACCUUGGGAAGUCUGGGCUCGUGGUUGCUGAUAUAGCACCACCUCUCUUUCCAGCCAGAAUGCGAGACAAUUAAUUCAUAAUCCAAAUAUAAUUCCUUGGCUUUAUCCCUCAUUUGAAUCCUAGAUCCCCCAACUACUUCUGUAUGUUCCAUCUUGGGCUGGGGCUUGACUCCGAAGAUCUUCCGGAACAGCUGAAAAUGCGGCUGGAUUCAAGGAAGGCUUCACAAAGAUGCACAAAAAUUGCAAUGUGCAGAAUGGAGUUGGGGUUAAGGUGAACCAUAUCCAACUUGUAAUACUCCAAAAGCCCGUGAAAGAAAUCUGAAGUGGGCAAAGCCAAGCCAUGCUCAAUGAAGUCCAUGAAGAUUACCGUUUCACCGGUAUAGGUCUCCAUUGGCCAGAGGUUGCCAUAGGAGAAGAUUGGCUGCCACCAGUACCUUGAUGUCUGCCUCUUUCAGCACGGACUUCUUCCAGGUGCAGGCAGGCAAUGGCAGGGCUAUCUGGUUCAUCUUGCCGUACUUGGGAGCUGGCAACUGGAUCUCCUUCUUUUUCUUUGCCUUCCUCUUACUAUCUUCCGCCGCCUUGCUUGAUGUCGCCUCCUUCCCCAUUCGAGCUGCCACAAGGGUCUUCUUGCGCAAGCACUCGGGGGCUAAGCGGCGGGGGACGGUGGCACUAGGGCUAUAGUGUGGAAGUUGAAAGAGCAGAUGGCUCGGGUGAAACGGAAGGGGUGAUUUCCUUUGUUAUUUAUAACCACAACAUAGUUAAAACAGUGGCAAGAAUAAUGGGAAAGAGAUAAGGUUACUAUUGGUGAACGGUCAUGUUGACCAGUGGUUGAUCCUUUUACCCAAACUAGUCGUGUAAUGGCAUGGGGGCUGCGUGCUACGUGCCCAUCGGCUAAACAGUUUUCUCUUUGGGUUUUUAAGGAAAAAGAGAUGUAAAAUUAUAGAUUGACCCUCAGCCUGAUUCUUCGAGUCAACCUAAGUCUCGAGAGCUACUCCAUAUGGAGUGUGACUUUUGUCGCACUUCCAUAUAAAAUUCAAUAUUGAAGAUUCAAGACCAAGUUAAAUGAGGCUUGAGCGCAUUCUAGCCACAUGGCAGUAUUUGAUUAUGUUUGAAGACUCAAUCCAAUGGAGUACUCGAAAAGCACCAAAAACUAGCUGGAGGCACCUACAAAGUACUUGGGAUUGCUGCAUUUGACUAAAAAGUACUCGGGAACUUGUCGUACAUACAUCUAUGAGCCUACUGAAAGGUUUGGACAGUCCUAGAUACAGGGCUGUACAUCGAGACGUGUCAGACAUGGAGACUACGGUGCAGGACGGUGUGGUCUAUGUGGAGGAGAAGAACUAGUCGAGGAUUAGGAAGCUACUCGUAGCAAUUAGAGUAGGACUCACUAGUCAAAUCUGACUAGUAUUCUUGUAAUCAACCAACCUGUAAUAUAGGGCAAGGCAGGGACCUCCUCCAAAGCAGUUCAAUCCAAUCCAAUACAACCAAUACACAAGACGUAGGGUAUUAUGCAAUCUAGCAGCCCGAACCUAUCUAAAUCGUAUGUUCGAGUUCACAUUCGAGUUCCUGAUCUCGGCGAGUCCCACACACUAAACACUACCUCGGGCACCCUCUCGGUAGGUUGCCGGGUCUAAACAUUGACAGCUGCACCGGCUUCUGCUCCAACUACGUCGGAAGGCUCUGCUGCACCUGCUACUGCUGCUCCUCCUCCUGCAAAUAAUCAUGUAUCUCUAGCUCCUGAUGACCCUCUUCUAUCAACCAAUCCUUCUACAUCGCUACCUUCUUCGAACCCCGAUGACAAAGAGGUAAAAUGUUAAACAAUUCUUUCAUUGCCAUUGAUUGUUGUAUUCGAUUUGAACAAUAAAUGUUUCAUUGUCAUGUACGAACCAACUAUUUUGUUGAGCCUUGUAAUAAUAUUUUCCUGGACUUUGUGCUCAGGUCUUAUAACUAUUUUGGUAUCAAUGGGGUGCAGAAUGACCAAACGGAUAGGCUGGCACGUCGUCUUCAAGUUGUAGAUGAAGCUAGAUCAUCUAACUACUCUAGGGGCAUUGAAGACUCGGAUUUCUUAGUGUUUGAGUCGACAGAGUGGAUUAAGAUGAUGCGUACAUCCAGGAACAUAGGCGUGGCAGGAUCUAGUCUUCUGCCACCCAAAAAAGAGACUUCUCCAACCUCACCAUCAUGUAAUGAGUGAUGCUAUGAAUACAAUGAACCCAAAACUACCUUCGUAGUGUUUUUGUUUGUAAUCUUCCAUGUAACCCAAAACUAUGUUUGGAGCUACUUAAUCCAAGGGAGCCAUUUAAUCAAAGGGAGGGAUGUUUGAUCUCUAAUGUGCGCAUGAUUGAGUAGUUAGCAAAUCCAAUUGGGGAAAAUGAUAUUUGAUUGCCAAUGUGCACGUGAAUAAGUAGUAAGCACACCCAAUCGAAGGGAGAUUUCUUUAGUUUCCAAUGUUGACAUGAGUGUAAGUAAGCACAUGCAACCAAAGUGAGGGAUGUUUGAUCUCCAAUGUGCGCAUGAUUGAGUAGUUACCAAAUUCAAUUAGGAAAAAUGAUGUUUGAUUGCCAAUAUGGACAUGAAUAAUAAGUAGUAAGUACAACCAAUCGAAGGGAGAUUUCUUAGGUUUCCAAUGUUGACAUGUAAGUAAGCACAUGCAACCAAAGGGAGGGUUGUUUGAUUUCCAAUGUGCACAUGAUUAAACUAUAAACACAUUCAAUGGAAGGCAUGGUACAAGGAUUUCCAACAUUGCUGGGAUUGUACAAGGAUUUCCAAUCACAGUAAGAACACCGAAUAGAUGGGAGGUUUCUUUGGUUUCACAAUGUAAAACUCAAUAUAUAUAGUAGUUCUCCAUCCUAAAUACUCCCUUGGUUCUUGUUUAUAAGACGUGAUAUGAUAUGACAUUGUAUACCUUAUUACACUUAUGCGCAUACGCCAUAUAAACGGAGGGAGUAGUACCUAACGACGUACUUCAAUAUACGCGGAGCAGUACAUAAACGGAGGGAGGAGUGGUACCAAAUAACGGAAUAUCUAGCUUUUUGAAGAUGUUUUCAUGAUAUACCUUAGAUUUUGAAUGAGAAUUUAUUGAAUCUAGGUCUAGAUUCUCCUGAUUCUAGCAAUAAAGUUUUGGUACAGGUUAUGCUGAUUGUACCAAGAAUAAGAAACGUCCAUGAAUAGACUAGUAGACAGUCCACUAUUCAGAUUUUUGUCCGGCAUAUUCUACUAAGCGGAACAUCCUUUGGUCGCCAUUAUAUGGUGCGGACUAGCUGCAAAAUCUUUCCAGCAUGCUAUUCAAAUAUUCGGAUGCCCGAGCCAAGCUGUGUGUCAGAUGUGAAAUGUCAAUUUUCCUUGCCUCCUCCCUCCCCCCUCCCCCCGGCUUCCCAACAACACCCCGUUUCAUCCACCACCAUAGUAAAAGGGUAUAUUGGUAAUGUGAUAGGACCAUCCACCCAAUUGGCCAAAUACCCCGUCUCUUCCCUCCCUCUGCCCAAAUCUUCCGCAUCCAAAAACUUUUCGCCAUCAGUUCCCCUUCACCUCCUCGCCCCCAUCCCAAAUCUUUACCUCCUCCUCACCGCCAUCCUAAAUCUUUACCUGCUAACCUCCAUCCACAAUCUUCCCCUCAUAGCUGCCGCCCAUUUCCCAUCUUCCUCCAUAGGACCAGCGGCGAUGCAAUGGUAGCAGGCGGGAAGGUCGUACAAAGGAAACAUCAACAAGAAGGUACAAUGUUUUCCUCCCUAGUUAAGCAUCCUCGGUGAUGUGAUUAAUGCGUUUCCUUAUUUGGUUUUGUUACUGUUUUACUUUGUUGUUUGUUUGCAGAUCUAGCAGUUUCCAUGUAUACACUAGUUUGUUUCUUUUACUAGUUUGUCCUUUGGGCUAGUACAAGGUUGGGUAGGAACAUCCUAUCUUGGAUCUUUUUUUGGGUGGCAGUACCUUUAUGAUUUUACAUUAAUUUAUUUUUUUACGGUAGUUUGCCCUUUCGACUCAUAAGGUUAGGUAGGAACAUCCUUUCCUGGAUCUUGUUUUGGCAAGGAACAUCCUAUAUUGGAUCUGUUUUGGUGCUCUAUACCUUUAGAUUUUGUAGCAGUUUGUUUCUCGUAUAGUAGUUUGUUUAAUUUACAGUGGUUGGACAAUUUUACAAAAGUUUCUUUCUUUUCCUAAGAUAAAGAACUGGAGCUCCAUCCAUACGAGGAGGUGAGGGCUGCAAGUAUCAUAAGGAACCAGUGCAUAUUGUCUUCCCUUAGCGUUGGAAAAGUCACAAGCAUCCUUAAACAAGCUACAAAAGGAAAAAGAAAGGAUACCAAUGAAACAAGACGUGAAGACCUAGAUCCAGAGUAUGACCUGUCUCAGGAACGGCUUGAAUCUGACCAAGAGACAUGCCAACAUGAGAUAUCUAUUGUUGCCUACCAAAUUUCUUGUAUCAGUUAUGCUGGAUUGCUUCUCAUUAUUUUUGUUUAUGCAAUUUGUCCAAUCAGAUCAGUGAUACCAUACUUGUCAGCGGGGGAAGACGGUUGUCCAAGAGAAUUCGGGCACUUGAUGCCUCUAACAGUAUGCCUCCUAGAGUGACUAGGGAAAAGGCAUUGGCUUUAGCCUAGGCAGGAGUUUUGGAUGGAACGACUCCUGUGUCACAAGAAUUGAAACCCGAACGCCAAGCAAUAGCCACCCACACUGAGGACAUCGUCGACAUGAUGACUGGUGAAGGCAAGUCAUUUGAUCUCUUUUUUCCAAAGCCAAAAUUAAAACUUCGAGCAUUGCAAUUAGCAACCAAAUCAUUACUAACAAACACCACCUGUAUGACUGUAACAAAAUUGUUAGGUGAUGCACGCCCUUCCACAAGAGUGCAAGUGCCAUAGGAUUCAAGAAGGUUGGGUAGAGAUCUGGAUAGGAUAAGAAGAGGGUUACACACCAGGCUUCCGAUCCAUGUUCGAGAAGGGCUCAAAUGGCCAGAGGCACCAAUGCAAGCUACAAAGUUUGCAUUAGAGGGUGGGAUCAUACUGCGUGGGCAUAUACCAAUCCUUACUCACUGGAGGGACUACAAGGCCUAGAAUGAAAAAAUAUCUCAAAGACUACAUUGGCAAACUGGUGGUGUGUAUAUAUCAACUCAUCUACUAUCAUUGUUCUUUGCAUCCUUUCUUUUCAUCCAUUUUUCUGACUACUCUUGUGUUGUACAUAAUAUAGGGACAAUUUGACAUUGACACCACCAGUCAACCUAUCAUGGAGGCAUAUGCUCAAGUUGCAACAGAGACAGGGGAGGUACCGGCUCGAUAAAAAGUAUUUCAAUGGUCUCACAGCAAAUGAAGACCGAACCAAAACUAUUGUGACCACUAUGAAUGACGAUCAGUGGAACAAAUUGGUACAUCAACUUGCCACUAGCACAUUUGCAUGUACUAAUUUGUUCCUCUUAUUCAUGUAUCUUACAUGAGUUUCCAUUAUUGUAAAGGAGAGGUGCUGCGGCAGAACCACCCAAAGUAUUCCAGCUUAAAUGUGCUAAACAUCGCCUUAAAUGGUAUUAGACACCUAAAUCGGAUCAAGAUGGCAGUCUGUCAGGUUUCACCUGAUACAACCACAUAUUUGAGAUCGAAACAAGCAUACAAAUACUUGUAGGAAGAUGAGCCCCGAGAUUACAACAAUCCAGAUGAAAAUAUCACAGAGGUCAAUAUUUAUUUGUUACAAACCAAGUUCAAAAUCAUAAAGUGGUUCAGAGUUCAAGUGCAGCGAUAAGGAAUGUGUUGACGCCAGAUUUUGACACGUAUAGAAUCGGCGUCAAGAAGGGAAAGAAUUAGCUGAUGCGGUGAGGCGAGGAGGUCACGAUUGGGAAACGGCCGAUUGGUACUACAGUGAGAGAUCGGCCGAUUGGUGCUGCAGUAUUUUCGGCGGAUGGAGUUGGUGGAGAUCGGCCGAUUGAAGGGCUGAAGCAGUUGGGCCGAUAUGGGCUUAAAGUAGAUUAUGAAGAUAAAAGGGGACUGGCCCACAGAAGCGCGACGACCAACUCCGAUGCAAGUUAUGCUUGUAAAUAUUCGUGUUCGUUUAAACUUAGAGAUAGAGUCCUAGUCGGUUGAGAGAUUGGUUGUAACAGGCUAUAAAUAGCCAUCUUUAGAAGAUCUGUAAUCAUCAUCAAAUCAAUACAACAAUCUACUAUUUCCUUGCACUUUACUUUCAAGCAGGCGACUUCGCCAAUACUUUUUUUACUUUCACGAGUUCGUACAGGUUGGCAGGGCUGCAUCAACCUGAUCUCCGGCCGAUUCUGUAAGUUCCACUUAUCGAGUAAUAUCUAAGCCUUAACUUCGGGCGCAUCACUGUCGUUUCGUUUAGAUUUAUUCAUCAGUUAUCGAUAUUUACUAGAAUUGUAGGUUUCACCUGUUGUUCUAGUUUUAUCACCAGUUAUCCAGCUUGGAACUAGAGCUUUCGGCUUACUUGUAUUUUGUUGCUUAAUCUACCGCUUUCUGCAUAGCCUAUUAGAUCUGUUCCUAGUGUUGCUACUGUAGCGUUGUUUAGUUUACUCUAGCAGUUUUCUUCACCAACAUUACUUGGUAAUCGGCUGUGUUAUAGCCGAUUUCUUUAUUACAGCAAAUCGGCUGAUUCGCUGAUAAGCUUCCUCGAGAUCAGAACCUUAGCCGAUCGCCACCUCUGGGAUCUAACACGUUUCUUUCCUUGCCAAUCAAUAGGUCAGAUUGGCUGGCGCGUCGCGCGAACCGCACCAGGGCGAUCACCCAAACAGGAGUUAAGCAGAUUCUCCCGGGUCGUGUGUCCGACGCUAGAGAUUCAAUCGGCUGAUCUUUAGCGCCAACACACUUUUGGCAUGCCCAGUGGGACCAAUACAACCACUACCAUGUCGAAAGCUGCCGAAAUCUCUGAAGACAACGUCAUCGAGGUGACGGAAGCAGACCUCAAGGACGACCAGAAGGAAGAGUUGGAGAAGCAAAUAGCACACUACCGAAAGACGUGCUUACAAUCCUUCAGUCGUACUAGGAGCGGAGAAACUGUCAGGAAAGCUCCUUUUCCAACUCCCUGCCAGAUUACAAUCGCCGAGGACUUGGGCAAGAUGUCCGAGAUGGUUCAACGGUCUGUUUACCAAGCCUUCAUCGAUCAAUCCCCGGUGAUAACUAAUACGGUAUACAAUGCCGUCAUCAGCUCCCUGGCCAAUGGCGUGUCUCAAGGGUACCAGGGGCCAACGUACGCCCCACCUAUCACAACCCUGGUCAGGAGUUCUCCAAGUAUACCCUACUCGGCUCCUCAGCCGAUCCAAGGUCAGCCUAGAGGAUCUAGCGCUCCUUCGUCAUCAAUGCAUCUGAGAUAUAACGGCGCACCAUACCUUCAGACGCAUGCGCCACCUUAACCCACUCAGAUUUCUCCCGCGCAAUUAUCUUCACUGAACUCAGUGCCUUGGGGGGCACCAUCGGCGUCAGCCGGCCAAGAUCAGGUGGCCGGCUAUGGAAGCUCUCCGAUCGAGGCACCUUUCCAAUCGGCCGUGCGGCUGAUGGUCCUACAGUAUCAACCAGCCACGCGGGAGACAGGCAGGGGGGCAGAAACAGUAGAAGCACUUCGGGGCGCUACGCCGAUUGUACUAUAUGACGAAAUGGUCGGUUCACUAAGGCAACCGAUGCCGACUACACAACCGGCCACGUCACCACGAGUGCCGCACGCCUUCAUCCAUCACCUAGUCAUUCCACCGCCGAUCUACCAACACGUGCCAGUUCCCCAGCCAAUAGUUCAUCAACAACAAGUAGACUGGACGACAUGGAUAGCAGAAGUGAUUCAAGAGCAAUUCGGUUUAAAGCCGAAGGUGCAAACCUACACAUACAGAACGCCAUACCCACCUACCUAUGACUUACUGCCGUUUCCCCAUCGGUAUAAAGUUCCUGAUUUCACCAAGUUUUCGGGACUUGUUGAUACCUCAACUGUGGAGCACGUAAACAGGUUUACCAUCCAAUGUGGGGAGGCAGCUACACAAGAUGCUCUACAGGUGCGCCUCUUCUCGUCGUCUCUGUCCGGGUCGGCCUUCCAAUGGUUUAAUACACUACCACCCAACUCCAUAGUCACUUGGGCUGACUUGGAGAAGCAGUUCCACAAGUACUUCUACGCGGGGGUGCAUGAGAUGAAAUUCUCGGAUCUGACCAGCCUUAGACAAAGGAGUGAUGAGCCGGUGUCCACAUACGUGCAGAGGUUCAGGGAAAUCAGGAACAAAUGCUACACCCUAGUUCUAACCGAUGCACAGUUGGCCGAUAUAGCCUUCCAAGGUCUCCUGCCUCACAUCAAAGAAAAAUAUGCUUCACAGGAGUUCGAAAGCCUGAGUCAAAUCGUGCAUCGACUGUCCGAUCAAGAAGUACGCCCCUUUGAUCCACGAAGAAAUUUCUAGAAGAAACUGGCGUACCUAGAAGGAGCUGAAUCCGAGGAAGAGGCAGAAAUCGGCCUGGCAGAGUGGGUUAAAGGAAAGAAGCCGAUAUCGUGUCCUUUCGGGAAAAAGGAACCAGAAGCAUUUGGUUUCGACAUGUUAAAGGCCGAUAAAAUUUUCGAUCUACUCCUCCAAGGACAAAUCAAGCUCUCACCCUACCAUACGAUCCCAUCGGCCGAGCAACUAAAGAAGAUGAAGUAUUGCAAAUGGCAUAACGCUACAUCUCAUGACACGAACAAGUGCAAAAUUUUUUGAUAGCAAAUACAAUCGGCCAUUGAGCAAGGUCGGCUCAAGUUCGAGGUCCCGAUGAAGCCGACAAAGCUGAUGAAGAUUGAUCAGCAUCCCUUCCCCACCAAUAUGGUCGAUACGGGAAGAAACGCGCUCCAGACCAAGGUGCUGACAUCAGAAUCGGCUAAAAAGAACGGCGCCGUGGACCCCAGAAAUCAAGCCACGACUGAAGAUGUCAAAGGGAAGAGACGGAUGGAUGAUGAAGGCGAAGGAUCCGAAGAACCACGCUGUGGCGGAACCGCCCAAAUUAACCUGACUAAAAUGCAUUGAAGUCGCCUGACACGCGAUUAUGCACUUUAAGCAAGUCAACUUGGUCGACCGUCGGAUUUCCCCCGAUAAACCACAUAACAGGAUCGAGAAGCAUCGCUCACACGAAGGUGAGUAGCACAGAGAUUACAACAUUCCAUCAUGACAACAUAGUUCAACAAUUUAUUACAUCAGAGUUUUUGAAAAUUUGACCAAAAUUUUGCAAGGUUCGAAGUCAAGGAAAACAGCGGAAACUAAACGUCGAUACAUGACAUCAUGACGGAGCCGAUCAUGACAUCAAAAACUCCUUCAUUCGCCGUCCGAGGAAGGAUCCCACUCGACGGUCCAGCCUGGAGGAAGCUGGGUCGGCCAAGUGGUACCAACACCCAAGCUAUUGACAUUACCUGAAAAAGAUUAGCCACAACAAGGCUGAGCAACUAGUACUCAGCAAGACUGACCCGUCGGAAAGACACGACCGAGACCUAGACAUGCAAGGCUUUCUGGCUCUGGGGUUUUCUUUGCCAAAAGCGUCUAAAGUCAGUCCUUACUUUCAACAUUUUAGCUCAUGUUCUAUGUUCUUUAUCCAUUCUAGAUUAGCAACUUAUACUAAACAACAUGGUUUCCAAGCAAUUACUGAACAAGCAUCAAGAUUUAAAGUCAUCAUCAUGUUCCAUCUUUACUCAGUGCAGAAUAGCGAUCAAGUAGUCCCAAUCUGUGAGAGGCACACGAAUCGAUUCGAAUUUUAUUAACCAUGCAUGGCGAACCUAAUCUCACGACAUCCGCGCACCACGAAGGGUCGCUUCAUUUGUCAGCCGUCCCCAUCGAUCCCUUAGGCACGUGUCAGGGCCAACUUCCUUUGGCAUGCAAUGCUCCAGAGUCCCGGCCUACUGCUGCACUGUGACCGCACUUGCACCCACAUGAUGCACCAUGGGAACGACGUUCUAAGGACAGCCGGAAGGUAUGCCACGCCCCAGUUCAAUCAGGUACUAGGCUUCCCCAUCCCAUACUAGGUAUGAGAUUAGUACUUUCAAACACUUGAUCACGAAUACCGACACGUUUCGACCUUAGUUCAUUUUCAUUUAGACAGACGGGGCAAUCCACAAAGUAUCAAACACCAGCCUGACCCCGUCCGUCGUCCUUAUGAUUGCGACAAAUCUGAAACAUUCAACUCCUAUAACUCGCGAGUGAUAGGAGAUCACUCGACUUUUACCGAAACCUAUUAAGCAAUGCAACUACUCGGCCUUAGCAACUAGUAUUCAGACAAGGUACUAAGUUUAUGCAUCUAAGGUUUCAUUACAACUCCUCGAAACGUAAAUGCGCAAUCAAGUAAUCAAUAAUAUUGCAUGAACUCAAGAUAGGAAUUUAUGCUCCGGGGCUUGCCUUCAGAAAAAGCUUGCGGGUCCUCGGGGUCUUGCUCCGGUUCGGGCUCUCCUUCGAAGGGGUGCAGUUCCUCGGCAGGGUCUUCUUCCGGUGCUGGAUGAAGCUCGUACGUUCCGUCGGCGAGAUUCAACUCUACACGGAAAUGCAAUGUAGGGGUUAAAAAUUUUAGAUGGUUAUUUCAACACACUCAUGUUUUAACACAGACACUUGUAGCAAAGCUACGGAAAGGUGGGGGAGUUCAACUCUAUGCCAAGUUCUCUAAGUGUGACUUUUGGCUGGACAGUGUUAAAUUCUUGGGACACACCAUAUCCAGAGACGGUAUAGCAGUAGACCCAAGCAAGGUGCAAGAAGUAAUAGACUGGAAGCCGCCCACUUCAGUUCAUCAGAUUCGAAGUUUUCUUGGAUUAGCCGGUUACUACCGUCGCUUCAUCCCUGACUUCUCAAAAAUAGCUAAGCCAAUGAUGGAACUGCUGAGGAAAGGGAGUAAGUUUGUGUGGAGUGACAAAUGUGAAGAAGCUUUCCACACCUUGAGGAAAUUAUUGACUUCUGCGCCAGUUUUAGCUCAGCCCGACACCACUAGGCCAUUUGAUGUGUAUUGCGAUGCCUCUGGCACUAGACUUGGUUGUGUUCUUAUGCAAGACAGCCGAGUCAUUGCCUAUGCCUCGCGAGCGUUACGGCCACAUGAGUUGAACUACCCUACUCAUGAUCUUGAGUUAGCGGCAGUCGUUCAUGCUCUAAAAAUGUGGAGGCAUUAUCUCAUGGGAACCCAAUGCAACAUCUAUACAGAUCACAAGAGUCUUAAGUAUAUAUUCACUCAAGCAGACCUCAACAUGCGUCAGCGGAGAUGGUUAGAAUUAAUCAAGGAUUAUGACCUAGAAGUGCAUUAUCACCCAGGAAAAGCCAACGUAGUUGCAGAUGCACUCAGCCGCAAGAUCCAUUGUAACUGCUUAUCGGCGGUUAAUUAUGCCGAGACCCUGUGUCACGAAAUGGCUAAACUCAACUUGGAAAUUGUUCCACAUGGCACCUUAAGUCAUAUUUCUCUAGAGCCCACCCUGCUUGACCAAAUAAUUCUAGCACAGCUAGAGGACAAAGAGAUAAACCUGAUCAAAGCGAAACUUGCACAGGAGGACAAAGGAUAUAAACGUUUCCGACGGGAUUGGAAAGGAGUGGUACUUUAUGAAACUCGACUUGUAGUUCCAAAUGAUCCCGAGCUUAAGAAACAAAUUCUGGACGAAGCACACCUGUCCAAGUUCUCGAUUCACCCCGGCAGUACCAAGAUGUAUCACGACCUCCGACAAAAUUUCUGGUGGAGUGGGAUGAAACCCGACAUUGCUCGAUAUGUUUCAGAGUGCGAUACCUGUCAGCGAGUUAAGGCAAGCCACUUGAGGGUAGCUGGCCCCUUGCAGCCGCUGCCUAUUCCCUCGUGGAAAUGGGAAGACAUAAGCAUGGACUUUAUAGUCGGACUACCCAAUACCUCCCGCAAGCAUGACUCCAUAUGGGUUAUAGUAGACCGACUAACCAAAACAGCACAUUUCCUUCCAGUACACACCACCCACACCAUACAGAAAUAUGCAGAAUUGUACCUUGAUCGGAUUGUUUCCUUGCAUGGUGUACCUAAAACGAUCAUCUCUGAUCGAGGUAGUCAGUUUGUAGCAUGCUUUUGGGAGCAGUUGCAGUUUUCACUUGGCACUAAAUUGAUCCGCAGUUCCACAUAUCACCCUCAGACCGAUGGGCAAACAGAAAGGGUUAAUCAGAUUUUGGAAGAUAUGUUGCGCGCCUGUGCUAUUCAUUAUGACAAGAACUGGGAUAAGUGUUUGCCAUUAGCGGAAUUCUCCUACAACAAUAGUUACCAAGCUAGCCUGAAAAUGGCACCUUUCGAGGCCUUGUAUGGACGUAGAUGCCGAACCCCACUGAGCUGGUCGCAACCCGGAGGGAGAACGGUGUAUGGACCUGACCUGGUCAUAGAGGCCGAAGAAAAAGUGAGAGUCAUCCGCGAAAAUCUCAAGGCUGCCCAAUCUCGAUAGAAGAGCUAUUCCGAUCAAAGAAGAAGACCCAUCCAAUUUAAAGUUGGAGAUUUUGUAUACCUACGGGUUUCACCGACCAAAGGUGUACAACGUUUUGGAGUAAAGGGAAAGUUAGCUCCGCACUAUAUUGGUCCCUAUGAGAUCGUAGAGGCGUGUGGACCCGUAGUGUACCAAGUUAAACUUCCAGAGAAGAUUGCAGUGAUACACGAUGUUUUCCAUGUCUCGCAACUCAAGAAGUGCAUCAGGAUUCCAACUGAGAUCAUUACCCCGGAAGAAUUGGAGAUUGAACCCGAUUUAUCGUAUAAGGAGUAUCCAGUUAAGAUCCUCGACCGGAAGGAAAGACACACUCGUCGGCAAAUGGUCAAGAUGUAUAAAAUUCAGUGGAGUCACCACACGGAAGAUGAAGCGACAUGGGAGACGGAAGAAUAUCUCAACGCUAACUUUCGCGGUUUUCUUUUCGAUCAAGGAGGUACGUUGCACCAGCCACACUAGUUGUUUCUGCACUUGAAUCUCGGGGUGAGAUUCCUUUAAGGGGGGUAGGCUGUAACAACUCUACCUAAAUUAAGUGCUUUUAACUCUAAACCAGUGAUAAAUCCUUAAUUUAAGAAGUGAAAUGACCUUUAUAAACCUAAGAAGCUCCUUUUGGAGUUUGAAUUAAAGCUUGAAAUUCUAUAUACAAACCUGAGUUUCUGCCCAAAUAAGAGUUGUAAAACUUUUAAAUUCCAACAACUUUUGUUAAAGGCACUUUGACCAUUUCGGAAUGAAAGGAAGUCAAAAACAGCAACCGAAGCCGGCUUUCCUAAAAGGACCCUGAAAAUCUCUUAAGUCCUGGAAUUCGAGUUUUUCCUCCACCUUUGCAGGCUGAGCAACUAGUACUCAGCAAGACUGAGCCGUCGGAAAGACACGACCGAGACCUAGACAUGCAAGGCUUUCUGGCUCUGGGGUUUUCUUUGCCAAAAGCGUCUAAAGUCAGUCCUUACUUUCAACAUUUUAGCUCAUGUUCUAUGUUCUUUAUCCAUUCUAGAUUAGCAACUUAUACUAAACAACAUGGUUUCCAAGCAAUUACUGAACAAGCAUCAAGAUUUAAAAUUAUCAUCAUGUUCCAUCUUUACUCAGUGCAGAAUAGCGAUCAAGUAGUCCCAAUCUGUGAGAGGCAGAUGAAUCGAUUCGAAUUUUAUUAACCAUGCAUGGCGAACCUAAUCUCACGACAUCCGCGUACCACGAAGGGUCGCUUCAUUUGUCAGCCGUCCCCAUCGAUCCCUUAGGUACGUGUCAGGGCCAACUUCCUUUGGCAUGCAAUGCUCCACAGUCCCGACCUAUUGCUGCACUGUGACCGCACUUGCACCCACAUGAUGCACCAUGGGAACGACGUUCCAAGGACAGCCGGAAGGUAUGCCACGCCCCAGUUCAAUCAGGUACUAGGCUUCUCCAUCCCAUACUAGGUAUGAGAUUAGUACUUUCAAACACUUGAUCAUGAACGUCGACACGUUUCGACCUUAGUUCAUUUUCAUUUAGACAAACGGGGCAAUCCACCAAGUAUCGAACACCAGCCUGACCCCGUCCGUCGUCCUUAUGAUUGCGACAAAUCUGAAACAUUCAACUCUUAUAACUCGCGAGUGACAGGAGAUCACUCGACUUUUACCGAAACCUAUUAAGCAAUGCAACUACUCGGCCUUAGCAACUAGUAUUCAGACAAGGUACUAAGUUUCUGCAUCUAUGGUUUCAUUACAACUCCUCGAAACGUAAAUGCGCAAUCAAGUAAUCAAUAAUAUUGCAUGAACUCAAGAUAGGAAUUUAUGCUCCAGGGCUUGCCUUCAGAAAAAGCUUGCGGGUCCUCGGGGUCUUGCUCCGGUUCGGGCUCUCCUUCGAAGGGGUGCAGUUCCUCGGCGGGGUCUUCUUCCGGUGCUGGAUGAAGCUCGUACGUUCCGUCGGCGAGAUUCAACUCUACACGGAAAUGCAAUGCAGGGGUUAAAAAUUUUAGAUGGUUAUUUCAACACACUCAUGUUUUAACACGGACACUUGUAGCAAAGCUACGGAAAGGUGGGGGAGUUCAACUUCUGUUGGUAGGGAGCAGGAUGAGAGGGUCGGAUUGGGGAAAACUUAGGGUCUGACCCUCAAGUUUAAGGGAAACCGUACCGAGGUCCUCAGACUCAACAUAGAGGAAUCCCCGAAAAUAUUUCACCGAUACCCUCGGGUCAAAGAAAAAGUUACAACCGAGCCCUCGGGCGAGGCGGAGAAAGGGUCGGCGAAACUUGGCAGGGUCGGGCGAGGCGAACGGGAAAAGGUCGGGCGAGACGGAAAGGAAAGGGGUCGGGCGAACCGAAACAAAGGGUCGGGCGAAACGAAAAAAAGGACAGGGGUCGGGCGAGACAGAAAGGACAGGGGUCGGGCGAGUCGGAAAGGACAGGGAGGUUAAGUAGCUUACCUCCAGGUCUACUGGUGAAGCCUUCGGGCCAAACAGGAGUAGGCUGGGGUGGGGAGUCGUACGCGCUAAGGCUUGGGCAUCGGCGAGACUUCGACGGUGGUCCGGCGGCGGCGGUGUUUCUUGCGGACACCAGCAAGCUCGAGUACCGCGCGGAGGAGCGGGCGGCUGGUGUGUUGGGAGAAACGGCUUGAGGGUGGCGGUGAAGUCACCGGAGUGUGGGGUGGCGCAAGGGGUGAGCUCCAUGGAAGCUCAGCGGCGGCACGAGGGGAAAGCGGUGGCUCAGAGGAGAAAGCAGGGCGCAGAGGAGAAAGCAGCGGUGGCAAAGGGGUGGCAUUGCCGGUGAGGGGGUUCCCUUUUAUAGGGCCGGGGUGGCGCGGAGGGUCGAGGCGGGGCUCCGGUGGGGAAAGGAUAAGGCCGGGAGCGGCGAGUGCUCGGGCAAGGCGGCCAUUGGCCGACGACGCCAUUGGGCAGGGGAGGCGGAGCUCCAGGUGGUCUUUGGCGGCGAUUGGCCUUGGGCGGCGCGCGUCUGGGGCUUCCGGUCUGUCGGGUGGGCGAGGCGGAAAGGCUACCGUGGGGGUUGGGCGAACGAGCGGAGGCGCGGGACGUCGGGGGCGUCUCAGCUUUCUCGGCGAACGGGCGGAACAGGGUUGGCGGAGCAGAGCCGUGGCAGGUGGAAGGCGACCUGCGCGCGGCCGGCGAUUGGCUCGCCCUGCGCUCGCUCCGUCCUGUCGUGGGCGCGGGUUGGGCGCCGUGGCUCUCGUCCUGUCGCUGUCGCGCUGGUGAUAGGGCGCCAGCGAGCUGCCGGUGGCCGGUGGCCACGCGGCGCGCGGCGCGCGAGCGAACAUGAUCCGGCGCGCGGGCGUCGAGGCUCCCUUCGGGCAGCAAGCCCGACCAGCUUUGGAGCGAUCCUUCUCCGAAUCUUUCAACACAACUCCCGAGACUCCCUUAAACAAACUUGUUCAAUUCUGAUCGUUCUUUAAACUUUGUUUAAGGUGUCGGUUUAUAUUGUGAAAGGAUUCAAAGAUAUUUCCGGCCAAAGUUAGCCAAAAAUCUGGAAUUCCAGACUUAGGAUUUAAGGCAUCCGGGGUGAGUUGACUGGUUUAGCUCACUUUGACCGGGAUUUUGAACAAGUUCGGGUCCGAUUUGGAUCUGGGUUAGUAUAACAAAGUUGGAACACUCUCGAGGUACUACAACUUCUAUUAAGGCUCUGACUCGAGUUUAGAUAGGAAAACGGGAGAUGAAAGCUUGCAAAGGUGGAGGAAAAACUCGAAUUCCAGGACUUAAGAGAUUUUCAGGGUCCUUUUAGGAAAGCCGGCUUCGGUUGCUGUUUUUGACUUCCUUUCAUUCCGAAAUGGUCAAAGUGCCUUUAACAAAAGUUGUUGGAAUUUAAAAGUUUUACAACUCUUAUUUGGGUAGAAACUCAGGUUUGUAUAUAGAAUUUCAAGCUUUAAUUCAAACUCCAAAAGGAGCUUCUUAGGUUUAUAAAGGUCAUUUCACUUCUUAAAUUAAGGAUUUAUCACUGGUUUAGAGUUAAAAGCACUUAAUUUAGGUAGAGUUGUUACACACGCAGACCCAUUACUUCCCAGUUUUUGCUCAACAAAUAUCAACGACAACAAGAAAAUUCAAGAUUUCGGGAGGAGGUGAUGCGACGACACGAGGAUCACUGGCGAUGCCCGUUCUUCAUCCACUGCUGGGAAAGUAACCUUAGGUUGCCGUCGGUCGACAACUGCCCGGAAUGCAACGGCCCAUAUCGCAACAAUCGAACAUUCAGAAGGUCUCGCUCUAGGGAUGGAAGGCCAGAGCCGAUCAGCAGAAACUGGCGCGAGCAAGAAGAUCGGCGCCUUUCGGUGCGUGAUCGGCUAGGGAGCAGAAGUGACCGAUAUGAUCGGCCGGAAGACAAGCGCGAGCGACACGAUAGGCCGGGGGGCAGGGCCGAUCGACGCGACCGACCAGAGGGCAGAGUCAGCGCACACGAUCGGCUGGAGGAGAUGGCCGAUGCUCGAGUAUCAGACGAGAAUCCCUUGGGACGGGGACCAGAAUGGGAACGUGCCAGACCAUCGGCUAAACCAGUAAACUGUGGCGGAACCGUCCAACUUAAACUGGUUUAAAUGCACCUAAUUGCUGCCGACGCAGCAAUUAUCCGAACGUACUUAAAACAGUAUAAGUCCGGUCGUUCGUCGAGUGUCCCUAGGACUCCUCGAAAGAUCCACGUUGUGUCUCAUAGCCAUUCAUCAGGAUAGUAUCCGCGAUGGGAUAACAUCAACAAAUAUUACAUUUUUUUACAUACAUAUAAAAGGUACGAGUUAUUACAGAACAUAGAUUGAAGCAAACUUAACAAUGCAGUGUUAGAUAGAGUUCUAAGAUUUAAAACAUAAACGGUUCAGGAGGAGACGAGCAUUUAAAAACUUCUUCUUAAGGGUAUUGUGAGACUCUUAACAAUACCCUAGGGCUUCGGGGUUUCCUCCUCGGUCGACUCCUGCGGUGCUUCUGAAAGAUAGCCACAAGGGAUAACCCUGAGUACAGGGUACUCAGCAAGUCUUACCCGACUAACCAAUAUAAUAGUUUUCUUUGGAUGUAUAUGAUAGCUUUUGGUGUACUUGGCUGCUACAACUUUUUGCCGAAAAGCUUACUACAAGUGAUACCUUAGUUUUGUCUUUUAUUUGGGUUAAGUUAUUACCUAACCUUUCUAAAUGAUGAGCAGAAAGUAAAAGCAACAAUAAAUAUUAAGUUAUACAUCAAACAUUAUCAGAAAGAUAUAUUAUUCAUGAAUUUAUACUACGCUGCUCAACAGCGAUCAAGUGCAUUCAUAACCGAGAAUUGCGGCGAUCCGGAUCAAUUUACAUCCUACAGGAGAGCACCCUGAUCACCAGCUAUGUAUGACUGUACGGGUCGUACGUAACGACCUUUCGAUUAGCAAACCCAAGGAUUGGGAAUAAGACUACCCGGACCCAGGGACGCACCCCCACAUGGGACCCCACGUCUGGCCCGAUCACCAUGUGAGUUUCAGGCUACGCCCCUGCCAAUCUCCAGCACGUCAAGCGCGGGUACGAAGUAUUCCCGAUCAGAGAGUUUACUAACUUACUGGGCUUUACUGGUCCCAUACCCAGUAAGUGAUCAGAUGCUUAUCACUUGAUCAAAGGUUAAGACAACGAAUCGGGCCUUAACCAAAUUAAUCUAGCAGACAGAACUACAUCUCUAGCUUCUGUCCGCUUCCCAAUAUCCAAGUUAUCUUUCCAUAAGAACAUGUAUGACUCAAAAGGUUUUCCUUAAGGUUGGUAAACCAAGCAUUUAAGCAACUAAGCAAUUCUAGACUUGGGUUAUCUUCUAGGGUUUGAACAAUUGGCAAAGAUGUCCUUAAAGCAAGGCAUGAUCAUACACAAGAAUAGGUUUCAAGCAACUCCUAAACUUAGUGCAUACAAAUAGCAAAUAACCAAUAAUUGGACACAUGCGAUAAUGACUCCAAAAUAGAUAGGUAUAAAUGCACCGGGGCUUGCCUUGUUCGCCUAAAAAGUUAGUAUUGUCCGACGGGUUGGCCUUGCAGGGGACCAACUCAAAGACUUCUUCGAACUCCGAAGAUCCUUCUGAAAAUUCCAGGUAAUCUCCUUCCGGUGCUUCGGGGUCUAUAGCACAACACAUGCAGGGGUUAGGAAUGCAAAAAUUUUGAAUAAAAGACUAUACAACUUUCUUUCAUGAUAAAGUUGCAAGCCAACAAGGACUAUACAAUUUAUCAUGAUAAAGUUGCAAGCCAACAUGCAAAAACCCAAAAAGAUUAGCCCAAACUUUUUAUUUUUCUACUUAACCCUACUUAAGGGCUUUCUUUUAUUUUUAGAAAAUGGUUAUAAUUAUUUUCUAACUUGAAAACCUAAUUUCCUAUGAGUUGAGAAUAAUUUGUGAUUAAGAAAAUGUUAUUUCAUAUUUUAUGCAUUUCAUAAAGAUUAAGUAUUUAUUUAAUUACCUUAAAAGAAAGGCAUUAAAUAAAUACCCAAAUUUUUAUUAUUUUUCUAGGGUGUAAAAAUUUUAAUGCAUAAAGGAAAAUAAAAUAAGCCUAACAAAAUUGGUUUCACUAAUUUUGGACACUCCUAGAAAUUUCUGUGAUUUAAAUGGUGAAAAACGGAUUUAAACUAAUUAUUCUAUAAAGAAAAUCUAAUUUUCCCGAAAAACACCCUCGAAAAACUUUUCUCACUCAGCUCGGCUCUACCCCCUCUCAUGCGCACUGGGCCCGCAGUGCGGACCCACCUUCUCCUAUUCCUUUCUUCCCGCCGACCUCUUUCUCCCCCGGACGGGCCUAUCGGGCCGAUUCUUCCUUUCCUCGGUCCACUACCGGCCCAACGGCCCUCUUUCUUUUUCUCUUUUCUUUCGCGAGCGCGGCCUGCUCCCCACUGGGCCUCCGGCCCUUUUCCUUUCUUCGGUUAACCGCGCGCGCGUUCCUGGGCUUCAAGGCCGCGGCCCACUGGCCUCCGCGCCCCGCCGACCGACCCCUUUCUCCCUCUCUUCCUCACUGACGCGCGGGCCCAAGGCUCCAGCGCCUUCUUCCUCCCGCCAAAACGCGUGCGCGACAGGGGGCGGCGCGACUCGCCGGCCGGCGCCCCACCGGUGGCGAAGCUAGGUCAGGACAGCACCUCUACACCUUCACGCACCCGUGCGCGGCAACAGCUCCUCGGGAGAUGGCCGGAGCCAUUCCCUCCACGGCGGCGGGCGGCGACACCUUCGGCCGGUCGCGACUACUCACGACGACGGCACAAACUACUCGAACAACUACUCUUACACCAUCCUGGCAUCCUAAGGACCUGCCUAAGACCACCCAAGAAGGAAGAGAACAAGCGCAAGGGGGUGCUCACCGUGAGCGGGAGGCGCGGCGACGGCAGACAGAAGCGGCGGCGGUUUAAGGCGUGCCGGCGAAGAAGCUGGGCAACAAGCUGCUAGGGUUGUUCGUGGGGUGUGGGCGGAGGUGUGGAUGGAGGGAAUCGACGGGAGCUGCGGUGUGGCGGUGGAAUUUUACCCGGCGGCGGUGUUUGAUAGAGAAGGCGGCGGCGGUAAGAAAAAACGGCGGUGAAACGGCGGCGCGGGAGCGGUAAUUAUACAAACGUCUUACUGCGCGCAUGGUUGCCACCGUGGCCUACCCAUAGGCUUGCGUGGUGAGGAGGUGGCCUAGCCGUCGCGCUGGCGAGCGACCGAGAGCGGCAGCGGCGACACGUCGAGUUCGCUCUGUCACAGCUCCCCUUUCUUCUCUCUGACGCCCGUGACUUCAGAUCCAAAUUGCGGUUGAUUUCCAAUCCAACGGUCCCCAAGUGUUUUAACCGAAGUUGGAGAUAAACUUGAACCCUUCACUUUUUAUUUUGGCUCUGACCCGAGAUAAGCAUCAAACAUAACUGAAUUUUGAAUUGUUUCUUGUGUUUGUCUGAAUUUUACUGAAUCCGAUAUUCAGUUCGUCAGUUAACUGACAGUGACAUCGAUCUCACUUGGUGGAUCAAUUUAGUGAUCCAAUUCCUUUUCUUCCAGUCCAACUUCUCUCCAUUUGUGUUCUACAACAUCCCAAGUUUCCAUUUUGCUCAAGAACGACUACUCCUUUGGAUCUACAUUGCUCUGAAAUCAACUCCAAAGUCGACCAGAUGCUGCUGUUUUCAGACUUAGCCAUUUUCAGUGUGACAGUCAUCUGUGACAAUGUGCUGACUUUGAGCUCAAUUUCGAAAUUGUUCCCUUCCAUGUUCCUGGCCAACAAAACCCAAUUCUAGGAGUCCAAAGUCCAUACUUUGAUAUGGUGUAGUUGUUCUGAUUCACUUAUUUGAAAAAUUCAUCAGAAUAAAUUUUGAAAACACACUCUGCUGCUGUUUUUCUGAACUUCUAUUUUCGGACGGUGAACAGUAAGUGCAGUUUUCAUUUUCUUUCUUCAAUUCCUUUGAGAUAUUUUGGACCAGUUCUGCUCCAAUUUCUUGAUCCUUAAGUUCUAUUCACUCUCACACUUGUAUUCUAUAUUUUUGCCGAAUUUUUCUGAAUUUCAAAUUCAAAAUUCGAAUUUUGGUCAAUUUUUGCCCCGAAUUUGAUUUUCGGCCAAUUUCUUUUUCUUUUCUUCUGGAAUUGCUUCCAAUUUAUCAAAGUCACUUUAAUAACUUAAAAUGGCAGGUGUUACAUAAACCCCAGGUGGUGCCCUGACGAAUUGACCAAAUCCCAAAAAUGAAGAAUCCAGCAUCUCCGCCAAUGGGAGCAACAGGAAGAAGAGCAACAACAGAUGAUGGACAAGAAAAACGACAGACCUCGAGUUUGGCGCCCCAAAAGAAAUGACAAGGGGGACGAUGACAACCAAGAAUUGGCAGCCAAUAUCGGCAUGGUUUUCACUCUGCCGAUGGAAUUCAUGGCUCCCGCCGACCGACAUAACAUGUCGGCAUUAGAAGAACACAUUGCGCAAUUGGCUCUGGAGCCAAUGACAGCCACGUUCGAGAAACCCGAAGACGACAAACGGCAACACCUCAAGGCAUUGUUCCUCAAAGGACAUGUCGACGGCCGACCCGUCAAUAGGCUACUAGUAGAUGGAGGCGCUGCAGUCAACAUCAUGUCGUACGCCAUGUUCCGGAAGUUGGGAAAAAGCGACGGAGAUUUGACCAAAACGAACAUGAUGCUCAAGGACUUCGAAUGCAACGUGUCUCCUACCCGCGGCGUGCAUUGCGUCGACCUCACCAUCGGCAGUAAGACUCUUCCCUCCACUUUUGUUAUUAUUAAUGGCAAGGGGUCCUACAACAUGUUACUCGGUCGAGAUUGGAUACAUGCAAAUUGCUGCAUCCCGUCUACAAUGCACCAAUGCCUUGUACAAUGGGUCGGUGACAACAUCAAAAUAGUCACCGCCGAUUCUGCGUACAGCGUCACCGCGGCCGAUAAACAGCAGUGGAGCUGCGAGAACGUCAAGUGCAUAUCCGAGAGGACGUGGGACACCGAUUUCCUGAAGGUAUCCGAUUUCGGUCUACAGCCGAUCCGAGCAGUCGGCUCUGAAAAUUCAGGUUAAAUGGAUUAGUUCGUCCGAGAAGACGGGAAGCUGGGGCACGGUUUUACGUCGGCCGAUUCACUAGAGAUGAUAGAUUUAGGCGAUGGCACCAAGCCAAGGCCGACGUACAUUAGUGCUAAUUUAGAUCUGGAGUACAAAUGUAAAUUGACAAAUAUGUUGAAAGAAUUUAAAGAUUGCUUUGCUUGGGAAUAUCAUGAGGUGCCUGGAUUAGACCGGUCCAUCGUUGAACACCGGCUACUUAUAAAGCCGAGAUAUCGGCCAUAUCAGCAACCCACACGGCGAUAUAAUCCUAAAAUCCUACCCGAUAUAAAGGCCGAAAUCACAAGGCUAAUUGAAGCAAAAUUUAUUCGUCAAUGCCAUUAUGCCGAGUGGAUCUCCAACAUUGUGCCCGUAUACAAGAAGAACGGGAAGCUGCGCGUAUGCAUCGAUUUUAGGAACCUCAAUCAGGCUACACCGAUGGACGGAUACUCGAUGCCGACAGCCGAUGUAUUAAUAGACGCCGCCGCGGGUCACAAAGUCAUCAGCUUCAUGGAUGGAAAUGUCGGAUACAAUCAAAUACUAAUGGCCGAAGAGGACAUAUCAAAAACGGCUUUCAGGUGUCCGGGUCACCUCAGUUUCUUCAAGUGGGUAGUGAUGACUUUCAGUUUAAAGAACGCCGGCGCUACAUAUCAACGAGCCAUGAAUUACAUAUUUCACAAACUCAUCGGCGUACUGGUAGAGAUUUACAUCGACGACGUCGUGGUCAAAUCAAAAGGACACCAGGAGCAUCUGGCCGAUUUGCGACAAGUAUUGGAAUGCACGAGAAAGCAUGGGUUAAAAAUGAACCCGAACAAAUGUGCUUUCGGCGUAUCCGCCGGACAGUUCUUGGGAUUCAUGGUCCAUGAGCGAGGGAUAGAGAUCAACCGAAAGACCAUAGUGGCUAUCAAUAAGGUCGUGGCCCCUCAGAAUAAAACCGAGUUGCAGUCCUUGAUUGGCAAGGUCAAUUUCAUCAGGAGAUUCAUAUCCAAUCUGUCCGGACGUAUCCGGGCCGUCACACCAUUAUUGAAAUUAAAGCCUGACCAAGAAUUCGUAUGGGGAGAAGAACAACGCAAGGCACUAGAAGAAAUCAAACAAUACUUGGUCUCGCCACCCGUAUUGGUCCCACCACAAACUGAUAAGCCAUUCAAGUUAUAUUUAUCGGCCGAUGAGUGAGCUAUCGGGUCAGCGCUGGUCUAGAAGUUUGAAGGAAAGGAACGGGUAAUAUGUUAUGUCAGCAGAAGACUUCUGGACACCGAAACAAGAUAUCCCCCGGUAGAGCGGCUAUGCCUAUGUCUUUACUUCUCAUGCACCAAACUCAGGCACUACUUAUUAUCGGCAGAAUGUGUAGUCGUAUGUAAAGAUGACGUAGUAAAAUACAUGUUGACAUUGCCGAUUUUGAAAGGACGGAUCGGAAAAUGGAUCUUGGCUUUAUCGGAGUUCGAUCUGCGAUACGAAUCGGCAAAAGCCAUCAAAGGUCAGGUCAUGGCCGAUUUCAUCGCCCAGCACUGCGGACCAGAAUUCACCGUCGUAGAAAUAGUGCCGUGGACCUUAUAUUUUGAUGGCUCGUCAUGUGGGGCCGGAUCAGGAAUCUGCAUCGUUCUCAUAUCGCCUCGAGGGGCAAGAUAGAGGCAUCCGCUACCAAUAAUCAGGCGGAAUACCGGGCUGUCCUAAAAGGGUUACAAUUGUUGAGAGAGAUUAAGGCCGACGCCGUUGAAAUUUUUGGAGAUUCCAUGCUCAUCGUGGACCAAUUUACAGGAAUAUCCGAGUGCAAAGAUGACGUGUUAAGGAUUUAUUAUGAAGAUUGCCUCCAACUUCUGAAAGAAUUCAAAUCCACGGUUAUUGAGCAUAUCCCCAGGAAUUAUAAUGAAGAGGCCAACAGGCUUGUCCAGGACGCGUCCAGGUAUCGGCCGAUUCAAGGCACCAUGAUUCUGGAACUCGCGGCCGACGACUGGCGAAAAGAAAUUGCCGAUUAUUUAAAAGACCCGUCUAAGAGGGUGGAUCGGUGAGUGCGUUUUCAAGCCACGAAGUAUGUGUUACUGGAAGAUGACUUGUUCUACCGGACGAUUGAUGGUGUUCUGCUCAAAUGCCUAGGGAUGGAGGAGGCGAAAACCCUGAUGGGAGAAAUCCACGAAGGGGUGUGCGGAGCUCACCAAUCGGCGCAUAAAAUGAAGUGGAUGAUUAGGAAUAAUGGAUAUUAUUGGCCGACAAUCCUUCAAGACUGUUUCAAAUAUUAUAAAGGAUGUCAAGAUUGUCAGAAAUCUGGGAACGUGCAGCGUGCACCCGCAUCGGCCAUGAAUCCAAUCAUCAAGCCAUGGCCAUUCAGAGGUUGGGGAAUAGACCUCAUCGGACAAGUUUACCCUCCGUCGAGUAAAGGACAUAAAUUCAUUCUGGUAGCCAUGGACUAUUUCACCAAAUGGGUGGAGGCAAUUCCGUUAAAGGCCAUAACAUCGGCCGCUAUGGUUGACUUCGUAAGGGACCAUAUUGUCUAUCACUUCGGCAUCCCUCAGACCAUCACGACCGAUCAAGGAACGAUGUUCACGUCGGGAGAGUUCGAGGAGUUCACGGCCGACAUGGGGAUCAAGCUGCUAAACUCCUCCCCAUAUUAUGCUCAGGCUAACGGACAAGCCGAGUCUUCCAAUAAAGGGAUAAUUAAGUUGAUCAAAAGGAAGAUCGAAGAACAACCCAAAAAGUGGCACCUGUGUCUAACUGAAGCUCUAUGGGCGUACAGGAUGGCUUGCCACGGGGCUACCAAGGUAUCUACUUAUCAACUGGUGUACGAUCAUGAUGCAGUAUUGCCAUGGGAGUUGAGAACGGGUUCAAGACGUAUAUUGCUUCAAGAUCAGCUGACAGCCGAUGACUACUCCUCGCUCAUGAAAAGGGAACUCGAUGAUUUGGUGGGUCAACGAUUGAGGGCCUUGAUUAUAAUUGAGGAAAACAAAAAGAAAGUAGCCAAGUGGUAUGAAAAGAGGGUCAAAGUCAAGCAGUUCUCCCAAGGGGAUUUGGUAUAGAAGUUGGUGCUGCCGAUUGGGUCUAAAGAUCCUAAAUUCGGUAAAUGGUCUCCCACUUGGGAAGGGCCGUAUAGAGUCGGCUGAUGCGCCCUGGGAAACGCUUACAUUCUGGAAACGAUCGAAGGGGAAGAAUUUACUAGGGCCUUAAAUGGGAGGUACUUGAAGAGGUAUUACCCCAGUAUAUGGGUCGAUGCAUAAAAACCGAUUAUGGGGCAUGACAAGACGGAAUGGUCACUCCCUGGAUGACCAUGCAGCCAAUACGGAAAAAGGAAUCGCCUAAAAGAGAAAAGAGUAAUCGUUCAGGUUGCCGAUUUAUCAUUCGGUACAGACGAUAAGUUACACGGCCGACGCGGUACAAGUCGCCCUUAGUACAAAAAAUAUUUAACUACCCUUCUUCUUAAACACUUCCUCGAUCUGAUCUAAUUCCAUCAGAAGACGGGCACUCCGUUCUUCCACAUCCUUCAUUGCGGCCUUCGCCUCAACCUGGCGAGGAAGAGGAUGGCUCCGAUCUAGCACCGCAUGAGAUAUCCCCGCCGCGGUGUCUUCAAGGACAACUUGACGAGGGAGUGGAUGGCUCCUGUCAACUUGCAGUCACCUAUAACCAUUGCCGUCAAUGAAAUCCCAGAUCCGUUGGAUGUUAGCAGGAACGUAAUCUCUGAGUUCUUCACGGUGUGCCUUGAUCAAGUCCCUGUCCUCUUGCGACAAUGGCUCGCCGGAGUGCAUGAGUUAGAUCGCCCGUUCGAGUUCGGGGCUAAGGCGUCUUGGCUGAAAAGGUUAACAUAUAACCGCCUAAAAGUUCGGACGGUUUAAGGGAAUCAAACUGAAAAGAAGGAGCGGAGAUGGAUCUCGUACCUGAUUGACGGAAGAAGAGGAGAAAGAAGAAGACGAAAAAGACAUGCCUGCAAAUGUUCCGAUGAAAAGUAAUCGGGGAGAGAGGAAUCAAGUGGGGCAAGUACUUUUCAGAGCGAAAUUAGGGCCGGUAUUUAUAAGAAGAGAAAGGGCGGAGGUUUGGUAAGACGCAUCCCGUCAGAAUAAAAGGGUAAUAAAUAAAAGGGCGCCGCGAAGGACGGUCAAAAGGUAUUAAUGUUCUUACAAAACGGCCAGUACUUUUACAGAUCAUCCCAGAAGGGCAUUAAUGGCCGCGAUCGCUCAUCGCCUGAUCUGAUCGGCCGAGUCUAAGACUCGCUGGUCAUCCUCCGCCGACCCCGGGACUUCUGGCAUGUGACGAUGAAGUCUGAGGGCCUCAUGGGCCAGAUGCUGCCUCUCCUGCUUCAAAUCGGCGAUAACGGAAGGGAGUUCCUGAAGCUUCUUCUCUUCAAUGGCUAUCUCUUUGGUUACUUGCUCCAUCUCUUUGGCGAGUUCUGCCCUUCGGCGCUUGAGGCGAUCUAUCGUGCCGACAAUCCCGGGACGGGAGUUCUCAAGGAAGUGAAUCCGAUGGUGUACCUCUUGGGCCUGAUGCUUGUACAAGUCCUCCUCCUCACGAGUCUUGGCUAGCUUGGCACGAUCGGCCAUGUGACGCAAAGCCCUGAAAACCGGGAUCCGCAUCGAUUCAAUAUAGGCGGUGGGUGCCAAGGCUUCUUCAGCUUCUUCUGGGACUCGGCCGCUGACGUCACCAAAGAGCUGCCGAAUCGGCGAGGCAUCCUCCACCAGUCGGCCAAUGUCUUCUUGGAGAAGCGUCCGUAUAUUUUCGAGCUUGGCGUGGACAUCGUCGGGUACCGAGUUCAAGGUGACUUGAAGAGAAGCGACUUCUUCAUCAUCAGAAAGCGCAACCGCAAACGAGAAGAGGUUGUUAUUGGGAGUGUCCUGUUCCUGCAAAAUGAUAAAUAAAAAAUAAGUCAGCCAAUGGUGGUAGCAAAUCAGCCAAUGCAGGUUAUAAGACUUCUUACUUCUUUGAAGCAGAUCUCUUCCAUUUGCAUCUGUGGAAUCACUACCCUUGGCUCGGGGACUGGUGCGAUCGACUCGUUGGAAGAGGAGGAUUCGACGAUAAUCGGCGUCCUGCUAGGGCUGGCUUCUUGAGGGACUUCUCUAACAGGCGACUGUUUAGAAAGCACAGUUAGUUAGCUGAUGACCUGUGUCAAAAUUGGUAAGGUCAUCAUUUAAAUAUUAAAAGAAUUAAGUUGAAAGGCCCUAUACCUCAGCAAGAGGAAGCACUGGUACUUCAGUUUCUGUUUGAGACACCGCCGAUUGCUGUGGAUCCACUGGGGCAGUUUGUGCAGCUUGGUAUAGGGAAAAGUCAGUAUUGAAGUGAUGACCAGGAGAAAGUCAAAUGGUGAGUUUACCUGAAUGGCUUCCACCAAUAAUGACGCGGCAGCCGCUCCAGCUUCUGUAGCAGCUUGGAGGUCAACUUCUUCAACGACCGGAAGGGUCGGCGCAGCCAAAUUUUCCGCCGAUGCAGCCGCGGGUGGAUCGUCUGAUUCUGUGCGGGCGCACUCUCGGCGACUUGUUUUCUUGAUAAUCUUCUUCUGCACUUGCUUCACCCGGCCAACUAUGUCAUCGACGGAGGGGGCGUGAUAGCCGAUGAAGGGGAAUUCCGUGUAUGGAUAACGGUCCUCUAUCAGCCGGCCACUUCGACUGCGUUUUGGGGGAGCGCGACUCUCAGACUGAAAGAAAUAAUAAGAGUCAGUGGCAUAUAAAAAGAGGAAGUUGGAAAUCGGCUAAAAAGAGAGCGAUACCUCUGCAUUCGGGUCGAUGUUGUCGGGGUCCAAGAUGUUGCAAUAUAUUCCUGCAGAGGCACAGAAUAAAUGUUGUUUCCAUUGUGCCCACCAAAGCUUGAACUGCUGAAUGGUGAAAGGGGCUACUAUCCAAUCGGCCAGGUCUAUGGUGCUGGAGUCUGGGAUCCGGUCAUACAGCCGACUGUAGUCGAGACCUUUGGUGAGCUCGUCUCGGAAUUUGGCUCAGCCGGCGAAGUAUGCAUAAAUCGGCAGUUGACCCAAGCCGAAUUUCCAUGCUGCUACAGAAUUGUUGUAAAACUCAUAAGUGCGGGCGUCCUUCCCCGAAAAGAAAUUCGCUGGCAAGAUCCCCAGCUUGAUCAACUCAUUUGUGAGGUCCUCAUCAAAUUUGUUGGUGGCCGAGUCGAAGCAAGAGGGGAGCUCAAAGAGUGGUUCCUCCUUUUUAUAAGGGAACCAGCUGGUUGUGUCUUCACUAAAGCCAUUGUAGAAGCAUCGGAAAUACUCGGCUACCUUAGUGGCAGAAUAUGGGCAGCCAAAAAAGGCCGAUGCUGCUUCGCCGAAGGAAGUGCACCGGCGCCGUACAGUGGGGUUCUCUGCCGAUUCGAUGUUGGGAAACGUCAUGUACUCCACUCGCUGUUGGGAGAUCUUGCUCAUGUACAGAUUAAGCCACAAGUUGAUGAACCACCAGGGUCCACCUGAGUUUCCAAUCGGCUCUCCUUUGGAUAGCUUGACACCGAUCUGGUGCAACAUAUGAUAGACCGAUCCCAAUAGAUGCUUUCCAAGAGGGACAGAAGCUCCUAUCGAUAGCGCCUCGGCCAGAGCCUGCGUGUUAGUGGAUGGACCAGCCGCCCUCCCGCAAAAGAGAUGCUUCUCCAGCCACAUCAUCAGGAAGGCCGCAUGCUCCCUUUCUGUGACUGUCCCGGUCCUCCUGUUGCACUUGAUAAAUCCUUUCCACCCACCGAUUCCGUUUGUUUUCAGCCGAUGGGACGUUUUGGCCAGGUAACGAAAAGGAGUAUCAGGGGAGGAGAUGUCAAGGCCAGUCAACAUAACCACAUUGGCUAGGGUGGGAGUCAUAGGCCCGUGUCCGAAAAGAAACGCGUUGAGAGCGUCGGACCAAAAGUAGGAGGCUGCUAUUACCAAAGGCUCAUUCCUUUCCAUUUGGGACAGAGACAAGUCAAUACACUGGCCGAUUUUGUGCUCGUCCCAUUGAACUCUUUUCGAGGCGGCUAUCCGUUGAUACCAUUCUCUCCAGCCGGGGGUUUCAUUCGACCAUGAUCUGAAUGUACCUGACCAGUGAUCCAGGUCCAUGGUUGAUUGCUUGAAUGGGAUCCUAUGGGUUUCUAAAUUGAUUAGGUCAGUUGGAUCUGGGUUUCCCAUGGGACCAAGAUAGAUAAGGUCGGGAGUUUCAGUGAGGCGAAUGGUAAUCUGGUGCCUAACCUCCUAAAAAAGGUAAAAAUAGGGGGGGAAGUAAGAAUGGAUCUAAGGUAAAUGCAUCGACAUUGAAGAGUGGAAAGGAAAGUUUCAAUAAAGACCUCUGGUAUGAAGCUCAUCGUGGUUGGCGGGAUUGCCGGUGGAGCUACAGGUGCCGAAGCUGUCGGUGGAGCCUCCGUCGUCGAUGAAGCUCCCGCUCCCGCCAAUGAACCUCCUGCUCCCGCCGAUGGAGCUCCCGCUCCUACCGAUGGAGCUGCCGCCAUUGCUGUUGGGGCCGCCGCUGGUGGAGCCGUCUCCGGGACUUCGGAUGUUGGUCAAGUGCCUGAAGGUGUCGCCAUCGGGGAGGUGGGAUGGAAUGUAGAUGGAAGAGGUUGCCGGAGGGAGAGAUUGGAAGCUAAGGAGACGCCGGAGGAAGAAGGAGAUCAGUGCGCCAAAGAAGGAAGACAUGGGCUCGUGAAAAAAAAGUGCGGGACGUGCUGAUAUUUAAGGACGGUCUGAGAAGGGGUAAAAGCGGAAUUUUUACCGCGCCGUCGUUUCGAUUUUUUCGGGAGGAGUGGUUGUCAUGGGCGCCCGUUUCGAAAAGAUUGCAAUCAUCAGGCAGAAGAUCGCGAAACAGAAGGAUAUUUUCAAUGCAUUUAUUUCAGAAAGUAAGUUAAAAAGAAUUUCGAAGCAAAGAACAUGUUUUACUCCGAAACUAGGGGGCAUGUGUUCACGCCAUAUUUUGACACGUAUAGAAUCGGCGUCAAGAAGGGAAAGAAUUAGCUGAUGCGGCGAGGCGAGGAGGUCACGAUUGCGAAUCGGCCGAUUGGUACUACAGUGAGAGAUCGGCCGAUUGGUGCUGCAGUAUUUUCGGCGGAUGGAGUUGGUGGAGAUCGGCCGAUUGAAGGGCUGAAGCAGUUGGGCUGAUACGUGCUUAAAGUAGAUUACGAAGAUAAAAGGGGACCGGCCCACAGAAGCGCGACGACCAACUCCGAUACGAGUUAUGCUUGUAAAUAUUCGUGUUCGUUUAAACUUAGAGAUAGAGUCCUAGUCGGUUGAAAGAUUGGUUGUAACAGGCUAUAAAUAGCCAUCUUUAGAAGAUCUGUAAUCAUCAUCAAAUCAAUACAACAAUCUACUAUUUCCUUGCACUUUACUUUCAAGCAGGCGACUUCGCCAAUACUUUUCUUACUUUCACGAGUUCAUACGGGUUGGCAGGGCUUCAUCAACCUGAUCUCCGGCCGAUUCUGUAAGUUCCGCUUAUCGAGUAAUAUCUAAGCCUUAACUAGAAUUAUUCAUCAGUUAUCGAUAUUUACUAGAAUUCUAGGUUUCACCUGUUGUUCUAGUUUUAUCACCAGUUAUCCAGCUUGGAACUAGAGCUUUCAGCUUACUUGUAUUUUGUUGCUUAAUCUACCGCUUUCUGCAUAGCCGAUUAGAUCUGUUCCUAGUGUUGCUACUGUAGCGUUGUUUAGUUUACUCUAGCAGUUUUCUUCACCAACGUUACUUGGUAAUCGGCUAUGUUAUAGCCGAUUUCUUUAUUACAGCAAAUCGGCCGAUUCGUUGAUAAGUUUCCUCGAGAUCGGAACCUUAGCCGAUCGCCACCUCUGGGAUCUGACACGUUUCUUUCCUUGCCAAUCAACAAGUCAGAUUGGCUGGCACGCCGCGUGAACCGCACCAGGGCGAUCACCCGAACAGGAGUUAAGCAGAUUCUCCCGGGUCGUGUGUCCAACGCUAGAGAUUCAAUCGGCUGAUCUUUAGCGCCAACAGAAUGAUAAUCUAAUGAUGAUACAUGACAUCAUGACGAAGCCGUCCAUGACAUCACUCACCACGGUCCUCACCCACUGAGGACGUGUCCCACUCAACCGUCCAUCCCGGAGGGAGCUGGCACGGCCAAGUCAAAUUAGCAACCAUUUCAUCAAUUUCAUUAUCUAAAAAUAAAGCCACAAGCAAGGCUAAGUGUACUAAUACUCCGCAAGGCUUACCCGACGGUGGUAUCUAAUCCACCGACUCCUAGACAUGCAAGGCUUUUUGGCUGAGCGGUUGUUUUUGCCGAAAGCUUCUAAAGUGGGUCCUUGCUUUCAAGUUUUAGCAUCAAAUUCUAGUUGAUUAACCAUUCUAGAUAAGCAUCUAUUUUAAGCAAGCAUGGUAGAAUAAGCAAUUUAAUCAAGCCUCAAUAUUAAGCAUCAUCAUUGUUCAUCUUCUUACUCAAUGCAGCAUAGUGGUCAAGCAGUCUCAAUAACUGCGAGAAACAUUUGAAUCGAAUUUCUUAACCUUGCAAGGUGGACCUAAACACACGAUAUGCGCGUACCGCGAUGGGUCCACGCAUUAUCAACGGUUUCCAUCAAUCCCCGAUGUGUGUCCAGAGCCUACUUCCCUUGGAUACAAGGCCCCACCAGUCCCUGAAAUGACACCGUGCCAUGGUCGCACUUGGACCCACAUGAUGCACCAAGGGAACCAUUUCCAGAGAGAGUGGGGAAAAAGUCCACGCCCUGGUUCAAUCAAGUACUAGGCUUACCGAUUACCAUAUUCUCAGCAUGUGUUUAGUACAUUCAAAAACUUGAUCACGAACACCGACACGUUUCGACCUUAGCAAUUUCCUCUAUACAGACGGGGCAUCAACAAAUUCUGGAACAUGGCACAAAGCCCCACCCGUCAACCAUAUGCCAACAUAAGUAAACAGGAAACUCCUAUAUCUUGCGAGUGACAGGAAACACUCGACUUUUACCGUAUCCCUAUUUAGCAUAGCAACUAAGCGACCUAACAUGCUAGUAUUCAAAACAUGGGUAUUAGGAGCAUGCAACUAGGGUUUCAAUACAACUCCUAUGGACUUACUGCACACACAUAAGUAAUAAGAAUAUCGUAUAAAUUUGAAAACUAGGGUUAUGCUCCAAGGCUUGACUUCCUGCCCUGAAUCAGCCUUGAGCUCUUCCGAACUUUGGUUCGGGCCAUGGUUUGCCUUGAUCACAUUCAGUUCACCCUCCUGCUAUCCUUCUUUGUGUUCCGGGAUGAGCUCGUCCGUUCCGUCAGCGAGGUUAGUUUCUACACGAGAUGCAUAUGCAUAAGAUUUCUUUUAUAAUCUUUCAUGAUGUAGGUUUUAUUUCGUUAACCAUUACAAAAAUAUGGGGUGUAUUUUCUUUUGGCCACAUUCACCUAGACAAAUUUAUAAACAUUUCUUUUCUUUUGGCCCCAUUCACCUAGAAAAGUUUAUAAACAUUUCUUUUCUUCACAAAACACGAUUGGUUGGAAAGAAAACAUAGAUUGUAUUUUGAUGGUGAUUGUGUACACAUAUAAAAUUCUUAGAAAUUUAUUAUUCAAAAGACAACAGGUUGUGCUAUUUUGGUACUAUUUAGCAAACUUUUUAGGGAUGAUCAUGCUGCUGAUGAAGAGCAUAAAUAAUCAUUUGUGAGUCUACAAAUCCUAGUAGCAAUUAUCUUUACUAAAUAAACUAGCUUUCAACAUGAAUAAAUGUUCAGGAAGCAUCUGCUAGUAUAUGAACAUGAAUGAUUUACAGGAGCUUUCCCCCUAUACACGAAAUCUACUGUAAAAAUUAAGAUGGAUUUGACAACUACAAAGUUUACUAAAAAUUAAACAUGGUUACACUACACAUAUGAAGAAAGAUUUAUAACUAGAGUUCUAUCAUUAGUUUAGUUCUACAAACAUUACAGAAUGGUUUUCAAUGCUAUCAUAUACUACUAUGAAUUUAUCAGGAUUUUAUGAGUACGAAAACUAUUUAUUCCACAAUAAGGAGAUUAAACAACAUGCAUUUUGAUAAGCAACAAAAGCACAUAUUUCACAAGAACAAGUACUUUUACUAGUCAGAUAUGAGCACCAGGAAGCUAACAAAAUUUAUUUCAAAUUUUUAUCAUUUUUUUAUGAUUUUAUACAGAUUUCAAAGUUUCAGCCAUUUCAACUAAAACUAAACCCAAAAAAGGAAAAACACUUUUUGCAAGAAAACCCUCCAAAACACUUUUUCCCAACAGAUACACCCUUCAUUUUACGAAUAACCCCUGACUUUUGCAUUUAAGGUCCCUGAACCUAAACUUAGAUUAUAAUGGGGUCCUUGGCCGACCAGCGGCUCGGGGAGCUCGAUUCCGGUGAUGUGGGGCCACCAGGGCAUGGGCUAGGGUCACGAGGGCAAUGAGGGACUCACUAGCUACCGGUUUGGUGCAGGACUCGGGGUCAUAGGAGGGCCGGUGAUGGCUCGCGGCGAACAGUGGCAGCGCAGCCGCUUCGGCUUUGGCUCCGGCAAUGGUAGUGGCGGUGGUGGAGGUUUGUGGGGCUGGGGAGGUAGAGUGGUGGUAGGGGAAGGCGCUUGUGCACUUGGGUAGUGACGGGGAUGGCCAGGAGGGGGUACUCACCGUGCGGUGGCAAUGGCGGAGCAGCGGGGGUGAGGGUGGCCGGCGAGGCAAGGGAACGGGGCCCUUUUAUAGGCGGCAAAGGGGAAGGGGAGGGGCGAGGUGUUGAGGUGGAGCCUCGCAGCUCAUUGGCGCGAUGGGGUGGUGGCCGGGCGCGUGGGAGUGGCUUGGCGUGCCAUGGCGCGCGCCAGCGCUCCACGGCGUCACGGGCAACGGUUGGCCACAGCGGAUUCUGCCGUGCGGGGAGGGAGAUCACGCGCGCAGGGGUUGGGUGAGCUGUUGCGCGUGCUUGUGUUCUUGCCUCGCCACCAGCCAUUGGCUUGUUGUGGCGCGGUGGCAGGCAUCCCGCGCCGCGUGGCAACGGCGAGCGCGGUGACCGCGCCCAGGGCGCGUCGCGUGUGCAUGGCGUGUGAAGGGGCCGUCUUCAACGUGAAUUUUCUCACAAAUUUUGAACUAUGCAUUUGAAUCUCCAAAUAUAGAAGUUGUAUUUCAAAUUAUAGGUUACAACUUUUGUAAAAGCCAACAUAUGAAAAACUCGAUGGAUUUUUAGAUAUACUUGGCAGAAGUUUGAUGAAACGCUGGCCUAAACUGGGUUUGAAAAUGAUUUGAUUUUGGGCUGAACUUCCACUCAAUUUUUGAACAUCUUCCACUCAAAAUCAAGAAAAGUUCCAAUUAUAAAAGUUGCUCCAUUUGAAGAGAUCUAUUACUUUUAUAUUAGCCAAAAAAAUGAGUUCUUAUAUAAAAUUUGUUUUUAUUUGCUUCCCAAGUGCAUUAUUACAAGGGUGUUUAACACUUAACCAUUUUGAUUUUUUUUCUUCUUAAUUUCUCUUGAUUUGGCUCUUAACUACUUGAGAUGUCACAGGUGUACUACAAACACCGGUAAUCAUGGACUACUCAGGUAUCCUCAGUGCACAAGAUCUAGAAGCUAUGUUGCAUAAGCUCAUGUUGUGGUAAGUAACUGAACAAGUCGUGUUUUUGCUCUGUACUUUAUUUGAUGAACCUGCACAUGCUUCUUGUUUCAAGCUAACAAUUUAUGCCUAUUUUCACAUCAUAUUAGAGGGAGAAGCAAGUUGAAGGAGGCCCACUCCAAUUGAUAUUUUCAAGAACUUCCAUUGCAGCAAAAAUGGCUACACCGCUCCAGUACAAGCAUUCUUCUUUGCAACAACAACACUAGAAACAUUUGUGAGUAGUUUUGUGAGACCAUUCAUUUUCUUUAUUUUAUUAGGCCUGUAUGGAACAAAUAGUCGCCCAACCUAGAGAUGACGAACCAAAGACUGCUGCUGAAGCAAUGGCUGAAGUUGUCCAAUCUAGGAUAUUUCGGGAGGUUUCUGACUUUCACCAACUCUCGAAGAAAAGGACUAGGGUUGGUACUACGCUGCAGGUAGAAGAAAUCCAAGCUGAUCUUGAGAGUGAGAAAAAAGGGGGGGCACUUCAGCAAAAGAUUGCUGAACAGGAGUCGGAUAGGUGCAGUGAGAUUGAGGGCUGAAGCACAAGAAACAACAUUAAAGUCUCAGACAGAAGAGCUCGAAGCUUUGAAGAACACCACAAAGCAGUUGCACUCUCUGAUUUUUAACUUGAUAAACUUCAGCACCAGUCAGAGCCAGGUGAAUCCUUCCCUAAAAAGAAGUGUGUUGCCUGUGAACUUGUUGUUUGUUGCUAAUGUACUUUUGUUGUAUGUUGCAUUGUUGAUGCUAAACUUGUUGUAUGUUGCAUUAUUGUUGCUAGUGAACUAUUCAUUGAUUGUGAUGUGAACAAUACGGAAGUUGGAAAUGAGUUGUUUUAUGUCUUUCAUUGUGAUGAUGAUCAGCAAUCAUAAUUAAAUAUAUGGCACUGCAAAAUGCAAUAAUGGGCUAGGGCCAAAAAAAUGGUCCAAUAUGGUACUCCGAAAUGCAAUAAUGACUCUUCGUUAGAAGGACUAGGAUCUAGAAAAAAGACCCAAUAUAGCGUGCAACAAAUAUUUUUCAACCCAAAGAAUAGCGCGAAAACCUAAAAUGGGCUAAAAAUGGCCCAACAAAAUUGGGCUCACAAAGGCUCUUACAUGGACCGAGCCUCAAUUUGUGAUGAACCAAAAUCAUCAUAACACCCAUGCCAUGUCGGAGCCACGUUGGAUUCUUGUCCAACGUGGCGCAACCUCCCAAACAGGUUUAUGACGACAUGUGGGAUGAAUUUUCAUUCAUCAUUAUCUUAGUGACGCACCGAAAUAAGGAACAUCACUAUCACGGUUUAUGAUGCUCGACUAAUGACGAAGGGUUUUCAUCACUCCCACGUCAUAAAUUACGGUUUAUGAUGCAAAAAAUACAUUUAUGACACUUUUUGGUUCAUCACUAGUUCGAAGAUUUCUUGUAGUAAUGAAAUACCACCACCUAAGGUAUCCUAAGGAGUAUCAAUGAGCGAAGCCCUAGGAAGCCAGCCCAACCCCAAGUCCUCGCUUCCUCCAAUACCACCGACACCAGGGCCACCAGUUGCAGCGCCGUCCGCUCGUGCACCUGUCUGUUCCGCUCCUUCCAAAGCAACCACGCGACCAGCCAAACUAGGGAAUCAAAGCCUUUCCAUUGAGUUUUUGCAACCCUCUUCCUUGCUUGGAUCCACCAUUUGGCAAAAAGAGCCUUGACCUGUGGCAUGAGCCACUGAAGACCAAAGAACUUGAGGACACAAAACCAUGUCUCACGGUUGUGUACACAACUUGUAAGCAGGUGGUCCAUCAUUUCGACCUCUUGGGCACACAGCGCACAUUCAUCUCUAUCAUGCAAACCAUGAUGAUGUAGCUAGUUAGAAGUCCAACGACGACCAUAUAGCACAAGCCAACCAAAGAAAUGGCAUUUUCCUAGCUCCUGCACUUUCCAUAAUUGACGAGCUCCCAUCAGAGGCGAUCGGCCCAUAAAGAGAGCACGAUAAGCCGAAGCGGAAGAGAGGAUACAUGGUGACGACCACUUCCAAAUGAAUCUGUCUGGGACUUGACUAUGGGUUGAUUCCUUAGCAGGUCCCAAAUUCGUAGAUACUAGACAACAACCUGAACCGUUCAAGCACGGGAAACAUCAUGGAUCCAACAAACCCUGAAUAGGUACGAGUGUUUCUUACUCUUGCCGAGACCGCCACUUAGAGAUCUAGGCCAACAUUUUGAUGGAGCAACCAUUGAUCCAUCUAUCCAUUCAGAAUAGGGUGCUAGCACCAUAACCGACUUGAAUAGCCACCAAGGCCUCGAAAAAUGCCUUGGCAGUCAUUUUGUCCUUAAAGGUGAAGCCCGACCAAGUCUUAUCACCAUCCGUACGCGCCAACCACAACUAGCGCAUCCAGACGGCCAAUCCCAUGAGUUGCAUAUUAGGAAUUCCCAGGACCCCCCUCCCCAACUCCUUGAGGGCAGCAAACAUUGAUCCAAGCGACCGUGCACUUGCCGCCCGAGGCUACCUCAGUCCCGCACCAGACCUCUGAUGAGAGUGUCAAUAGCUUUAAUGGCCCAAGGCGCGAUCUCAAUCGCCAUAGAGAUGUGGACGGGGAUGGCACUAAGCAUCGUUUUGGUGAGGAUUAAGUGACCACUUCUGUUAAGCAUCCUACCCUUCCAGGCUGGUAAGCGCUUGGCGGCCUUAUCCACCAGUGGCUACAUGGCCGCCUUUAGCAUAUGAUGGAUAGAGAGGGGGACUCCAAGUAAGUGCAGGGGAAAUCCGCGACCUCACACCAUAGCAUCUUAGUGACGAGGCGAACCUGCUCCUCCGAACAGUGGAUUGGGAAGGCUUGACUCUCGGAGUAGUUAGCUCCUGCCAACCCUGAGGCCCUAUCAAAUAAGGAUAGGAUCUCUCUAAUGAGAACGACAUCCUGAGCGACCGGAGAUAUGAAAACAACCACAUCGUCAGUGUAACGAGAAGCUCGCUGCUUGAUAGUCGCUAGACAUAGUGGCUCGAGUAGCCCCCUACCAUCCGCCAACUUGAGCAUGGCACUAAAACACUCCACGAUGAGCACAAAUAGCAUAGAUGAGAGGGGAUCUCCUUGCCUAACCCCAUGACCGACCAUGGCAGAUCCCUCUUCCCAGCACACCAUUAAGCAGAAUCUUGGUGCUCACUGUGGAAAGUAACGUUGAGAUCCAGUUAGUCCAAGUCCUCAGGCAGCCAACCGUAGGGAGCAGCUCAAGAAGGAAGACCCGGUUGACCGACUCACAUGCCUUGGCGAGAUCAAUCUUAAACAUGACCCUCGGGAUCUUCGUUGACGCUAGCACCUUCGUUGUCCCUAAGACAUACCUGAAAUUGUCUUGUAUUUGGCGACCCUUAAUGAAAGCACUCUGAUUUUGUGAGAUAAGCCCAUGCAAAUGGGACGCGAAGCGGUUAGCUAGUGCCUUGGAGAAGAUCUUCCCGAAGCUAUGGAUGAGAAUGAUCGGUCUAUAAUCUCCAAGACUUUUAGGAUCUUCCUUGUUGGGCAACAAGGUUAGCAAAGCAUCGUUCAGGUGAUCAAAACUUGUGCAGUCCAUUGAAGAUAGGGCAUCGAAAGCCCUAACAAAAUCCCCUUUAAUAAUUUUUUCAACGUGAUUAGACUAUUUUUAUCCAUAUAAAACUGUACAUUUGGUGGUAUGAAAAGUUUGGUUGGCUAGACCUUCGUAUAUUUUGCUUAGGGGUGUUUGGGAACACCGUGCUAAACUUUAGCACCUGUCACAUCGGAUGUUUGGAUACUAAUUAGAAGUAUUAAACAUAGUCUAAUUAUAAAACUAAUUUCACAGAUGGAGUCUAAUUCGCGAGACGAAUCUAUUAAGCCUAAUUAGUCCAUGAUUUGACAAUGUGGUGCUACAGUAACCAUUUGCUAAUGAUGGAUUAAUUAACCUUAAUAGAUUCGUCUCGCGAAUUAGACUCCAUCUGUCCAAUUAGUUUUGUAAUUAGCUCAUAUUUAGUCCUUCUAAUUAGCAUCCGAAUAUCCGAUGUGACCCUGCUAAAGUUUAGCACCUCGUAUCCAAACACCCCCUUAAUCACGAAAUAAGUGUUUAAUUUAUUCUCGUCACCUUCUAACACAUUCUGCUUGUUUUAUAAUUUUUAUAGGCUAUUUUUCAAAAAAAGUUUCAUGAUUUUAGGAGUUACAUUUAAGAGCGACACAUUUUAGUGGAUGAUCGUAAGCUAUUUUUCGGGGUGAAAAAGUUUCUAUUGCAACCUGUGCUAUCAUUCCCCUCAUUCUGAUUGCAAGAUUAGAGGCCUUCUAUUCUACAGGUGCUCUACUAAAUUAAUGUACAAAUAAUUCUUAUAUCCAAUUAACUUCACCUUUCUCUUCUACCAGGUUUUUGGAUUUCUAAGUGCAAGAACUAUCUUUCAAGUUGUAGGUCGUUUUGACUUCUCUAAAUUUAUAGAUUUUACUAAAUUUAUAGAUUUUACUAUGCAUAUAGACAUAUACUAUAUCUAUGUGCAUAGAAAAACUAUGCACGUAAAAAAGCUAAAAUGAUUUUGAGAUGGAGGGAGUACUUGGUAAUAUUAAGUACGGUGUUUACUUGGUUGCAUGCGUUUAAUUGAAUUAUCAGGCAAGGAUGGCAUUCUCCCCAUCCAUGAGAAAUUCCAUGGGGGCUCUGCCCUGUCCGGCACUGCUAGCCGCUCCCCGCACCGUAGAUGCUGCAUCAGUAGAGGGCGGGUGAUUCCUCUUUAAUUCUUUACUUGAUUUGCUUAUCUAUCUAAACUUUCAUAUUUAUCGGACUUGACUCACAAGCAAUCCUAAAUCGAUUUACUUACAAGAUAUCUAUACUUUUCCUGCACCAUAACCUAUUCACAUGAACAGUUCCGCGUGGCCCGUGCGGCCAUACGUCGCACUCGCACAGUACCAUGUCGUUCUUCUGCCUGGGUGUGUACAUUUGAACUAAAAAACAGUAAGGACGGUUGUCCGUUUAUAUAUAUCGGAAGCUAGGCAUCCUGGGAAAGUUAAAGCACGCUGGCAUGGUCCCUGUUUAUCUUUGCUUGCCAUCCUAAUAUUGCAUCGUGUACUCAGCAGCAAUUGGUCGGCUGAGAAGUGGCAUUGACGCAAAGAAAGCAUACGUAGUUCGUCCAAUGGGAAACUGGCCGGACGCACACAUGGCAAUUGGCAACCAAGAAUGUAGGUUACUUGAGAGAAACUAAUCAUUCCGAGUACAAAAGUUAGCAACAACGCAGAUGCUGCUCUGACCGUUGCGUCAUUGCAUGGCAUGCCUCUAAACCCCUUUUCAUUUUGGUUUGGCUACUUUGGCACUUACGAAAUUGCUCAGUUUCCAAAAUAUGAACCCACCGAAAUCUAUAUGCGAGCUUCGGGUCCAUUUCUAGAAUGAAUUCCAUCUAAAUUCUCUUUUGAAAAGAAAACAAAAGGAAGUCUCAGAAGAGGAAAACAGACUAGAAUUAGUGGAGUAUGCUUUAGCAGAGAAAGCAUUUCGGAGGACGAGAUUUUUGGGAAGUGCCUACGAGGUAGAAGCUAGCGCCUAUGAGUUAUGAGCUGCCGGGAAUCGGCCCAGAAAUUUUCCGUGAAAGCAAGGAAUCCCGCCUGGCUAUAAAAACCGCGCAGUGAUUAACUGAUUAUAUGUGCAGCAAAAUGCACCACAGCACCAGUGUCAGCAUCACCAUCACGUCAGGUAAUAACUGACCUGAGUCCUGAGCACACCGCUCGAUCGGUUCCAGUCUUGCAGCAAUGGCGUUCUCAUUCCACGGCCGGGCUGUGGCCGGCGCCGCGCCGAGCUACAACACGACCGCUCCCUUGCUGCUUCUGCUGAACAAGACGGGGUGCGCCACGCCGGCCGCCACGCUGGUGGCCAACUUCACGGUGUCCAGCGACCUGCGCACCACCGAGCGGCUCAUGGUGACCACGACGGUGCUCAUGACCGUCCUCGGCGCGGCGCUGUUCGCGCUGUGCCUCCUGGCGCGGCUCUCCGGCAGGCACCGCGGCCACUCCACGGCGACGUGCAUCUUCUUCCGCGCCUCCUUCGCGCUCUUCCUGCCCUUCAUGUCCUACAUGUUCUCCCAGGCGCGCAGCAAGGGCGCCCCCGCGCGUGCCUGCCUCAUCCUCCUUUGGAUGCUCCUCGUGGAGCUCCUCCGCAAGAAGGUGUACGCCAUGGUGGCCCCCGAGGGCGACGCCUUCGCGCGCGGGGUCGGGCGCUACUCCUUCUUCGACGCUGUCGAGGAGGCCGCGCGCAUGGUUUGGAUCGGCUACCUCGUCUACUCCUACGUGGAUGACGCCGUCGUCAAGUCCUUCUUCGUCAUCCUCUGGAUCUUCAGCGUCGUCAAGCUGUGCAAGCGGGCGAGCUGCAUCGAGCUCGCAAAGCGCUCCUUCGACCUCGCCAGGAACGCCAGCCUCAUCUCUGGCUACAUGGCGCAGCUCGUUCUCGCCGACCAGCAGCACCUCGGUCUCGGUCCCCUUGAUGGUGACGCCGUCGACGGUGGAGGAGAACGGAGCAACAACAUCCUCAGCACGUGCAACUACGUGGUCAUGGGGGAAAGCCAGAUGAGAAGAGAGGAGACACCCUAUGGACUCCAGCUCCCAGAGCUCGCUAGCAUCCUCGAAUGCCAGCUCAGGCACCAUCGUGAUGGCUCGUUAACCGAGGAGGAGUCGACGGUGGCUGAGACGUCAAAGCUGGUCCGAGUGUGCACGGUCUGGCAGCUCUCCGAGAGCGACCCGGUGUUCCGGUACCACGAGCGGCGGAGGCACAAGCUGCAGGAGACAUGCCUCGGGCUAGCGCUCUUCAAGCUGCUCCGUCGAAGGCUGGAGGGCCACCACAUGGUAGAGGCCGGUGCCGGCGGUGGCCGAAGGCAGGCGCGCGACCUCGUGCGGUGGGGCCUCCUGCAGGAGCUCGGCGCGGAGCGGGCCUUCGACGUGGUGGAGCAGGAGCUCACCUUCCUGGACGAGUAUUACCAGGCCAUCAUCCCGUUGGCACUACCCAAGCCCAAGCUCUUCUUCGCCAACUUCGCCUUCUCCAUCUUCUUCAUCCUUGUCUACUGCAUCGCCGUGAUGCUCGUCACCGGCAACGGGGACAUGUUCCACGUGCUGGCAUCCCUCCUCCGUGGACUCGUCGACUUGUCCGCUGACAUGGUCCUCCAGUACCGGUGCUUCCUCCACCAGGCGUCCUUCCUCGUCGGCAUGGUGCUCUCCUCCUCCGACCUCAUCAUCACCUUCCUCCUCACCAUCACCCUCCUCACCGUCGAGACCUACGAGUUCAUCCAUUACCUGCUCUCCGACUGGCACCUGGCGUCCGUGCUCUGCAACUACGCCCGCAAGCCGGCCCUGCAGAAGCAGGCCCGCGUCCGCAGGGCCGUCGAGGCGGCAUUGUGGGUCAAGGUGCGCUCCAACCCUGUCAUCAAGGUCCACCAGUUCACCCUGCUCAAGACCCACCAGCUCCACCCACGCCGGAUCUGGAUGCUACUCUCCCGCCUGCUCAAGAGGCGCCUCGUCGGCCUCCCCGACGUCGCCGUGACGGCCGAGGCCAAGAAGGCCAUCGUCGAGGUCCUCAAGACCGUCCUCGACCGCCCCGACGGGCACAGCCGAUUCACCAAUGGCAGGGAGGCGUUGCGGCGCAACAGCUUCGAGCAUCUUGAGUGGGCAUGCGACGACAGCGGCGGCGGCGCCACGGUGAUCUUGGUGUGGCACCUGGCGACACUGCUGCUGGAGACGAGGAACGAUGACCGGGGGCAGCACCAGCUGCCGCCCGCCGGCGAGGCGGCCGUGACGCUAUCGAGGUACUGCGCGUACCUGGUGGCCUACGAGCCGGGGCUCCUGCCAGACGACCCGGCGUGGACGGACAGGAAGUACAGGGACAUGAGGGCGGAGCUCGCCAGCUUCUUCCGCAGCUGCUGCACGACCACGCAUCGCCGGGACCGGCUGAUGGCCACGGGGUUCCACCAUGGGGACCAAAAGGAGCACUCGAGUUCGAAGCUAAUGGCGAAGGGCGUGAUGCUGGCCAAGGAGCUCGAGAAAGCGGCCGGCGGCAGCACGGCACCGUACGCGCAGCACGAGAGGGUGUGGGGGAUGCUGCUGGAGCUGUGGGCGGAGCUGCUCGUCUUCGUGGCCCGGGCGCCGUCCGGGGGGCCGGACGCGCACGCGCUGGCACUGGCCAACGGCGGCGAGUUCAUCACCCAUAUCUGGGCAAUGCUCACCCACGCCGGCCUCGGCACAGACGAUUCCACCAGAGACAUCCCCAUAACUCAGGAACUCCCAACCAUCCGAGAAAUCCCCAUUAGAGCCGACGGUAGGGCCGUCUGAUGUCAUACUCGCUAGGUAGCUUUACCAGCGCCUGUUAUUGUCCUACGUACAGAGGUACACUCCUAUCUGCAAAUAACUGUAGUCUGAUCUUGUCCAAUGUUCCUGCAAUAAACACAGUGACACGGGUGCUUGAUAAAGGGCCUGUUCGUUUAGCCACUAGAUAGUAGUCAUGCCGCAAAUGGAAUGACAAAGGCCACCGAAAAUAUUUUAGUUUAAUCAGGCAAUGGUGACAAAUGCAGUACACUAAAACAAAUAUAGCCAAGUGCAAUUGCAAUCUACCUAAAGGCCUGCAUUCAAAGAACAAAUUGCUCCCUAAAACAAGAAACCAUCCUUUUGAGCGAUCUCCCGAAGAGUAGUGACCAAAGGUUGCUAAUUCUGGCGAGCAGAUUCCCGGUGUGGUGGUGAUCAGACCGGAGUUGUGAUGGCUAGAUGGGCUAGACGUACUGGGCGGUCCGAGGCCCGAUACUAAAAAGUCCAGGACUAACACAGCCCAACCUACCUACUAGCAACCCUUACCUCGUAUAAAUGUAGAAAUCCUAACUUUAUCCUCUCAGGUCUCCCUCUCCCCCAACCUAGCAGCCGCCUCUCCCUCCCGCCCUACCAUGCUCACACCGCUACCCUCUCUCCCCUGCUGGGAACUGCGCCGGUGGUUAGUCGCCACACCCGCGGCUGGGAGCCACGUCAGUCGUCACUGCCGGGAGCCGCUACCGUGGGGGCCACCACAGGUUGCCGCGCCCGCGGCUAGGAGGUGUGUCGACCAUCGCUGCCCAGGGGGCGCACCGGGAGUAGCGCCUGUUGAUCCAUCCACGGGACCGCACCCGCGGCUGGGAGGCGCGGUCGGGAGCCGCAUCCCUCAUCACCACCAUGGGCCACCACCGGGAGCUGCGCCAUCGAUGAACGACUAGGAUUCAUUUUCGAUCGAUUUUAUGUGAUGGAUUCCAGGCUAUUGUUGGGUCACUCAUCUGGCCAUCUAUAAUUGUGCUGCUUGUGGUCAAUUCUGACUCUAAGGAUAUACUGAAAUUGAUCCAUAGUUAUGAAGUACAUAAAACAGUGAGGCCGCAAUGAUUUGGUUAGAAGUGCAUACGAACUGUUUCAUGAGAAACAAUGCCAGCCAUGCAUAUAUCGAUCUUUGUGGAUGGUAUAGUAGUAAAUAGUACACCAGUCAUGAAAGGUGUUCAUGCACGGAAGGAUGAUAAUCAUCGUAUCUCAUUUCAUGGAAACAAAAUUACUCUCUCUGUUCCAAAUUGUAGGUUGUUUUGACUUUUGUAGAUUCAUAUAUAUCAUUAUGCAUUAAAACAUAUACUAUGGCCUCGUUCGGUUGGCCUGGAUUAAUUUCAGCUCUGUAUCUAAUUCAGAUCUGGAUUGGGUGAAUCCAGGCGUGUCACUCAAUCCAGGCAUGGGAUUAAUCCGACUGGAUUUAUUCCAGGGAUUGGUUGUUCGGUUGGACAAUAAUUAAUACAGGGAAUAAACCUUUAGUGCCAAAAAUCUCAGUCACAAAGCAACAUAUGAUUAUCCUCACAUUACAUAAAACCAUGCUUGAUGAGCUAAAAUUAAAUUACAUGUAUGAACAUGACCAGAGUCCUGAUGAGCUGAAAAUUAAAUUAGAACCCAAGAAGGUAAACAUCUCCCGCAUCUACACCGAAGCACAUUAGGGUGAUCAUCUUGAGAAGCCUACACCACAAUGAACCCAAGAAGGUAAACAUCUCCUGCAUCUACACCGAAGCACAUCAGGGUGAUCAUCUUGAGAAGCCUAUGCCACAAUGCAGCAGACGAUUCUUCUUCGACUGCACAUCAGAAUAGAAUAAAACAAGAUGGAUCACAUCCUCUGUACAUGUCUAGUAGUUGACAAUCAAAAGCACAUAUUGCUACAGGUAGCAAUUACACACUACUAACAGGAAUAACCACACAACCAAUCCCAAAGAUCACUAGCAAAAGCAUAGCUCUGCAACAAUUUUAUUUUCAGUUCAUCUGAGCAAGGACAAACUGAACCACCAACGGCCUUCCAAUGGAGACUAUUCUUCUAUGUUCUAUUCACACUAGUAAUAUAAAUGCAUAAUGAAAGCUGUCAAGCAAAGGGAGUUAAUACCUGCUAGGACAUCUCAUUCCUAAGCCAAAUCAAAGCGGAUUCUUCAUCUUCUUCACUAGCACAAAUAAAAGUCUCUCUGUUUUCUUUGCUCUUGGUGAAGAUUGCAUAAGAUUUGGCCUUUUCCUGUUUGGUCACUUCCAUUGUAUUGAUAAUCGAUAUGCACCUUUUGAUGGAGUAUUCAUCACCUUUAGCAGCCUCCUUAUCUCUUGCCUCAUUUUCUCUUGCUAGCUGUUGAGCUUCAUCUUCUGCUUGCUUUGUCCUCAUUUCAAGGAAUCUCUCCAUCAUAGCUUCAAUUUUGCACUCUUUCUAGGCCUUUGUCCUUCCUUUUCUGGUUUCUUUCUUGAUGCAGCCAUUCUUCGUUGUCCACUUCUUGCCUCCUCUUCUUUAUCUCUUGCAUCUUUUUCUUCAUCCUCUUCAUCACGUAUCUCAUGAAUUUCCUGUAGGGCUUCUUCCUCAGCUUCUUCCUCUACAACAUCAAUUUGUUGAAGGGGCUCUUCCACAUGUUCUGACUCAAUAGAAGUGAAAUUGUAUGUCUCUUCAGCCAUAUGACCUACAUUCGGCACAAUGCAUUCAGAGAAAUAGGACAAGCACCUAUUUUACAUCAUAGAGAAAUAGGAAAAAGCUUACUAUACAGAACUUACCAUCAUAGAGUUCUCCCAAAGUAUCAAAGAGCGGAAAGCUUGCCUUGUUGUUUUGAAACUUCUUGAUUUUGGGAAAAGUCUGCAUAUUUGAAAAAAAACAUUGAUCAAAUACAAAGUUAUCACUAUGAGGUUAUCCAUAGAAUUACUUCAAGAAAUUAACUUACCACUAUGAGGUUCUCCCACAUUGAGGUUGAUCCUUCAACCAUAUUUCUUUGCUCAUUCCAUUUUGACCCACUUUGCAUUCUUGCCGCUUUGAGCAUCUUGUAGUCUCUCUUAAGCUGACAUUCUUUAUCUUGAAUUUGUGCCUUUGUGUACGAGACAGACUUGUUUCUCAGAUGGAACUCCUUCACCAUCUUGUUCCACCCUUCAGUGUUCCAACCGUUGUCACUUCUAUAGCCACUAUCUUUAUACUCAUGCAGAAUUUCAACAAGUGAUUUCUCAAGAGUUGGGUUCCAGUCCGCUCUUUGUUUUCCUACAUAAACAAUGGUCAAGCAUUAGUAACAGAAAUUUCAUAGCAUCAAUAAUACAAAAUUGACAAGAAAGCAUGAAGAAACAUUAAACACCGUACCUCCACUCCUCUUUGCCCCACUGCAUUUAGGAGAAGCUUCUUUUUUAUAGCACUUGUUGUAGGCAGGAACCUACUCAACUUUGGCGACCCCCUUGCAAUCACAUUGAGCUUUGGGGAGCCUUUUCCAACCAUCGCUUUUCAAAAGAAAAAACUUAUUCAUCAACUUAUUCAUGAUACAAGCUUAUUAACAAGCUGGUUCUCCAACAAAUGAUCAUUUUUUGUGCGCUAUUUAAUGUGGGAAUUUCCUGCGAAUAUUUGUGAACCGCAGGAAGGCAGGAUGCAUUCAGUUGUGCGGAAACCAAAAACCCAAGAACAGAACAAAAAUUGGCUGCGAUAUGAAAGAAAUGCAGUCAAUUGUUCUUUGUUGUUUCCGAAAGUAAAAAGGAAAUUGUUGGAAGUGGUUAACGAUAGCGGUCAUUCUAUCCCACAUGCUCAAAAUGAAAAUUGUUUCAAUUGUCUAGCGAUAUAGGUUAUUCCUAUCCCAAGAUGCUCAAAAUGACGUGUAAGAUUCAAAAGGAAAAAAUACUAUAGCUGUAUGUCACCUUAACGCUUUCCUAAUUAACUAAGCUCCUUUGAUGGGCCCAAGCCCAGCUCAAAUUAGGCCUCGCUAAUCCUAUCUAACUUCCGGAAGCCAGUAUGUUACUUGGCUUCCGGUGCUUUAAAAUUCGUACGGCGUUUUGUGAGCGCCUAAUCCCCUUAUAAUUCUUCUACUCCUCUCCUCUUCUCCCGCCAUCGAGUGCUGGUGAGAGCUGAGGAAGGAUGGGAGGUGGGGGAGCAGCCGACUGGCGGUCCGCCAGCCAGGGUAGUGGUGGAGGUGGCAGUGGGGUUACGGUUAGUGUUCGGGGGUUGCUGGGGUGGGGGUUCCAAUGGCUGGUGGACAUAGAAGAGGAGGGGGUCGAAGGUAGCGCGGAGGUCCAGCGGUGGUGGUAGGUUGGUCGGCUAGUGGACCGGUGACCGGUGGCGGGGGCAAGAAGAAGGUUGGGGUUAGGAAUGGCGGGGUCGAAGGCCGGCAGUGAGCGGGUGCCGCGGUGGCGAGCUAGCCCCCGGCUGGCACGGAGGAUGAGACAGCGGAGGUGGCAGCGCGAUGAGGAAGGAGCCGGAGAGGGGGUAAAGAAGAGAAGGAGAUGAGUCUGAUGGGCCGGAAGCCGAGGACCUUAUCCGGCUUCCGUGCGCUAUAAUGACGUGUGACCCCGCCUACUUUUUUUCUGUUUACAUGACCCAGCCUACCUGCAUUGUCCGUCGUCGCUGAUAGGCUUGGACCUUCUUCCUGCUGGGGGAGGAAGGAGCUUGGCGGCCAUCGCGCACGGCCCGCUCAAUUGUAUCGGCCCAGUCCAGUUCAUCCCAUUCCCCCGCACGCGCACGCGAGGACCCACCGGGAGACGGGGACCCCCACCUCUCUCCUCGCCGGCAUUCGAAUUCGAACUCGAUUCCUCUCCCCUCUCGCCGCCUCCCUCUCCGCUCCCCACCCCCACGCGGCGAGCGGAGGCUCGGAGAGGGGCCCGCCCGGAGCGACGGGAUGCAGCCGAGGCCGGAGGACGCCAUGGAGGAGGUGGAGGCCGAGGCGGCGCCCAAGGCGGCGGCGGGGCCGGAGCUAGGGUUCUGGCUCGCGGCGCGGCGGCGGCUGACACCCGACGACCCCUUCUUCGCCGCCGGGGACCUCGAGCGCGAGCUCCUCGCCAAGCACGUACGUUUAUUAAUCGUCUUUCCCCUCCCGCAUCCGCUCCAAGCUGAGACGAAUGCUUCGGUAUGGCGUGCGUGGCGAGAUUCAUGUUCCAGUGGGCCAUUUGGGGUUGAGGUUGAGGCGAAUCCCGGUCGGGCAAGCCGAUUCUAGCGAAAUGUUAGCCGCGCGGCGCUUUAUGUAACUGCGCCACACGAUGUCUCUUUGGGGUUCGAUUCAAUUGGUUGUUGUAGCUCCGGUCGUUGUCCGUAAGAUCCAAAUUCGCAGGUUGAAAUCGGUCCUGUCCUCUAGGUGAUUUGAUUUGGGGUUAGAGAGGGUAAAGGAAUUGCCGCUAGUGCUAGACAGACCUUCCAUUCCAUGCGUCUGUCGUGAUAAAGAGUCCCUUGAAUGUCCCUUAAACUAGAAACUUCCUGUCUGUUCUUGCAAAAGGCAAUGUUGGUAUUCAUCAUGUUUGACUCCACUCAUUGUGCACCGCUUGUAUUGGAUUUCGCUUAACCUUUUCGUUUGUUUGUUGCAUAAUAUAGGUGGCCUUGGAUCUCUCAGAGGAUGACCGGAACCAGCUUGAGAAGAUGGAAGUAGCCAGCACAUGGUGAGAUAUUACCUCUACAAGUCACUUUGUUGACGGUUCAUUUACCAUGUGCAUAUGAAUAACUCUACUGGUAAUUUGAAAACAAAAUAAUCUAGCAUACUGUCAAACUGAAAUAUUGUCUCCAGCCCCUGAAAUCGCAUGAUAAGUCUCCGAGCUCCUAGUUCAAAUGAUAGAAUGCAGGAUAUGUUGCUAGGAACUUCCACAGAUGCAUAAAGUGGUUUUCAAUCAUGAUAAUGUUUGGGCAGUGGCAGUUGGUCAUGCCUGGAAUAAGGGUUUGUUAUCCGUGGGUUAUAAUUUUUUUGUAAAGAUAUAGGUGAGCGGUUACAUCCUGAUGCCUGCCAACGCAUUUCAUACUGUAGUCCUAUGUUUCUUUUGAGCUUUGCCUCACUUAUCUGAUAGAAGAGAAAUAAAAAUCCAACCGAAAUGGGCAACUGGAGCUUCCAAUCUUAGGUGGUCUUUCCAAUCGCGACAAAUAGAAUCAGACAUGGUCUGCUCACCUGCAAGCAGGAAGACUAUUGGUACACUCCAGAAAUGAGAUCACCCUAAACCUACAGCCCCUAGGUUGCCAUUGAGAACAAUUUUGUCCUCAAACUCAAGGCCAACAUCCUUGGCUCCUUGCCUGAAACCUUGUGUCCAAAGGAUUGUAUACUUUCGUUAGAUCGAGCUUGCUCUGUGUUUUAUCUGCUGCAGUUGAUACUCCCCCCCCCCCCCCCCCCCCCCCCCCCUGUUUUUCUCUGUUCAUUUUCUAAUGCAAUCAUGUGUCAAACUCUUGCAGUACUGUGUUUUGCCCGAUUGCUGGUUGUGGUGCCCAUCUAGAUUGUUUGGAGGACUUUGAGGACCACUAUGUCACUCGACAUACUGCAUCAUGCUCUGUAUGUUCUAGAGUAUAUCCAACCUCAAGGUUGCUUAGCAUUCAUGUGUCUGAGGCACAUGAUUCGUAUUUCCAAGCAAAAGUUGCCCGUGGUUUUCCAAUGGUAAUACGAUCUAUCCAACUACCAUUUAUAUCAAUUGCCAUCUUUUCACUGAUUAUCCACUUGUACAGAAACUUAGGAAUCAUGGUUUCAAGGAUAGUGUCUUUUCAGGUUGAUAGAUAUUAGAAGUAUAUCUCUAGUAUCAGGAGGAAAAAUGAGUUAAAAUAGGUUCCUAACCCUUCUUAUGGAGCUUUCAGAGUAUCAUUAACAUUUUACUAUAGAUAUUCGAAGUAUCUCUAGUAUCAGGAGGAACAACGAGUUACAUAGGUUCCUAAUCCCA
rnacentral:lncRNA from 1 species